AAUAGAAAACAACACAAAGGCACGCAGUGACGCUUCAAAGGAGCUCCUAACAUAUAUCCUGCGCUACACGCGCAGGUACACGUCGAUCUUCACAACGGCGUUCUUAGUGGUGUUGUUGAAAUCGUGCGUCGUGAACAGAGAGUAACCGGUGGCUCCACGGAACCUGCCGCCUCCGCCAAUGACCGGCAGCUCCCUGACGUCUUCAUGGAAGGCGUCCUUUCCCAGGACGACGAGGUAGCUGCCAUUGUACUUCCCUGCCGUGAACACUAUGUUCGCGGAGAGCAUCACCGAUAUUUCCUGCUGCACCGCGAAGACUUCGACCCCCUGCACCUGCCCCACUGCAGGCGACGACGGAUCGGGCCCUUCCGUCAGUGGGUCGUCGAUCACGUGUAUGUCGCCGAAGUGGACGUUGGGGUCUCCCGGCAGCCCCGCCGUGCCCUUCGCCACAGUCACCCCCGUUGCCGGGCUCUCUGCUGUUGCCGUAAAAAUGUCGUGCAUGUAGAACUGGAGGUGCGUGGUGGCGGCGGCGGUGGCGAGCGCCAUGGCCGUGGAGAUAAGUAUCAGUUGGAGCUGCACCGUACUGAGCUUACUGAUAGCCAUGGUGCGAUUGGGAUAGGGGAGACAGAGAAAGGGGCUCUGCACUUGAACCGUGUAACGGACCAUGUGCUUAUAUAACUCGUCGGUCAACCAUGUGCUUCUACAAGUCGUCGAUCAACAACACGAGUGAGAAUAAGGCGCGUAGACAGACGUAUUCCAAGACUUAAAGUAUGUUAUCUUUCACCAAGUAGUAUUAAUAUAUGAUUGUACGCUUUUCUUUGAACGUGGAUCAGUACGUUUCAGGCCUUGGGAUCUGCUAUUGGCUUGGUUUGGUCGGUGGUGAGUGAUGGCAGUUCAACUGCAACCGUGCGAGUGAAUCUGAAUAUUUUAAAGAUUGUUUAGCAACCAAUAUUAAUCAGUGCUACUGUCCAGCGGUGGGGACUGAUGCCUGGGGACGCCGUCACAGCUAGAUCGGCUAAGAGUUCAAGGUAACUAAAUCAUUAAAAUUCGUUUGGUACUCUAAGGCUCAACGUGUGAUUGUAUGCCUUUUCAGUCACAGUCUCUAGCUGUGAUAUGGCCUGUCAAAACAUCGAAGUUAUCUUCUACAUGAAUCAUCCAUGAUGCAUCGCUUCUCUGACUGAAACAACUAGGUAAUCAAGUUAAUUACAAAAUACGUCAAGGUGCCCAGUACACCUCUGAUGCGUUUCGUUGCUUUAUUUUGCCCUUGAUUAAAAGCUUCGCAUACUAGGCGUGCCACAUAAUAUAGUUUUCAUUCGAUUUUUCAUGAUAAGACAUUAAUACCUGUUAUAUUGAUGUACCUUAGGUUCCUGAAGGUACUUAGAGAGAUUCUUUUCUGGUGAUUGUUAUUGUGUUCGAGAAGACAUUUUCAUAUGCUGGAUUUGAGCAACAACCAAAGAAGUUGCUGCAACCCUAGACUCUUUUGUUAACGUUGAACUAUACUUGAAAUCUGAGAAGGAAAAUGCAGAGAUCAGGUAUCUGUACCGAUUCACUCAAGCCCCACCUGCUACAGAACAGAAAUGUGUGAUCUCCAUUCUUUACUUAUGUUGCUUCAUAUGCUUUUCAAUGUUUGCUUAUACUUACUGGCUCCAUGUUUGCAACAUACCUGUAGAUUAUCUGACCCUUUGCAAUACCAAUCAAUUGUUGAUGCUGAAUGGAUCAUUAUUUAUGAUAAACUGGAUAAAUGUGUGAAAAGUGGAGCAAAGAUAGUUCUGUCUGGUGAUCUUGCAACACAGGUAGCCCAGUGUUUUUAUUUAGCCGAAUAACCUUCUGCUAUUCUGUGAUGUACUUCUGCAGCCUAUCUCAGAUAAUUUGGGUCUAUAUGGUAGUUUGCUGAUGAGACAUUUUCUGCACCGGUCGUGUCACUGAAUAAGAUCUGCAACGUGUUGCUGCAGAAACUGGUGGAGCUGUUCAAACUUCUGUAAAUAAUGUCAUGGAUAGUUUCUCUACUGGCAAAUCAGUGAAGGUCACCCUAAUGUGUUGGAAUAUGAUCCGAAUUAUAACGUGAGUCCUAUGGGGACGCCUAGAGGGCCCACGGUUCGGGUUAUGUUUAUUAGCGGAUUUGUUUCCGUAUUUGACUGCAGUCAGUCCGUACUAUAAAUAUAUCUUGUAAGCCGUAUGAGAAGAGUUGAGAGAGAGACAACUAGUUAUUCCCUGCGUUCUGUAAACUCUCAUCAUAUAGUGAAGAUCGCCGGUUGGCGCCCGUGGUUUUUUUCCGCAAGGGUUUUCCACGUAAAAAUCUGUGUCUCGUGUUCGAUCUAUUCACUACGUGAAAAAAAGCACUAAGAGAACGCCACCCCCCCUCUACUGUAGGGGCGCCUGGCUUUGGAGCCGCCGUUACAGUGGCUCGGGUUACCCGCCCUUACAGUGGCCACUGUAAGGGCGGCUAGUGUUAUCAGCCGCCCUUACAGUGGUAGGUCACAGUAAGGGUGGCCGGAUCACUGGCCGCCCUUAUAGUAGACUACUGUAGGGGCGGCUCAAUCACCAGCCAUCACUACAGUGGUUUUAGACAAAAUUGGUCAAAUGAGAUACUAAAUUACUUCAAAUAAAAAUUUUUUGAACAUUACGAUUGUAUAACUCAUCAAGAUCUACAUUUAUUAUAUAGUUUAUUUUUCUAUUUGAGAAAGUGUUAGUAAUAGUCAUAAGGUGGCUCAAUCACCAACCGUCCCUACACUGGUUUUGGACAAACUUGGUCAAAUGAGGCACUAAAUAACCUCAAAUAAAAAAAUAAAUACAAGGGUGUUAGAACUCAUCAAAAUCUACAUUUAAUUUCCUACAUAAUUCAUUUUACCAUUUGGAAAAAUUUUAGUAAACUCUAGUCACAUGUUGAUCAAAUGAGGCACUAAAUGACCUCAAAUAAAAAAAUUUUAAAUACAAAGAUGUUAGAACUCAUCAAAAUAUAAAUUUGAUACAUAGGAUAUUUUGUAUUUGAGAAAGUGUUAGUAAACACAAGUUACAAAGUUUUGAAUCUUAUGUACAUUUUAUGGAACUAUAUGUGAGACUUGUGGAUUUAGAACUACACUUUUCUAACAAUUUUUCAAAUGCAAAAAUAUCCUAUGUAUCAAAUGUAGAUCAUGAUAAGUGGACCAAUUUUGGUAUGAAUGACUUUUCGAGUUGAGUUCCUAUAGGGUUUCGAAAACUUGUCUGUAGCUGUGAAAAUUUCAAAAUUCAAAAUUUGAGUGGUUCCAACUUUGUCAAAUGAAAACUUGACCAUUAUAUAACAAAUGUAUAUCUUGAUGAGUUUUACGUGUAUUCAUGACUUUUGUAUUCGAGACAAUCUAGGGUUCAGUCAAAGUGUCUUUUUUAAAAAAAUCUAAUAUUUGAUUUGGUCAAACUUGGUCAAAUGACGCACUAAAUGAACUCAAAUAAAAAUAUUUUGAAUACAAAAGUGUUAGAACUAAUCAAUAUCUACAUUUGUUAAAUAGGUCAUUUUACCAUUUGGAAAUUUUUUACUAAACUCUAGUCACAUGUUUUAAAAAUCUACGAUGUGACUUGGUCAAAUGAGGCAUUAAAUGACCUUGAAUGAAAACCUUUUGAAUACAAGGGUGUUAGAAUAUAUCAAGAUCUACAUUUUAUACAUAGCUCAUUUUUACAUUUGAGAAAGUAUUAAUAAACACUAGUGUCUUUUCUAAAAAAUUCAAGAUUUAACUUGGUCAAACUAGGUCAAACGAGGUGGUAAAUUACCUCAAAUUAAAACCUUUUGACUACAAAGGAGUUAGAGCUCACCAAGAUCUACCUUUGAUACAUAGUUCAUUUUUGCAUUUGGAAAUGUUUUAGUAAACUCUAGUCACAUGUUUAAAAAUCCAAGACGUGACUUGGUCAAACAUGGUCAAACGAGGCAGUAAAUCACCUCAAAUGAAAAACUUUUUAAUACAAGGGUGUUAGAGCUCAUCAAGAUCUACAUUUCAUACAUAGGACAUUUUUGCAUUGGAGAAAGAGUUCGUAAACUCUAGUCACAAAGUCUUAAAUGUCACACAGACUGCGUGACCUAUGCAUUUACAACUACGCUUCGUAAAGCUUUGUCAAAUGCAAAAGUGUCUUAUGUAUUAAAUGUAGAUAUUGAUGAGUGGAACAAACUUUCUAUACAUGAAUUUUCGAGUUAGGGUCGUCUAGGGUUUCGAAAACGUGCGUGUAGCUGUGAAAAUUUGAAAUUUUAAAAUUUGAGUGGUCCAAACUCUCUCAGAUGAAAAGUUGAUCAUUACACCAAAUGUGUAUCUUGAUGAGCCGGACAAACUUCGUAUUCAUGACUUUUAUAGCUGAGACAAUCUAGGGUCCGGUCAAAGUGUCUUUUCUAAAAAAUUCAAGAUUUGACUUGGUCAAACUAGGUCAAACGAGAAGGUAAAUUACCUCAAAUUAAAAAAAUUUGACUACAAAGGAGUUAGAGCUCACCAAGCUCUACUUUUGAUACAUAUUUCAUUUUUGCAUUUGGAAAUGUUUCAGUAAACUCUAGUCACAUGUUUUAAAAAUCCAAUCUAUGACUUGGUCAAACCUGGUCAAACAAGACACUAAAUAACCUCAAAUGAAAAACAUUUGAAUACAAGGGUGUUAGAGCUCGCCAGGAUCUACAUUUGAUAUAUUGGAUAUUUUUGCAUUUGAGAAAGUGUUGGUAAACUCUAGUGACAAAGUCUUGAAUCUCACAGAGAUUUUAUGAAACUAUAUGCGGGACUUGUGGAUUUACAACUACACUUUCGUAACGCUUUGUCAAAUGCAAAAAUGUCCUAUAUAUCAAAUGUAGAUCUUGAUGAGUGAAACAAACUUGCUAUACAUGACUUUUUGAGUUGGGGCCGUCUAAGGUUUUAAAAACAUGCAUGUAGGUGUGAAAAUUCAAAAUUUCUAAAUUUGAGUGGUCCAAACUCUCACAGAUGAAAAGUUGACCAUUACACCAAAUGUGUAUCUUGAUGAGCCAGAAAAACUUUGUAUUUGUGACUUUUAUAGCUGAGACCAUCUAGGUUCCGGUCAAAGUGUCUUUUCUAAAAAAAUCGAAGAUUUGACUUGGUCAAACUUGAUCAAACGAGGAACUAAAGAAUAAACUUUGCAUAUAUAUAUAUAUAUAUUAAUCAUAAAUUUUUUUGAAAUAAUUCAAAAUUAUUACAUAUUUGAAUUUGAAUUUGAAUUUUUAAAUUUACAUAAAUCUAUUUUUUAUUCUAAAAACAUUUAGUUUUGAAUCUUCAUAAAAACAUGGAAUAGUUAAAAAUUAUUAUAUAUAUAUAAAUUAAACGUAAAAGUACAUGGAAUAUCUUAAAAUUUUUAUAUAAUUAUAUUUUGAACUUUAAGUAUAUAGAAAAUCUUUAUUUUUUUAAAAAAUAAUUUUAUAUUUGGAAAAAAGCACUGUAUUUGGCCCAUGGGCGACCUGUUUCAACUCACAUCGAAGCAUAUCGGCUUUUCACCGUUGGAUCGACUUUGAACGGCUGAGAUUCGCGAAAUGCUGAAUAAAACCCAUGCAAAGUCUUAGCCCACGCGAUCCGAUGCAGAGGCAGAGCAGAUCCACGCAGAGGCAGAGCAGAUCCACGCUGCCUGCCCAGAUGCAGAUGCAGAGCAUUGUUCAGGUCAGGUUUCCCCUCCGCCUUGUUUUGUUUUUUAAUUCUGUCUUAGAUCAUUUUCGUUCCCCCCGCAUAAAGCAACAACUGAUUGUGGGAUUCUCUUUGCUAUCACAUAAGAGUCUAGGUGCCACCAGUUACCUAGUACUACUAAUUGCUCCAAUACGUAUAAAGAUGACAUGGAAGGAUCCUGACCAAUANNNNNNNNNNNNNNNNNNNNNNNNNNNNNNNNNNNNNNNNNNNNNNNNNNNNNNNNNNNNNNNNNNNNNNNNNNNNNNNNNNNNNNNNNNNNNNNNNNNNNNNNNNNNNNNNNNNNNNNNNNNNNNNNNNNNNNNNNNNNNNNNNNNNNNNNNNNNNNNNNNNNNNNNNNNNNNNNNNNNNNNNNNNNNNNNNNNNNNNNNNNNNNNNNNNNNNNNNNNNNNNNNNNNNNNNNNNNNNNNNNNNNNNNNNNNNNNNNNNNNNNNNNNNNNNNNNNNNNNNNNNNNNNNNNNNNNNNNNNNNNNNNNNNNNNNNNNNNNNNNNNNNNNNNNNNNNNNNNNNNNNNNNNNNNNNNNNNNNNNNNNNNNNNNNNNNNNNNNNNNNNNNNNNNNNNNNNNNNNNNNNNNNNNNNNNNNNNNNNNNNNNNNNNNNNNNNNNNNNNNNNNNNNNNNNNNNNNNNNNNNNNNNNNNNNNNNNNNNNNNNNNNNNNNNNNNNNNNNNNNNNNNNNNNNNNNNNNNNNNNNNNNNNNNNNNNNNNNNNNNNNNNNNNNNNNNNNNNNNNNNNNNNNNNNNNNNNNNNNNNNNNNNNNNNNNNNNNNNNNNNNNNNNNNNNNNNNNNNNNNNNNNNNNNNNNNNNNNNNNNNNNNNNNNNNNNNNNNNNNNNNNNNNNNNNNNNNNNNNNNNNNNNNNNNNNNNNNNNNNNNNNNNNNNNNNNNNNNNNNNNNNNNNNNNNNNNNNNNNNNNNNNNNNNNNNNNNNNNNNNNNNNNNNNNNNNNNNNNNNNNNNNNNNNNNNNNNNNNNNNNNNNNNNNNNNNNNNNNNNNNNNNNNNNNNNNNNNNNNNNNNNNNNNNNNNNNNNNNNNNNNNNNNNNNNNNNNNNNNNNNNNNNNNNNNNNNNNNNNNNNNNNNNNNNNNNNNNNNNNNNNNNNNNNNNNNNNNNNNNNNNNNNNNNNNNNNNNNNNNNNNNNNNNNNNNNNNNNNNNNNNNNNNNNNNNNNNNNNNNNNNNNNNNNNNNNNNNNNNNNNNNNNNNNNNNNNNNNNNNNNNNNNNNNNNNNNNNNNNNNNNNNNNNNNNNNNNNNNNNNNNNNNNNNNNNNNNNNNNNNNNNNNNNNNNNNNNNNNNNNNNNNNNNNNNNNNNNNNNNNNNNNNNNNNNNNNNNNNNNNNNNNNNNNNNNNNNNNNNNNNNNNNNNNNNNNNNNNNNNNNNNNNNNNNNNNNNNNNNNNNNNNNNNNNNNNNNNNNNNNNNNNNNNNNNNNNNNNNNNNNNNNNNNNNNNNNNNNNNNNNNNNNNNNNNNNNNNNNNNNNNNNNNNNNNNNNNNNNNNNNNNNNNNNNNNNNNNNNNNNNNNNNNNNNNNNNNNNNNNNNNNNNNNNNNNNNNNNNNNNNNNNNNNNNNNNNNNNNNNNNNNNNNNNNNNNNNNNNNNNNNNNNNNNNNNNNNNNNNNNNNNNNNNNNNNNNNNNNNNNNNNNNNNNNNNNNNNNNNNNNNNNNNNNNNNNNNNNNNNNNNNNNNNNNNNNNNNNNNNNNNNNNNNNNNNNNNNNNNNNNNNNNNNNNNNNNNNNNNNNNNNNNNNNNNNNNNNNNNNNNNNNNNNNNNNNNNNNNNNNNNNNNNNNNNNNNNNNNNNNNNNNNNNNNNNNNNNNNNNNNNNNNNNNNNNNNNNNNNNNNNNNNNNNNNNNNNNNNNNNNNNNNNNNNNNNNNNNNNNNNNNNNNNNNNNNNNNNNNNNNNNNNNNNNNNNNNNNNNNNNNNNNNNNNNNNNNNNNNNNNNNNNNNNNNNNNNNNNNNNNNNNNNNNNNNNNNNNNNNNNNNNNNNNNNNNNNNNNNNNNNNNNNNNNNNNNNNNNNNNNNNNNNNNNNNNNNNNNNNNNNNNNNNNNNNNNNNNNNNNNNNNNNNNNNNNNNNNNNNNNNNNNNNNNNNNNNNNNNNNNNNNNNNNNNNNNNNNNNNNNNNNNNNNNNNNNNNNNNNNNNNNNNNNNNNNNNNNNNNNNNNNNNNNNNNNNNNNNNNNNNNNNNNNNNNNNNNNNNNNNNNNNNNNNNNNNNNNNNNNNNNNNNNNNNNNNNNNNNNNNNNNNNNNNNNNNNNNNNNNNNNNNNNNNNNNNNNNNNNNNNNNNNNNNNNNNNNNNNNNNNNNNNNNNNNNNNNNNNNNNNNNNNNNNNNNNNNNNNNNNNNNNNNNNNNNNNNNNNNNNNNNNNNNNNNNNNNNNNNNNNNNNNNNNNNNNNNNNNNNNNNNNNNNNNNNNNNNNNNNNNNNNNNNNNNNNNNNNNNNNNNNNNNNNNNNNNNNNNNNNNNNNNNNNNNNNNNNNNNNNNNNNNNNNNNNNNNNNNNNNNNNNNNNNNNNNNNNNNNNNNNNNNNNNNNNNNNNNNNNNNNNNNNNNNNNNNNNNNNNNNNNNNNNNNNNNNNNNNNNNNNNNNNNNNNNNNNNNNNNNNNNNNNNNNNNNNNNNNNNNNNNNNNNNNNNNNNNNNNNNNNNNNNNNNNNNNNNNNNNNNNNNNNNNNNNNNNNNNNNNNNNNNNNNNNNNNNNNNNNNNNNNNNNNNNNNNNNNNNNNNNNNNNNNNNNNNNNNNNNNNNNNNNNNNNNNNNNNNNNNNNNNNNNNNNNNNNNNNNNNNNNNNNNNNNNNNNNNNNNNNNNNNNNNNNNNNNNNNNNNNNNNNNNNNNNNNNNNNNNNNNNNNNNNNNNNNNNNNNNNNNNNNNNNNNNNNNNNNNNNNNNNNNNNNNNNNNNNNNNNNNNNNNNNNNNNNNNNNNNNNNNNNNNNNNNNNNNNNNNNNNNNNNNNNNNNNNNNNNNNNNNNNNNNNNNNNNNNNNNNNNNNNNNNNNNNNNNNNNNNNNNNNNNNNNNNNNNNNNNNNNNNNNNNNNNNNNNNNNNNNNNNNNNNNNNNNNNNNNNNNNNNNNNNNNNNNNNNNNNNNNNNNNNNNNNNNNNNNNNNNNNNNNNNNNNNNNNNNNNNNNNNNNNNNNNNNNNNNNNNNNNNNNNNNNNNNNNNNNNNNNNNNNNNNNNNNNNNNNNNNNNNNNNNNNNNNNNNNNNNNNNNNNNNNNNNNNNNNNNNNNNNNNNNNNNNNNNNNNNNNNNNNNNNNNNNNNNNNNNNNNNNNNNNNNNNNNNNNNNNNNNNNNNNNNNNNNNNNNNNNNNNNNNNNNNNNNNNNNNNNNNNNNNNNNNNNNNNNNNNNNNNNNNNNNNNNNNNNNNNNNNNNNNNNNNNNNNNNNNNNNNNNNNNNNNNNNNNNNNNNNNNNNNNNNNNNNNNNNNNNNNNNNNNNNNNNNNNNNNNNNNNNNNNNNNNNNNNNNNNNNNNNNNNNNNNNNNNNNNNNNNNNNNNNNNNNNNNNNNNNNNNNNNNNNNNNNNNNNNNNNNNNNNNNNNNNNNNNNNNNNNNNNNNNNNNNNNNNNNNNNNNNNNNNNNNNNNNNNNNNNNNNNNNNNNNNNNNNNNNNNNNNNNNNNNNNNNNNNNNNNNNNNNNNNNNNNNNNNNNNNNNNNNNNNNNNNNNNNNNNNNNNNNNNNNNNNNNNNNNNNNNNNNNNNNNNNNNNNNNNNNNNNNNNNNNNNNNNNNNNNNNNNNNNNNNNNNNNNNNNNNNNNNNNNNNNNNNNNNNNNNNNNNNNNNNNNNNNNNNNNNNNNNNNNNNNNNNNNNNNNNNNNNNNNNNNNNNNNNNNNNNNNNNNNNNNNNNNNNNNNNNNNNNNNNNNNNNNNNNNNNNNNNNNNNNNNNNNNNNNNNNNNNNNNNNNNNNNNNNNNNNNNNNNNNNNNNNNNNNNNNNNNNNNNNNNNNNNNNNNNNNNNNNNNNNNNNNNNNNNNNNNNNNNNNNNNNNNNNNNNNNNNNNNNNNNNNNNNNNNNNNNNNNNNNNNNNNNNNNNNNNNNNNNNNNNNNNNNNNNNNNNNNNNNNNNNNNNNNNNNNNNNNNNNNNNNNNNNNNNNNNNNNNNNNNNNNNNNGUUUGUGUUGUGAUGUAGUCAGAUUUGAUUAUAUAUAUAUAUAUAUAUAUAUAUAUAUAUAUAUAUAUAUAUAUAUAUAUAUAUAUAUAUAUAUAUGCUACUCUAUUUGAUUAUUGUAAUUUUUAUUUUUUUGCUGAAAAUUAACUCUAGAGCCGCCCUUACAAAUGCAGACAAUAGGAGCGGCUGGAACACUGACCGCUCUUACCAAUACUCACUGUAAGGGCGGCUAGAAACACCAGCCGCCCUUACAGCGGUCACUAGUAAGGGCGGCUGGUGUUAUCAGCCGCUCGUACAGUGGACCACUAUAAGGGCGGCUGGUGUUGAACCGCCCUUACAGUAGAAUUCACUGUAAGAGCGUUUACAUAAGGGCGGCUAGGCCAACCGCCCUUACAGAGCAUAUUUAGCCACUCUUACUGUAGGUGAGUGUAGUAGUGAUUAUUUCUUUAUUUCCUAACAAGUGGUAUCUAGAGUCAGACACGAGAUUAAAAAAAUUAGGGUUUGAAUCCUGUGUUGGAUUUCCUAACAAGUGGUAUCUAGAGUCAGACAUGAGAUUAAAAAACAUUAGGGUUUGAUUCCUGUGUUGGCCGCCGCCGUCAUCAGGCUGCUGCACUCGACGCCCCUGUUCCGUGCCAUGCCAGUAUCGGUGACUCGUCGUAUCCUUUAACGAGUCCAAGCGGAGUCUACGUCGAGUAGGAAGCUAGUGCCGCGGUUUGCCGUUUCAUCGAAGCCGAAGCGCUGCUGCUGCGUCUAUACAAAAGCUGUGUUGCUGCUGCCGGUUGCGUCAGGCGGAGAAAAAAUUUUCUGUUGUGCCGCUGUCCACUCUGAUCAAAGGGUAUUGCGUGUGCUGUGAAUUUAUUCACGGAUCUAAAGCUGCUGCUUGGGCUUGCCGUGGGGAGUUGAAAAAAGAGUUGGUGAAUUUCUGCUACGUCCACACGAGAAAGCUACCAGGAGAUCUGUUCAUUGGCAGUUCUUUGCUAAUUGUACACAGCAAGUGUACCAGGCUGCAGGUUCUUGCUAGGGUUACACCUAAAUUUCUGCAGAUCAUAUUCUUCUGGUUAUUCCUAUUUUUUCUUCACCAUGUCUUCGAUGAAGUAUGAUAUUCCUCAACUGGAUCGCGAUACAAGGUUCGCUCUUUGGCAAGUCAAGAUGAGGGUUAUUCUUACGCAGGCUGAAGUGGAUGAUGCUCUUGAUAAAUUCGGUGACAAGGAUUCAAAAUCUUGGACCGAUGAGGAGAAGAGAAAAGAUCGUAAGCCCGUGACUCAAACUCAGCUUCAUCUUUCAAAUAAUAUUUUGCAAGAUUGUUUGCAGGAGAAUACUGCAGCUGCUCUAUGGCUCAAGUUAGAGUCAAUUUGUAUGUCUAAGAACUUGACAAGCAAGAUGCAUUUGAAGAUGAAGUUAUAUACGCACAAGUUGCAAGAGGGUGGCUCUGUGCUCAACCAUCUUUCGGGCUUCAAGGAGAUCGUUUCUGAUCUACAGGCUAUGGAGGUAGAUUAUGAUGAUGAGGAUUUGGGUCUUAUUCUUUUGUGCUCUUUGCCUAAUUCUUUUGCAAACUUCAGAGAUACACUGUUAUAUAGUCAUGAUACUCUAACGCUUGAUGAGGUUUCUGAGGCGUUGCAUGCCAAGGAAAAGACGAAACAGAUGGUGUCUUCUGAAGGUUCUGCUUCUAAAGGAGAAGCGUUGUCUAUUCGUGGGAGGAUAGAAAAUAAAAUUAAUGGCAAUAGAGGUAAAAGUUCCAAUGGUUAUAAAGGCCGAUCAAAGUCUCGAGGUAGAGGUGAGAAAUUCUGCAAGUAUUGCAAGAAGGAUAAUCACUUUAUUGAGGAUUGUUAUAAAUUAAAAAAUAAAGAGAAGAGAACUGGCACAUAUAGAGAGAAAGGUAAAUCCAAUGAUGAAGGUAAUGCUUCUGUUGCUGCUUCCAAAGCAGAUUAUUCUAAUUGUGAUUCACUUGUUGCUUUUGCUGGAUGUGCUAAUAGUGAUGAUGAAUGGAUUCUUGAUUCCGCUGCUUCUUUUCAUAUAUGCACUAAUAGAGAUUGGUUUGUCACCUAUGAUUCUCUCCAAGGUGGAGGUUCUGUUAGAUUGGGUGAUGAUAGUCCACUUGAUAUUGUUGGCAUUGGAUCUAUUCAAAUUAAGAUGCAUGAUGGUAUUGUCAGAACUUUGACUGAUGUGAGGCAUAUUCCAGACAUGAGCAAGAAUCUUAUUUCUCUCAGUACUCUUGAUGUUAAAGGGUACAAGUACUCUGGUGGAGAUGGAGUUUUAAAGGUGUCAAAAGGUUCUCUUAUUGUGAUGAAAGGUGAACUGAAAUCUCCAAAUUUGUACCGUCUUCGUGGCACUACAAUUACAGGUGAUGCUACUGUAAUUUCUAAUUCACCAUCUAAUUCUGAUGCUACAAAUCUUUGGCAUAUGCGUCUUAGACAUAUGAGUGAGCAAGGCUUGCAUGAAUUAUGCAAGAGAGGACAUCUUGAUGAACAUAGCAUCAGUAAGCUGAAGUUUUGUGAGCAUUGUGUGUUUGGCAAACACAAGAGGGUGUCAUUUAAUACCUCUACUCAUAAAAGUAAAGGUAUUCUUGAUUACGUGCAUUCUGAUUUAUGGGGACCAUCUCGCGAGCCUUCUAUUGGUGGUUCUCGUUAUAUGUUGACAAUCAUUGAUGAUUAUUCUCGUAAGGUAUGGCCUUAUUUUUUAAAGCAUAAAUCAGAAGUAUUUUCAGCAUUUAAAGAGUGGAAGAUUAUGAUUGAAAAUCAAACUGAGAAGAAGGUUAAAAAGCUUCGCACUGAUAAUGGGAUGGAAUUCUGUUCUAAUGAAUUUAAUGCAUAUUGCAAGUCUCAAGGCAUUGAUAGGCACUACACUAUUCCUUAUACACCUCAACAGAAUGGUGUAGCUGAGCGUAUGAACAGAACUAUCAUCUCCAGGGCCCGUUGCAUAUUGUCUAAUGCUGGCUUGAAUAAUCGUUUUUGGGCUGAAGCUGCUUCCACUGCUUGCUAUCUUAUUAAUUGUUCACCCUCGAUUCCUCUUGAUAAGAAAACUCCAACUGAGGUAUGGUCUGAAUCUCCAGCUGAUUAUUCACAAUUGAGAGUUUUUGGUUGUACUGCUUAUGCUCACGUUGAUAAUGAUAAAUUGGAGCCUGGAGUUGUUAAAUGUAUUUUUAUUGGUUAUCAACAUGGUGUUAAAGGUUAUAAAUUGUGGAAUCCCCAAACUCAAAAGGUUAUGCUUAGUAGGAAUGUUAUCUUUAAUGAGACUGUUAUAUUUGUUGAUAAUCCUUCUGUUGAUGCUCCUGUUGAGGGAGAGAAAAUAAGUGUGCAGGUGGAGCACUUAAUUGAUGCACCAGAGGUUGAUAAUGCUUUUAUCCAAGAUACACCUAUUGCUGAAAUUUCUCCAAUUGUUGAUGAUUCAUCUAUUAUUGAGCAUUCUUCUCCAGUUGUGCAGUCUCCACAACGUUCUGUUGCUGUUGGUAGGGCCAGAAGGCAGCCCAAGCCUGUUAAAAGGUAUAUUGAAGAAUGCAAUGUUGCUUAUGCUAUGAGUGUUGCAGAAGAGAUUGAAGGUAAUUCAAAACCUUCUAAUUAUUCUGAGGCUCUUACUUCUGCUGAUUGCAACAAUUGGAUGACCGCUAUGCAAGAUGAGAUGGAGUCACUUGAAAAGAAUGGUACUUGGGAUUUAGUGAAAUUUCCCAAGAAUAAAAAGCCUGUCCAUUGCAAAUGGAUUUUCAAAAGAAAGGAGGGUAUUUCUCCUAGUGAACCAGCAAGGUAUAAAGCAAGGUUGGUUGCUAAAGGCUAUAGUCAGAUUCCAGGUAUUGAUUAUAUUGAUGUAUUUUCCCUAGUUGUUAAGCAUAGUUCAAUUCGCACUUUGCUUAGUAUUGUUGCCACGCAUGAUUAUUAACUUGAGCAACUUGAUGUUAAAACUGCAUUCUUACAUGGGGAGUUGGAAGAAAACCUUGUGUGUAGACUAAAGAAGUCUCUUUAUGAUUUGAAGCAGUCUCCUAGGCAAUGGUAUAAGAGGUUUGACUCAUUUACGCUCUCUCAUGGCUUUAAACGGUCUGAUUAUGAUAGCUGUGUUUAUUUGAAGAUUGUUAAUGGCUCAGCUAUUUAUUUGCUUCUUUAUGUUGAUUGCUGCUAAAGAUAAAUCAGAAAUAGCUAAAUUGAAGGCACAAUUGAGUAAAUAAUUUGAGAUGAAGGACUUAGGUGCAGCUAAGAAAAUUCUUGGUAUGGAAAUUACUAGAGAUAGAAAAUCUGGUAAAUUAUACCUCAGUCAGCGAGGUUAUAUUGAUAAGGUUCUUCGUCGUUUCAAUAUGCAUAAUGCAAAACCAGUGAGUACUCCAUUAGCUGCACAUUUCAGAUUAUCCUCAGAUUUAUGUCCAGAUUCAGAUGAUGAAAUUGAGUACAUGUCUAGAGUUCCAUAUUCCAGUGCAGUUGGUUCUCUUAUGUAUGCCAUGGUUUGUUCUCGUCUUGAUUUAUCUCAUGCAUUGAGUGUUGUCAGUAGAUUCAUGGCUAAUCCUGGUAAGGAGCAUUGGAGGGCUGUUCAGUGGAUUUUCAGAUAUUUGAGAGUUACUUCUAAUGCCUGUUUACAAUUUGGGAAAUCUAGAGAUGGACUUGUUGGUUAUGUUGAUUCUGAUUAUGCUGGUGAUUUGGAUAAGAGGAGAUCUCUCACAGGUUAUGUUUUCAUAAUUGGUGGUUGUGCUGUUAGCUGGAAAGGAAGUUUGCAGGCUACUGUUGCUUUGUCUACAACAGAAGCUGAAUAUAUGGCUAUUUCUGAAGCUUGUAAAGAAGCUAUUUGGUUGAGAGGUUUAUACUCUGAACUUUGCGGGGUUACUUCUUGCACUACUAUACAUUGUGAUAGCCAGAGUGCUAUUUGUCUGACUAAGGAUUAGAUGUUUCAUGAAAGGACCAAGCAUAUUGAUGUGAGAUAUCAUUUCAUUCGAGGUGUUAUUGCUGAAGGUGAUGCUAAAGUAAGCAAGAUAAGUACUCAUAACAAUCCCGCUGAUAUGUUGACAAAGCCAGUUCCUGGAGCUAAGUUUGGGCUAUGCUCAAGCUUAGUUGGUAUUACAAUUUGAGUCCUAGUGACUUUUUUUGGCGUCGGUGAUUAUUUAUUAUUGAAGUGAGUUGAUUGAUGAUACUUCAUUCGCUACAAGAUGGAAUUCGUCUCAAGGUGGAGUUUGUUGGAAUAUGAUCCGAAUUAUAACGUGAGUCCUAUGGGGACGCCUAGAGGGCCCACGGUUCGGGUUAUGUUUAUUAGCGGAUUUGUUUCCGUAUUUGACUGCAGUUAGUCCGUACUAUAAAUAUAUCUUGUAAGCCGUAUGGGAAGAGUAGAGAGAGAGACAACUCCUUAUUCCCUGCGUUCUGUAAACUCUCAUCAUACAGUGAAGAUCGCCGGUUGGCGCCCGUGGUUUUUCCCGCAAGGGUUUUCCACAUAAAAAUCUGUGUCUCGUGUUCGAUCUAUUAUUGCUUUAUUUCCUAACAUAAUGAAUUCAUUCGCCGCAUAUUCCUUUUCCUCACUAACCAACUCAGGGUUUAUAACCUGUGAUUUUAAGUGCACAGAUUGUAUAAAUUUUACCAUCUGGUCAGUUAUCCCCCCACAUUCAACGAACUGUGACAGAUUUCUCUUAUCCAACAUUUUCAUGUAAACCCUGUAUGGAUGGCCAGUAUCAUGUUCCCAUCAACAAUACUUGGUUCAUACUGUUCAGCUACCUUUAGAAGUAACACACCUUUCUUACCCAAACAUUCAGAGAGUGUAGGCCCUUGGAAAAAACUUUUUUUGAGUGUCGGUUCCAUGUCACUGUCAUCAUCCAGCUCUUAGCGAGGAUGCCUGUCAUUGCCCCCCUGAUUACCUUGCCUCUCAGGUGAUGUGUCGACAAUGAUGUUGCUUUGCACUACUGAGCCAUCACGUUCUCUACAUCGCCAGCCCUUUCGCUUUUUUGUACUGGUGGAGCCUGAAGAAUUGGUUUCAUCCAAGUUGAUUGCAUCAACUUGUUGUUCCUUGUUUCGUACCCCAACAUCCUUGUUGUCACCACAAAACUCACCUACUAGCUGUGCUUUGUUGCCCUGUAAAUUCUUAUAUGUCACAGACAUGCGAGCCACCUUCUUCAGAAUGAACUCCACACCCAUUGGGAGGCCCACAUUUGCAGGUUCUAGGGCGCGCCACAGGGAGGAGGCUCGGGGUUUGGGGGAGGACUGACCCAUCCUAUCAGGCAGAAACCAGCAACGGGGAUCAGCAAAGUGUACCAGAGGAACAUGGAGGGACAAGCUAAAGUUUAAUCUCUUCCUCUGUAACAGGAAUAUGGCACCUUGCUUCCAUGUGCCCUUUGAAUCCACAGAACAAGGAAAAAUUUGGUAAUCUCUCAUACCAGAUUUGGACAAGGACCACCUGUGAUUUCAUCAACCAGCAUGAUCUCCCUCUGUAAAGGCAUGAACAAGGGGAGCUGAACCCUGGUUGUGAUGAAUCUGUUAUUGAUGCAGCCUCUUGUGUUGUUGUGGAUCUUCAUAGUUGACCCGAUGCUCUCUUCUAGAUCUGGGGACAUCUUCUUGGUGAUGAGGUAGAAUGGGAUGUUCCUGAACUGCACCCACAUCGGCACAUGGGUGAAAAGUGCCGAUGAGGCUAUGAUGGAUCAGCUCCUGCUGCUAGCCCUUCAACCAGGAAGGCGUCGCUUUUGUACUGCCAAGGUCCGCCUAGUAUGGCAUGCCUCCAAUCUCCCUGUGAGAACUCUAGGAUGAACUUCCUACCCAUCUCCAUCUCUAGUGGACAGUCAUCCAUCUCCCUAUGGAUUUUCCAUACCUUCUUCAUGUGGUCGAUCAACUGUCUUGAGUUCACCAGCAGAACAAAGAGGAAGAAGCUGACCGCCAAGAAGCACUGGGAUGACUUGCACGCCCCAAUCAUGUCAACGACCAGGACUCGCUACUCCACCACCUUGCUGGUCUCCCCCGACUCCUUAGUCGAGCCUAUUGGGACAGGGGGAGCACCACCCAUCCCAUCACCUUCAAGCGCCGUUCAGGGCAAUCUUCACUCCCCGCCGUUGGGUAAAUCAGCGAACAACUUGAGAGUAGAGUGGGCUGGAUCUGGACUCGAGGAAAAUUUGUUGGACAAAUCUUCAAGUUGUUUGUUGAGAGUUCAACCACGCCUUCGCCCACAGCUGCGUCCCUACGUCCAAGAGAAUGGAAGUAAUUCGACCGUGAUGAUUGAACCUUCAUACCCCCAACCUUCGAACACUAGGGGACGAAGGUCCCGCAAAAACUUAACACUCAUACAGAUAGGUUUAGUGAUAUAUAUAUAGGAACCAAUCUCAAGUGGAGGAUCGCAGGGGAAGGAGCUGUUGGGCAUUCUUAACGUCACUACCAAAAGUAGACUUUUCUAAUUCUGAUAACGGCGCCAAAAAUGCCAAACCUAUCCCUCAUGCCACUUAAGCCAAGUUGUCAUCCCCAGCAUGACAUGAGAGACGCGGUAUUGAAAUAUGCAAUUGCUCUUCUGAAUAAAUAAUAAAUGAGAUCAGCAAGCGCACAGAUUAAUACCGAUGUAGCAUUUUAACCGGGAAGUAUUCCAGGUAUCGUUAUUUAUAUUUUUACCACUGGAAAAGGAUUGCUAAACAUCAAUAUUGAUUAUGGAAUAGAAUAUAGGAUUGAGUAUCUAUCAUUGCAUGUAUAAUUAAGAGCAUUUAUCUAUCUCUUGCAUACAGGGAUAAGUGUCACAUAAAAGAUAGAUAAAGUAUGAAUGGUGAUAAAGAUAAUUAAUCUGAUCAGCAUAACUAGCCACAUAUAAAUAUGAUAAGCACCUUAAUAGAUAUUCUAGCAAGUCAUUAGCAUGGAAUUAGGACGAACUACAAGAAUAUUUCCUAAGUUAUUCUUAACUAUAAAGUCUAGCAUAUCAUAGUUAGUGCAAUUAUACUUGGCAAUCAUUGCGAGACAGGACUACGCCCAUGCAUAGUGAUAUUAUCAAGGAAGAUGAGAAACAUAGCAAUCACUCCCCUAUAAUAAUGUUGCUCUGCCAGCCCUAUACAUGAGAGGGGGACUAUAUAAGAAUCAAUGGAGAUGUCACUACCACGAACUAUCCCGCGGUCUGGCAUAUAGGGUACAAUCGCAGAUAAAUACGAGGCACCACGCCUACACAAUACUUAUCAUUUACCCACUGUACACAUGGAUAAACGCUAUACGAUCCUAAACAUGUAUAUAAUUCCAAUCUAACUAAGCCAAUCAUAUAACUAUGAUAAACUAAGAGCAAUAUAAUUGCGAAUAUAAACAAGUAGAGCAAAGUCAUAAUCAAUAUAUUGAAGUAGAACAAAGUGAUAUUCAUAAUAUUGAAGAACGAAGAUAAAUAAUUGAAGAACAGUAGAGGAAUUACCAAGAAUCCUCUUGACAGAUCCGAAAACCAAUCGAAUAUUGACUCCUUCUAGUUCUAAUCCUAUGUAGCUAUGCUAAACUAGAGAUCUAAUUGAUGUGGUGGCUCUAGGGCUUGAUCAGAGGCUUCUUCUCCCGAGAUGGAUAAUGAAUUAGGGUUUCUGAGGGAUAGAGGUCCUCUCCUCCAGGGGCCAGGGGGUCUGCUUAUAUAGUCCUUCCAAGUGAAUGUGGGCCAUCGGAUCAAACCGACAUUAAUCGCACGGUUUUCCUUGAUCCUUUAGGUCGGUGGAGCAUGAUCCGCGAAGUUGAACCUGAUUGGCCCCGAGGCCAGGGCGGGCGCCCAAGGGGGGAGGGCGGGCGCCCUGCCCCCGAGCCCGUCCGGUCUCCCGUUCGUUUCCGUGGCUUCUGGACUCUUCUAGAUGUAAGAUAAUUGUGCGGCACAUUAAUAUCUCUAUAUAAACCCGACGUGUGGGCCUUUCUUCCAUAAUUCCUGAUAACCCCCUGCAGAAAUAGACAAACAUCAAAACUUGUGGAAUUCUGUCAGAUAAAACCCUAAGUCUGGAUGUCGGUUGCAUUUGGAUCCUUUUCUUUGUUUAUUUGUUGAUUAUAUUUGAUACUUAAGGACCAUCAACAGGAGCCUAUCCUUCGGCUCCCACACGACAAAGGAUGUGCUGACCCUAAACAAGGAUGAGCCAGAGAAACCCUACAAGGCAUUCUGAGGUCCUUCGGCGGCCGUGCAAUGGAGGAUCCACUAGUCUUGGCAGAAGAUGCGCAAAGGCCCAAGCUAUCACCACUAAAUUUUAGCCCUUUUGCCACGCUUUUAUGGUGCAACGACACUGAUUUGGUUGCAACAAGGGGUCCUCUCGCAACGAUUUGAACUUUUGGUUGCGAUAGAUGGUAUUCCUGCCACGCAAAUUAUAUCGUGGCCAUAAGUGUGGAGAUCGUUGCCAAAACUAGGAGUUGUUGCCACGCAAUUCAGAUCGGUGGCAAUAGUUGUUCACUGUUGCCACGAAUAUAGUUUCGUUGCUGCGAGUUUAUUUUCGUUGCGAUACUCAAAUGAUUUCGCAACGCUUUAAUUUGUUGGUUGCAAUAAAAAGUCACUCUUGCCACGAUUGGUUAUUCGUUGCUGAGAAUUUUGUUGUCGUUGUAAUAUUAAGAUGAUUUUGCAACGUUUUUAUUUGUUGGUUGCAACAAAAAGUGACUCUUGCCACGAUUGAUUUUCCGUUGCUGAAGCUUUGUUAUCGUUGCAAUACUAAGAUGCUUUCGCAACGCUUUUAUUUCCUGGUUGUAAUAAAAAGUCACUCUUGCCACGAUCGAUUUUCCAUUGCUAAUAGUUUUGUUGCUGUUGCUAUACAGUUAAAAUGUUUAAUGUAAUAUUAAAAAAAUUAAAAACCUUUUCAACUGAGAUUCGAGCCUUGAACCUCUCAGUUUUAGAAGCCACGCACUAACCAUCCGAUUUAUUAUGCAACACUUGUGUAUAAUUAUGAUUUGCAAUUCUAGAGAGACCCAGACACAGGUGAAGAGCCAAAAGAUCUAGUUCUUUGGAGGGCAACUCAUAGAAAACAUUCUGGCCAAUGGUCAAAUACUAUUGCAGCUACUGUAUAUGUGAGUAAAACUUUUGACAUUCCCUUUUUAUAGCUAAUAGUUGUGAAACAACUCUUAAUAUAUUCUUUUUUUUUAUUUAGGAAAAUGCAGCCAUCAAAAUUGGUGAGAUUGGCUUACAACCUGAUAGACAAGCACUUUCAGCAGCUGAGGAGAACACGAUUUUCCAGUCAACCUACAAAGAAACCACACAAAUCAAAUCAUCCAAAAUACAUGGGAAUGGUUAUAUGGCUAAGUACCGAACUCGCAAAGAACUUAUACAAGAGAACCUUGAAGUACAUGCACGUGUUGAAGCUGCAGCCACAGAGAGGAACAUUGCUUUUGAAGUAGAGGUUCAACAGCUGCAAAGAACAGAUUGCAAACGAAGCCGCUGAAAGGGAAAGGGAGAGAGAAGAAAAUAGGAGGAAGAUGCAAGAGGAUCUGGAAAAUGCUAAGGAAAUAAUGAGAGAACAAAUGAAGCAAGAGUUGCUUAAUAUGCUAGCACAACACAAAGAAGGAACUUUGAAUAUGGUAAUAUUUUUAUAUUCCCUUUUAAUCCUAUGUGCUGUUAAUAAACUUUUGAUGAUGAUGAUGCCUAAUCUAUUAGGUCAACUUUUUUGUGUGCAGAGUGCCCUCCAAAAUAAUGACAGCACAAAAAUUACACCUACAAUAGAAGAGGAACAUGAUAAUGCUGAACAUGGAAAUGAUGGCACACAAAUUGAUAGUUUGAUUCCACAGGUACUGCCUAUUCCUACACUAAGUUCUAAAUGAUAUUGACUUAUUUACCUUGAACUGUAGCUAAAAUUAAUCAAACAAUUUAUUUUUUGAAGUGUGAGCCUGCAAGCGUUGUCACCAUACAAAAAGCCGCAUCUACUCGUUCUGGGGUCAACAAAAAUGCUACUGGAGUCAGCAAAAAUCUUUUUAGCGAAAAAACUACAAAUAGACAAUCACAGAAGACUUAUAUCACUCAGCAAGAGCUGAUGAGUAGAACAAGAAAUGGCAAAAAGAAUAAGCAGGUAAUCUAAAUUCCUGUUUUUUUGUGUUCUUGAAUACAGAGUGCACCAAUUUGGAGUUUAGUGACACAUCAAAUGUGAUUAAUCUUGUAUAUACAAGAUGUAUGGGUACAUUUACCAUAUGUGAUGAGACCAGCAGCUGGUGUAUAGAUACAACAUGUCAGGUUUUGACCUUGCUGUGCAAAUUAGAUGUUAUUUCUGAUGUUUGACAUUGAGAACUAAAGAAUUUAUUAUUUGUACUGCUGCUGUUGUAUAGCGGCUUAUUAUUUUUUGAAUGCACAAGCUUAUUAUUGACCAGCACCUUAUUAUUUUUUGAAUGCACUGUACUGCUGCUGUUGCAUAGCAAAAACUGUGGUAACUAAAAAUUAGUGGAGUCAUUUAGAGAAUGGCUACAGUUUUGCACAGGCAUUUUCUCUUUGUUAGUUUGACUUGGGAAGGGCCUCAACCUGGAGAAAGGCCUAAGCUUAAUUAAUGUGACAACAAUGUUUCCAUUAUUUUUAUAUUAAGUUUACCUUUGCUCAAGUACAACCAUGUCAUAUUUCAAUCUCUUUACAUUUUCUGAAUGAUGUAGUAAACUUACUAUUUUACUAAUAUCCUUUUGUUACUCUUUUCACAGUAAGUGGACAAGGUUUCAGUUGGAGGCUCAUAAUCAAACAAGGUCAUAGCCUAGGAGAGGACAAGCUGCUCAUCAAGCAAAGUAUCGACAAUUUCAUAGAUUAUAGGAAGUUGCAUUUUUUAAAUAGUUGUGAGACAAUGAGUGAACUGAUAGUACUGUUGUUUGGGAUGAUUUAUUCCAUGGUACUGUAAACUCGCUUAUGGUUCUACAUAUGGUUUGUCAAUAUAUUGAAUGAUUUAUUAUAAUUGAUAUAUACAAGUGCAAUCACUUUUGUUUGGGAUGUUGAACCAACUUAGUUGAUGCUAGUACUGUUGUAAUAAAAAAUGUACCCACGAGCUAUGAUGCUAGGCUAUAUGACAUAUGGCAACAAAUUAAUUGCAUUACAAAAGGCUCUAUCGCCACGACAUUACCAAUGUUGCAAUAACAUUUGAUAUAUCGCAACAACUAAAAUUAAGUUGCAAAUAAAAAUAUUGCCACAUCAAAACAAUCGUGGCAUUAUCAUAUCAACUUUUGCAACGACUAAAAAAGCAUAGCAAAAGUUAGUAUUGCUACGAAACAGUGACUAUAGCCACAUCUUACUCUUGCAAUAAAAAAUAACGUUCGUAGCAAAUUAGGAACUUGCCAUGCUAAGACUUGCGUGGCAUAUUAUGUACUUGCCACGUCAUGCCGUUCGUUGCAAAUUAUGUACUCGCCACGAUACGACUUUCGGGGCAAAUUAUGUACUUGCCACGUUAUGGCGUUCGUGGCAAAUUAUGUACUUGCCACGGCGUCGCGAUCACGUGGCAAGUACACUAUACGCAACAAAACUGUAACGUAGCAAAACUAUCAUAUUGCUACGCUAAUAAUCAUUGCAUGUACGACCUGUUGCUACCAUGAAACCCAUGGCAAGUGCUCCAAUUGCCACGCCCGUGAACGUUGCGUCAAAAUCCUAUUGCCAUGCUUGGCAACGAAAUUGUAACGUAGCAAAACUAUCAUAUUGCUACGCUAAUGAUCGUUGCAUGUACGACCAGUUGCUACCACGAAACCCAUGGCAAGUGCUCCAAUUGCCACGCCCGUGAACGUUGCGUCAAAAUCCUAUUGCCAUGCUUGGCAACGGAUUGCAAUGGUUGCAACAAUCCUAAGCACUUGCAACGUCAAACUAGAUAUUGUGGCAAUACCUUAUUGCCACGUGACAUCUUGCAACCCUUGGCAACGAACGAGAUUUCAUGGCCCAAACUACUGCUUGCAACAAAAUUGGGCAUAUCGCAACGGUUUUUGGUCGUUGCAUAAGGGGUACAAUUUAGUAGUGCUACGAUAGGAACAGGGCCCCGAAGAGCUAGCCUACAAUGAGCCUACAGUUUGAAUUUACCUAAGUAGCCUUAUAAGGUGUAAACUGCGAUGUCGAAAUAUGCUAGGAUAUUCUUCCACGGUCACUGGGUACUUUUGUAACCGAUUCUGAUUAGGAUCCGCGCCCUAUAAAAGGAGACUAUAAAUGCUCUUUGAAGAGUUAGUUGAAACCAAUUGAUUGAUACACUGUCCGUUCUAGGGUUUCGAGUCUAUCAGCUGUUAAACUGAAGCCACUCGCUACAAUGAGCGAGCAGGCCCGACUAUCAUUGUGUUUGGAGGUGCCCCAGCUACUUCCAAUAUUGACCCCCACCGUGGGGCGCGAAGGAUAACCCACGAUGGCUGGCAAAAGAAGCAGCGCCACAAGAGCGCCGGCCAAAGCCGUCAGAAGGGGGAGGCCUAGACGCACUGCUCGAAGGACGUAUGCGACUGUAGGAAAUGAGGACGCACAGAAUGAGCAACCGGUGGUGGAUCAGGCUCAACCCACGGAGGAACAGCCGAAACCCACAACAGUUGAGGAACUUCAGCAAUUGCAGGCUCAGCUGCUGAGCCUACAGCAGGAAAGGGACAGAGUCGUGAUAGCCCAUGCGGCUAGCCAGCAGGCGGCACUGGCAGUCGUGCAAGCGGUGGAGAUCAGGCAGCAGCUCUCCAUCUUGUAGGCAGAAAUCCAAAGGAUGCAACCUCCACCACAACCCGCAGUUCAGCCCAACAACAUCACCGCUUCUGUGAACUUGCAGCCUCUAGGCUAUGGCGGCACAACUUGGGGGACCUUGGAUUUGAAAUCUCCACUGUUCGAAGGACUGCAAGCUUUGUGAUGGCCGGCAUCUUACAAACCAAUCACACUCCCCAAAUUUAAUGGCAAAGUGGACCCGCACCAGUUCUUGAUGAGUUUUGAGGCGGUGGUGGCUUCAGCAGGGGGGAACGAGACUGUCUUGGCCAAGUCCUUCGUGAUUGUGGCUGAAGGAGAUACACUGGCCUGGUACUCAAUGCUCAGGCCAGGUUCCAUCUACUCAUGGGAAAACCUCCGUGACAAAAUUCUAAUGAAAUUCCAAGGGUUCGCCACUGAGUCGCUGACUUCUACAGACCUAUUCUAGUGCAGGCCGGGUUAGGGAGAGACCUUGUGAGAUUACUUUCAGAGGUUCAUCCAAACCAAAGCGAAGGCACCAGGCGUGCCAUAGGAAGUCGCCAUCGAGGUAGCAAUCAAGAGCCUCCACAUAGACUCUUCAUGGCCCACUUAGUUAGGGAGAAACCAGCAUCUAUGUAGGAGUUGUACCAUGAGUUUGAAAAGUACUGCAAAUUGGAUAAUGACUUGCACAAAAGACUGGAAGAGCAGAGUGUUGAUGGUCCUUAAUGCUCACAUUUAACCAUCAACUAAUCAUGGAAAAGGACUUAUAUGCAACCAACACCUAGACUUAGGGUUUUAUCUGACAGAAUUCCACGAGUUUUGGUGUUUAUCUAUUUCUACAGGGGGUUAUCAGGAAAUACGGAGGAAAGGCCCACACGUCGGGUUUACAUAGAGAUAUUAACGUGCCGUGCAAUUUUCUAUCAUCUAGAAGACUCCAGAAGCCACGGGAACGAACGGGAAGCCGAGAGGGCUCAGGGACAGGGCGCCCGCCCAGCUACAGUGUCCAAUUCGGACCUGUUUCGCGGAUCACGCUCCACCGACCUAAAGGAUCAAGGAAAACCGUGCGAUUAAUGUCGGUUUGAUCCAACAGCCCAGAUUCAUCUGAAAAGACUAUAUAAGUAAGGCCCCUGGCCCCUGUAGAUCAUACCUCUUCUAUAGAAUCAAAGUUAGGGUUUCAAUUCUUCAUCCAAGUAGAGAGGAUCCCUCUAGUUCAUCUAGUUCUAGCUCUAGUUCAUCUAGUUCUAGUUCAUCUAGUUCUAGUUCCUCUAGUUCUAGUUCUAGUUGUAAUCUAGAAAAUAGGGAGAGACAAGAGGAGAGCAGAGGAGGAGGAGCCGGAUCUGUCGGAUCUUCCUCAACAUUGUACUUUUGCAUCAACUGGUUCGUUCUUCAUCGUUCUCCAAGUUCUUCAAUUCAUAAUUCCUGAGUUCUUUAAUUACUUUUAUUUACAUUCAAGUUAUUUAUUGGAUUCCCGCUUGCAUCAAGUGCUCUAGUAUUUAUAACGCUAGAGUAGUAAUUAAUAGAUUAGACGUGGUGUUUAGUCUUGCAAUUACCUGGAAUUGAACCCAAUCCUGCGGAUUGUUGUUGUAGCCCUAGGGUACUAACAGCCCUAACGGUCGACCUAUUCCACCUUGUUCGGAUCGGUGUUUGUAGGACCAUAGUCAGAGCUUCCUAGCCCCCUUCUCAUCUCUUUCUAUGGUUAGUGUUCUGAUGUCCCGAAAUAGAUAAUCUUGAAGUAGUUCUUGAUUCUUAGAUCAACUAGAGAACUCUCAGGAAACUUCCUCUCUUCCCACCAAAAAUAAUUAUAUAGUUAUCCUUGGGCGAUCUUGGAUCUUAAUUAGUACACUCACGUUCCCUAUGGAAAAUCGAUACUCUGGAAUACUUCCGGGUGAAGGCUACAUCGGUAUCCGUGCGCUUGCGGAUUUUUUCUGUUUGCGUUUCAAAUACCCAACAAGCUUUCUGGCGCCGUUGCUGGGGGGCGGUAGCUGUGCUAGUUUCGAACCAAGUCGUGCAUGUAUCCUUUUUCUUUUCCUUUUUUACCACACACACCUUACCAUUUUCACCACACCACAUGGAUUUCACUCUAAGCAUUAAUGAGCAUGGAAUUUAUUUCAUAGCCACUUCAUUUAGUCCAUGCUCAUAUGCAACAUCUUCCCAUUCUUUUGGUCUCUCCAACAUCACCACAUUCGAGAUCUCCAACCCCCUCGUCCGUUCAACUUUAAAAGGGCAGUUGUCGAUGCAUAUGUCUAUAUUAAAUAUUGCAGAUCUUAUUGAGUUGAUCUUGAUAUAGGUCAGCGUUGGAGGGGAAACCACUUCGCCGACAUAAAUUGAUGGUUUCCCAAGGACAAGCUUAGUGUCCUAAAAUAAGCACUAAUCAGAUUGUAACAUGAGCUUUUAAUUAUUUGCAACAUUACCUUGUGUUUUGAGCAUAUAAGGAUAAUUGUAAAAAAAAUUCCUUCAGAUAUUCUUGUCACUAACCUUUCUAGGAUUGGAGCAAGAAGAUCGGAUGAAUGACAAACACAAGGUAUGUCCAACCAAUCAUCAUACAACAUUGAGUUAAAUUCAUCCAAACUUGAAUUUUGCAAAAUUCAAGCUUGGGGGAGUACUUUACAUAAAAACAUCCUUUGCCAUGUUGCUAUGUUGGUUGUCCCUACCUUUUAGACAUCUCAAUUUGUUAAAUACUAAUCACAUUACUUCAUCUCUACUUGAGUAGAUCUCUAUAAAUGCUCUCAUGCUACCUUUAUUUGCUUUAGUAUAUGUCUAGGUUUGGAGUAGUUUCAUUUAUCUCUUAAUUAAGCAUGGUGCUUAGUUUAGGAAUGAUGAUCUUAUUUCAAAAGGAUUUUAAAUUAAGCAUGAUGCUUAGAUUAAAAUGCCCUCCUAAAUCAAAUUAAACAUGGUGUCUAGGUUGAUUUUUGAGCCGAUAGUAUGCUAUAGUAGAUAUUGGAUAUUUUGUUGGACUAACCCCUACAGGAAAACUUUCAAUAUCGACCUGGGAAGUCCUAAGAUAAACUCACAUUGGAGACAAAGAGAGAGACACAUGAAGGUUAACAAUUUACACAAGGAAGGCAUAGCUCACACGAGAUGAUCCAUGGUGGGUGCCACAAACACGAUGCACAACCGCUAAGAAAGGAAAGCUUCCACAAGGUGAUACUGUACCAUCACUCUUCAAGUAAGGUAACAUCUUAAGGUACUUGACUAUCACUUUUAUAAGCUUCUCCUUGGUUCUGGCGUUCACAACACGUAUGAUUUACAACUCUAGAUUAACCAACCCAAUCGAUUCAAUAUGUUCAGUCCUUCCACCUUUGUGAUCCCACACUCCUAAUCAUAUGAACUAAAAUGUUGAACACUCAAUCUUUGGAAGAAAUAUAAAAAACAACAUAAAUAUAGAUAGAUUAUCUUUCCAUUAGGUUGAGCAAUCUGAUCUGACAAAUGUUUUAAAUGCUACACUCAAGAUCUUGUUAUCCAUCAACUUUGUCUUGCUCACUAUGCUUAAGGUUACAGAAGAACAAAUAAACUUUUGGUUCUGUUGGUGUUUUCCACCAACAGGGCCCAUGCACUUGAUCUCUGCCUUGUCUCUAUGAGCAGGUACAGUUCAAGCAAAAUAUGAAGGAGUUUUACAACUCCCAGACUCCACCAAGUGAAGAACCUAGAUCUACGAGCACAAACACACUGGAGAUACUGGACACUCAGGAAAUCACUACCCUGAGAUGCUUGAGGACGUAACUACUGGAGUAACCCUGUUGUGGAAGUAAUUACUGACUGUCUGCCGGUCAAGAGAGGCGAUCCAGGACGCCCCAUCAUCCCGAUCUCCAUCGGCAUGGUGGAUUUCCCAGAAGCACUCUGCGACUUUGGCUCUAGCGUCAACAUUAUGCCCAGGGUAUUCUAUGAAAAAUUCUUUACACAUCCUUUACUAGAAACAACCAUGUGUUUGCAGCCUGCAGAUCGGACACUAAGCUCCCCAAAGGGAAUAUUGAAGAACCUUUGCGUCCGAGUUGGUACCUUGUACGCCCUAGCAGACUUCGUGGUGAUAGAGACUGGUACUGAUGAGAGUGUACCCAUCAUUCUAGGGAGGCCAUUCCUGAACACCUCAGGAGCUGUCAUCUACGCUAGUGCUGCCAAGAUCAGUUUCUACAUCAAGAGGAGAAAGGAGAUGUUUUCCUUUAAGAACAAGACUACACAAAUUUUAGAGCAAUCCCGUCAUGAACGAAGGAAGAGGACCAACAGGAGGAACAGGAACAAGCAAAUGUGGACCAAGUCAGCUAAAAUGGUCAUUGCAGUUCAAGAAGGUCAAGAUCGUCGACUUAAGUCACCGUUCCUGACCAAAAAGGAUGAUCCAGCCACCUAUCAGCUCCUAUUCGGAACCAUGCCCCUAAAACCGACACACAUUCAGCUCCAGAUGGCAGAUCAGACAUUCCGAAAGGUUGAAGGUAUAGUAACUGAUGUCUCUAUCAAAAUAGACGAUCAUUUUGUCCAUACAGUUUUUCAGGUUAUUGACAUGGGAGAAGACGAGUACGAUCCACCCAUCAUCCUUGGGAGACCGUUCCUCAGCACCGUUAAAACAAUCAUCUAUAUUGGAACCGGAGAAGUCCACAUGCACUUCCCCUCUGAGAAGGUACGCCGCUAUUUUACUGACCCUAACUAUAUAGUUAAGCAGGUCAGGACAAGAAGAAGACGACGCAACCGCAACCAGAGGAGGCAAAUCAUCAAGGACGGAUGGGCAGACUACGAAGGAGAAGUAGUAAGGUCUGAAGACAUACAGCUUGAACAGAACUGUCCUCAGGAGACCGUAGCACCAAGUCAGGUGUGGAGAGAGAAGAUAGUUAUACACGAAGAGAAGGCGCCACCGGAACCACCGACUACACCAUACAACGAAUCCCAGGACGAGUGAGAAAACGAAGAGUCCCGUUCGGAGGACUUAAAAACACCGAACGCCUUGCCAAGAGGUAAACUUGGUAGUUAUCCUUUUCCUUUCAAUUCUUUAAAAUAGUUUGCUUAGUUAAUCAGGUUCAUAUCAUCUUAAAAAGAAAAUAAAAAUGUUAAAAAAUAGUAAGCCCCAUGUGAGUAUGCUCAUGGCAUAAAACCCAUAAGUACAUUCACUGUGGUGGCGUAAAAAUGAAAUAAAUAUAUUCCUGUCCUAUAAAAAUAAAAUUAUAAAAAUAAAUUUAUGAUCCUUCUAAAGAGAGUAACAUUUAUUGAGGAGGCUCAACAUGAUAAAGGCUAGAUAUUUAUGCUAACACUUAACCAGUUCUACAAAGCUUUGUUGUCUAUUUGAGCUCCACAGAAUUUAAGGAUUAAAGAAGACUAGCAGACAGAGGACAUCCUAAUUGCUGUCAUAGUGCUGCCGACAUUCAAAUACACUUCCACCACCUGCUAGCUACAUCAGAAGAAAUUGUGUCAAAAUCCAGCUUGGGGGAGAGCACCCCCAUUUAUCCAGCUAAGUGUUCUACUCACAUUUAUACUUUACUCUAAUAAUAAAAAGAUGCAUAAUCAUAUAAACCCAAAUAAAGAUUUUGUGCUUAUAUAUAUAUCUUUGCUUAGUUUGCUAAAUAAAUAAAUAAAUAAAGUUUGCUAUGAACCCUCAUGAUAAGCUCUCACAUGGAAAUGAUGAAUAGUUGCUUUGCAAUGACUAAUUCUCAAAAUUGAAAUCUCUCUCAAGUUUAGGCAUGACUGUUAUUAAUUAAGAUUUGCUCUAAACCUGAACUUGUGGGAAGAGUACUUGAUCUAAAGUCUAAGUCGUUAACGGAUACGAUAUGGGAAGGUUGAACUGCUGUUUAUCUGUUCCUAGAGAUGCUAGAAUUCUUGAGAAUUUUAUCUUUGAAAAUCUUUAAAAUAUCACAUGAUGAGUUCCUGCAUGAUGAGAGUUUAAAUUCCUACCAGAGCCAUAUAUACAUGCUUGUUAGAUUUUGAGCCACACAUUUACUUUUUACUGUUUAUGAGCAUUGAGUGUGGUCAAGCUGUGUAGACCCUUAGGAGCUUGUCAUGUGGUUAAAAUCAAGAUUAACUUGCACGUUCACUUAUACAUGCUGCUUCUACUUCGGAAGUACGCAUCCACAUAUAUUCACCCAUUUCCAUCUCCAGAACCACCCAAAAAUAUUCUACUCCUAAUCCGGGAGAGAAUAGCCAAAAAUAUUCUCCUAUUCCUGUUUUUUCCUGUGAAAUAAAUGCUCAAGUUAUCUUGGUUACUACCACUUGCUAUAUUAUUUUGAGAGAUGAGUGCUCUAAUUAAAAAAAAAGAGAGAAAGAGAAAAAAAGAAGAUACGAGGAAAUUUAAAGGGGCAAGUGCCCGGAACCUCGAAAGAAAGAAAAAGUGAGACGAGAGGUAAAAAUGGACAAGUGUCCGACAGUAGAAUUAGGGGUACAAGAUACCCACCUGAGAGAAAAGAAAAAGAAAAUAUAGAGCAUCUCAUUCUCCUCAAAAAGUUUCAAAAGAGCAACAAAGGUAUGUAUCCCCUCAAAAGAGCACAAGUAGAAUUAGACUUUCACCAUUGUUAUCAACAUACACCAUUUAUUCGCCACACAUGCACAUCUUCAUUUGACUUAUUGACUUGUUUCUCUGGAUCCAUGGUUUGACUAUGCAAUAAAUGUCUUGUAAGUAUGUAUUAGCUGUCUCCCACCUAUGAGCUCUAGAUAUCAAAAUCUUAUUUGAGUAGGGUGAGAGAGAAGACAAUGCCACUAUGCCUCAUACCACAAAUACUACAUAUUUUGAGAGAAGGCAUAUACCAUCACUGCCUUGGUAAGGAUCCAGAAAUACCACAAAAGAGAGACUAGAGAGAGUCAUACAAGGAAUCUCUGAGUUUUAUUUGAAAAUCUAAAAAAAACUCCAGAGCUAUAGUUAAUCGAAGAACAAGAGACAUGGCGCUUGACUAGACCGUUCUAUCUUUUAACUGCUCAAGACACAAGUGACGGUCGCAAGCCUCAUGGUGGAAGGUAAAAUGAGUAAGUUUAAAUCUUAAAAGUUUACCCUAACCUAGAGAUGAGAUCUUGUUUGAAAGCAUGUGUACCUUUAAGGCAUGAAACCACUGCAGAAACUCUUGAGUUCAUCUUUGCUUGGGGAUGAGCAAAGAUUAAGCUCGGGGGAGCUUGUUGACGGUCCUUAAUGCUCACAUUUAACCAUCAACUAAUCAUGGAAAAGGACUUAUAUGCAACCAACACCUAGACUUAGGGUUUUAUGUGACAAAAUUCCACGAGUUUUGGUGUUUGUCUAUUUCUGCAGGGGGUUCUCAGGAAAUACGGAGGAAAGGCCCACACGUCGGGUUUACAUAGAGAUAUUAACGUGCCGCGCAAUUUUCUAUCAUCUAGAAGACUCCAGAAGCCACGGGAACGAACGGGAAGCCGAGAGGGCUCAGGGACAGGGCGCCCGCCCUACUCCCUAGGGCGCCCGCCCAGCUACAGUGUCCAAUUCGGACCCGUUUCGCGGAUCACGCUCCACCGACCUAAAGGAUCAAGGAAAACCGUGCGAUUAAUGUCGGUUUGAUCCAACAGCCCAGAUUCAUCUGAAAAGACUAUAUAAGCAAGGCCCCCUGGCCCCUGUAGAUCAUACCUCUUCUAUAGAAUCAAAGUUAGGGUUUCAAUUCUUCAUCCAAGUAGAGAGGAUCCCUCUAGUUCAUCUAGUUCUAGCUCUAGUUCAUCUAGUUCUAGUUCAUCUAGUUCUAGUUCCUCUAGUUCUAGUUCUAGUUAGUUCUAGUUGUAAUCUAGAAAAUAGGGAGAGACAAGAGGAGAGCAGAGGAGGAGGAGCCGGAUCUAUCGGAUCUUGCUCAACAUUGUACUUUUGCAGCAACUGGUUCGUUCUUCAUCGUUCUCCAUGUUCUUCAAUUCAUAAUUCCUGAGUUCUUUAAUUACUUUUAUUUACAUUCAAGUUAUUUAUUGGAUUCUCGCUUGCAUCAAGUGCUCUAGUCUUUAUAACGCUAGAGUAGUAAUUAAUAGAUUAGACGUGGUCUUUAGUCUUGCAGUUACCUGGAAUUGCACCCAAUCCUGCGGAUUGUUGUGGUAGCCCUAGGGUACUAACAGCCCUAACGGUCGACCUAUUCCACCUUGUUCGGAUCGGUGUUUGUAGGACCAUAGUCAGAGCUUCCUAGCCCCCUUCUCAUCUCUUUCUGUGGUUAGUGUGCUGAUGUCCCGAAAUAGAUAAUCUUGAAGUAGUUCUUGAUUCUUAGAUAAACUAGAGAACUCUGAGGAAACUUCCUCUCUUCCCACCAAAAAUAAUUAUAUAGUUAUCCUUGGGCGAUCUUGGAUCUUAAUUAGUACACUCACGUUCCCUAUGGAAAAUCGAUACUCUGGAAUACUUCCGGGUGAAGGCUACAUCGGUAUCCGUGCGCUUGCGGAUUUUUUCUGUUUGAGUUUAAAAUACCCAACACAGAGUCAGCAAAAAAAAGCAAGCCGGUGAUAGGAAUCCGUAGUACGAAACAAUGUGAACUGAGAUAGUCGGCAGCCAUGGCAAGAACAGGGCAGCCAAAUGUUCAACAUUGAGCAGCCAAAGAAUAACCAGUCAUGUAAAAUGCCCCCACCGACGGAGACAUCAAACACAGCACACAGGUUCCACCAGGCGGAGGGAAGUAGCCAAAGCAGGGUUGGGGAAGAAAUCAGAAGCCGAGGCAACAAAAGCAAUACUAUUUCUUUCAUAGGGAAGAAAAAGGACACACAACUAGAGAUUGCCCAAAUGCCAUGGAAACCAAGGAAAUAAUUAAGAGCAGGACCACCCCACAACCUCCGCAUCUUAGCCAACCAAGGGAGGUAAAUCAUACCUUCUCCACCCUACACCAACAGCCUUGCUAUCCUUCAUACCUAGUGGGAGUAGCCCAGUAAUUCCAAUCACAAAUCCACCCAUCCGCCAUAGCCUCCGCCUACGACCCAAACUUCCUACCGACCUGGCGCACAGCAUAGCCACAAGUAGAGCACAGCUCCCAUCGCCAAGAGGCAACCCCUGGUUACAUGAGUCCCAGACCUCCACAAAUUACAUACAUUGAAACAAGCCAACCUCAUCAAUUGGUGAGAAGGUUUGAAGCAUUGCCGCCCCCACCUAACCCACCACCCCAAUUACUUCAAGUGCUGCACUAACUCCAAGCACAACAGCCCUACCCACGAUUGGCAUGAUCCUGCCAAUAGCCAAAGGCUCAGUAAUGGAAUUUCAGACCAAGAAGCGGAAGAAAGACCACCUUCACUGUGGAGGACCUGCAGCUAGAAAGUCACCCAUAUAUGGACGCAUUUGUCAUAAUGUCGAUUGUGGCGGGAUGAGGAAUCGGAAGAAUCCUAAUAGACUCGGGAAGCUCCACCAACAUAAUCUUCACUGGAACCUUCAAUCAAAUGAAGCUUAGUAGAAGCAAGCUCCAACCAUCAGAGUCACCAUUGAUCGAAUUUGGGGGAAACAGAUCUACGCUUUAGGGAAGGUCUCACUCCCAAUAUCAUUCGAUGAUUCAGGAAAUGCAAGAAUAGAGUACACUACCUUCGACGUGGUCGACCUGCAUUACCCCUGCAAUGCAAUUUUCAGGCGAGGGUUCCUGAACAAGUUCAACAUGGCCAUUCACAUGGGGUACUUGUGCAUGAAAAUCUCGGCCCUUCAUGGAGUCAUCACUGUGCGUGAAAGCCAGAAAGAGGCAAGAAACAACGAGAGAACAAUUUACAAAUCAUUUAGAAAUAUUAACUCUAUGGAUUCCAUCCAAAAGGAAGUCCUACAACCUUUGGACAUGCUGAAGGGGAAAAUAGAUUUGGCAGAUUAAGAAGAAACGAAGUGUAUCCCUUUGGAAGAUGCGAUACCGGAUAUGAAAAUCAUCAUCGCAGCCACCCUAAGCAAAGAAGAUGAGUUGCAAUUGUUGAACACACUACGCUUGGACUGCCUUCAAUCUGCAGGGAGUCAAUAGAGACAUAAUUCAACAUUCCUUGGACAUCGAUCCAAAGAUGAGGCCUAGAAAACAAAGGCAAAGGAAAAUGUCAAAACAAAGAACACAGGCAGCAAAUGCAGAAGUGCAGAGGCUAAUAGACGCGAACAUCAAUAGGGAGAUCAUGUAUCCAGACUGGCUUGCAAACAUAGUUCAGGUGCCAAAAAAGAAUGACAAAAUGAGAAUGUUCAUAUACUUCACCGACCUAGACAAAGCUUGUGUCAAGGAUUCCAUUCUGUUACCAAGAAUAGAUGCUUCCGUCGACAAGGCCGCUGGCUGCUAGCCAUUUUCACUACUAGAUUGUUUUUCGGGCUAUCACCAAAUCUGGCUCAAGAAAGAAGAUGAAGGUAAGACAAGCUUCACAACACCGUUUUGCACAUACUGUUACACUGGAAUGCUAGAAGGACUGAAAAAUGCAGGCACGACCUUCUCUAGAAUGAUCAAGAAAGUCUUGGGCACUCAGCUAUAGAGAAACAUAAUAGCCUAUGGCGAUGACAUUGUGGUGACGAGUAGAAACAAGGAAGAUCAUGUUUAAGACUUGAAGGAAACCUUCGCCAACCUAAGGUCCGUAGGACUAAAGCUCAACCCAGAGAAAUGCAUUUUUGGGGUUAGCAAGGGGAAGAUGCUCGGCUACAUCGUCAGUUUCGAAGGCAUCAGGUCCAACCCCAACAAAACCAAGGCAAUCAUGACAAUGACGGAACCUUCUUCCAAAAAAUAAGUGCAAAAGCUCACACGAAGGGUGGCAGCAUUCAAUAGGUUCAUAUCAAGGUCCGCUAAAUGAAGCCUCCCAUUCUUUAAGGUGUUAAGAGGGGUAGACAAGGUGGAAUGGGGCCUAGAGAAGUUGGAGGCUUUCAACAGCUCAAAAACUACAUUGCAACCAACUUAUUGGUAACCGUGCCAAAACCAGAGACUCCGCUACUAUUAUAUGUAGUAGCCUUCAAAUACGCAGUUAGCGCGGUCCUGGUGCACAAAAAGAAGGAACAACAAGGAACCAUUCAAAGGCCCGUUAACUAUGUGUCCGAAGCUUUGUCUGGGGCCAAAAUAAACUAUACAAAAAUCGAGAAAAUCGCCUAUGCGGUACUAACCGCCUCAAGAAAGCUGAAGCAUUAUUACUAGAGCCACGAGAUCAAGGUCCCAACGUCUCAACCCUUAGGCGAUAUCCUCAGAAACAAGUGUUGAUGGUCCUUAACACCUGUUUUGACCAUCAACAUUUCAUCCAAAACCAUGGUAAAUCAAGAUGACCAUGUGCAUAUUUUGGUUAUUACUUACCUAGUUCCACAUGUACUUAGAAAUUUAUUUGUAUGUAGGGAAUAAUAGGAAAAAGAGCGAAAAGGACCCACCUAGAAGGCAACCCACCACACCUGGCGCCAUAUAGGCCAACCAGGGUGGCAAGCGCCAUGCCAAGGUGGCGGCCGCCGGGCCCACCUAGCGGGUGCCACCCUUAAUGUGGCUAGCCACGUCACCGAUCCACGUGACACCUCUAGGAGUCCAUCUAAGGCAUCCAAAGCCAUGUCGGUUUGAUUCAGUGGCCAGAACAUGUUGUCACAUGGAUCAUGGUUUUCCACCAUGUGAUAAAACGUUACUCCGACAUGUGUCUUACCUAAAACCGACCUUUAGAGAUCAUCUGGACCGUUGGGAGCAAAGGCGGUUACCCAAGGGUGGCACUCGCCAUAGAUCCCUGGCGCCUACCAUGGGGGAGUGGCGCCCGCCACCCUGUUCUAGCACCCGCCACUGCUCUUCACUCCCCUGCGGGCUCCUUCCACUAGAAUACUCCCUAGCCUAUAAAAGGACCCCCACGGCCACUUUUUCGAGGAGGGGAUAAAAGAAGAGAACACAAGAAGAGGCUCAAGCAUAGCAUAGAGCUUAGAGCAAGUGUUAGCGUAGUAGCUCCCUCGCUUAGGUAGCCAGCUUAGCUCCAUAUCCUCUCUGCCUCCAGCUCCGCUUUGCUCUAGCAGCUUGGAGUUGUCAGCGGGAGGAGUAGCCAGGCGUAGCUCAGCUUGGAGACAGGAAGACUCUUCCUCCUCUCCACUCUAGUAUUAUACCUUUGUUAUCUUAAUACUCAUUUAUUUGUCAUUUAUCUUUGGUAUAUUGAGUGCUAUUUACCUUAUGAGUACUUAGUUUAUAGUGAUCAUAUCAUUAGUGAGCUUAGGUGCUUGAUUGUGUUGGGAUAAGUGCUUGAUUAGUUUAGUGUUAGUUAUUCAAGCUAGUAAUUGCUCUGUCAUCUAGUUAGGGUGUCUUUACUCAAGAGCUCGGGUAAAGAUAGUAGGAGUAUAGAUUAAGCAUGGUGCUUAGGCUAUAGGCUUAUAUUUAGAUAUGGCUAGACCCAUGGUUAGUUGGGGUAGGACCAGGUGGUGACAACCCUGACUGCCUACGUAUUCCCCCACGUUCGGUCUAGUUGUUAAAACGUAAGGCUCGUUGUGCUUCGUGCCUGAAUAUUAGGACGGAUAUGCCUCUUUGCUUGACUUGAAUAAUUAGUGAUAUCCUUUUACUAGGUCCCCUAAAUCUACUACCACUCCUAUUUAUCUAGGUUAGUUGGUAGAUUAGUUUGGUUAUCCUUUACCCAUCCAUUUACCAUUUCUAACUCCGAUCAUCCAUUCUUGCCCAACUCGACCACAUCAACCCAGCCUUCCUUUGGGAAAUUAUAAAUCGACACAUGGUUACUCACGAGGCAAAGUGCUACACACGAUAGUUCUGUGCGCUUGCAGAUCCCAUUCAUCUAGGUAGAUUGCAAUCACGCCUGUUGGCCCUACUAGUGUUGGGAUUAACAACCCCGCUAGGCAUUAGUGGACUAGCCAACUCCUGCCUCACCUUUGGUGUAGCUAUGAACUACCGACCCGAUGCUUCAAGGAUAGUAGUUAACCUCUAUCCUCUCUUAGUAUUACUAAGAAGUGUCAUUAAGCAUUUCUAGCGCUGUUGCCAGGGACUAGACUUUGUGCCCACCUCUAGAGCUUGCGUUAAGAAUUGCCAACAACAAGGAAGCCUCCAAACAGAUAGGCAAAUGGGCAGCCAAAUUAUCUCAGUUUGACAUCACGGAUGUCCCUAGGACCGCAAUCAAAUCCCAAGCACUAAGAGACUUCAUGGCAGAUUGGAUACCUUUGGCAGAGAUGGAGAAAAGGGAAGACAACCAAACAUGGACCCUAUUCACAGAUGGAGCAUGGGGACAAGCAGGAGCCAUAGCUUCAGUAGUCCUAAUUGCCCCAUCUAUCUCAAAGUCAAAGUACGAAGCAAGAUUAGAAUUCAAAGCAACAAACAACAUAGUGCAGUACGAGGGACUCAUCCUCGGACUCAACAAGGCAAAGACAUCAGGGGCAAAAACCCUGUUAAUAAAAACAAAUUCCCAGAUCAUGGUCGGGCAGGUUGAAAAGGAGUAUCUAGCCCACAACCAAGAACUGGCAAAGUAUCUAGUAGUCGUGAGAGGACUUCAAUGAAGGUUCAAGGGAUUCAAUUUUCAUCACAUCCCAAGAUCUGAAAAAACGAAGCAUACAUUAGCAAAAGCCACAACAAAUAAUUUACCCAUCCCACCAGAAAAUCUUCUAAUAGGUUCUCAAAUCACCAGCUACAGAAUCAAUGCCGAAGGCAUCCCACAUGGUGCUUCUUGCAGAAGGCGAGGAUUGGAGACAAGCAAUCAUAGAUUUCCUAAAUAACAAGGCAAACAUGGAGGACGAAGCAAUAGCCAAGAGAAUGGAGGCAAGAGCAAAGAAUUACACCACUAUUCAAGGAAACCCAUACAAAAAAAGAGUAGUACUGCCCCUGCUGAAAUGCAUGGCACAAGAUGAAGGGAGGGAACUCCUACGUGAAAUACAAAAAGGAAUGUGUGUGUUUCCCACAUGGGGCCACGAGCGUUGUCAUCCAAAGCGCUAAGAUAGGGAUUCUACUAGCCAACACAUAUCAAGGAUGCUGAAAACAUUGUGAGAACCCACGGGGCUUGCCAAACCUUUGCAUCACAUUAAACAAACCCCUCAGCAUAUACACAACUCAUAGCACAAACAUGGCCCUUGCAAAUAUGGGGGAUGGACUUGGUACGUCCCUUACGAACGGCCUAGAGAGGAAACAGAUUCGCUGUUGUUGCAAUAGCAUACUUCACAAGAUGGAUCGAAGCAAAACCACUAGCAACAAUCACUUCUGAAACAAUCAAGAAGUUCUUUUGGUAGAACAUCGUGUGCAGAUUUGGAGUUCCAAGCCAGUUGACAGUGGACAAUGGAAAAUAGUUUGAUUCAAAAAAUUUCAGAUAAUUCUAUCAGAGCAUAGGAACCAAGAUUGCCUUCGCCUCAGUCUAUCACCUAGAAUCAAACGGAGUGGUGGAAAGAGCAAAGAGGAUAAUAUUCUCUACAAUUUCCAAAACACUGUUCAAUCUCCACAAAGGAAAAUGGACAGUAGAGCUGCCAUGAGUUGUGUGGUCUCACAAAACAACCGCCUCAAGAGCCACAGGUCCACCCCUUUCAAGCUCCUGUAUGGAGAAGAAGCAAUGCUCCUAGAGGAAGUCAAACACCAAAGCCUCCGCACCAUGUGACAAUUACUAGCCGAAGAUGAAGGCUAUUGCAAAGAAACAGUCUAAGCGGCAAGGCUAGAAGCUAUGGAGAACAUCAGCAAAUACCAGCAAGAAACCAAAAGAUGGAGGGACCAGAAAGUCAUAAGAAAGAACAUACAAGACGGGGAUCUUGUCCUCAGGAGAAAAAGAAAUUCAUCAAGCGCAGGCAAGCUUCAACCAAAGUGGGAAGGACCCAACACCUCGAAGCAAGGAGGGAGACCAAGCUCAUUCCAUCUAUAUGACCAUGAAGGAAAAACCCCUGCACACACAUGGAACAUAGAUAACCUACACAAAUUCUACAUCUGAGUGUAAGGCCGCCUCUUGCAAAAGUAUAAGCAAAGGCGACAAACUUUUCCCUAUCCUUUUUGUUUUCACAGGGGUACUCCUAGCGGAGGUGAGGUUUUUAAUAAGGUAGAACCAAUGUAAAACCCUCUAAAAUAUAAAGAGGAAUCACCCCACCAAGGUAUAAUACAUCAGAAGUCGAAAAUGGCCACUAGCGGGGCCAUGAUAUUCGACAAGGAAGCAUUACGCAAAACGAGGACCCUCCGCAGCAUAAAGCCGAAUGCUUAAAAUGCUAGGAGAAUUCUCGGUGGUGGAAAAAGCACCAAAACCUUAGAAAAAGACCUGGCAAACAACCAGGCAACAAGGUCAGUCCUGUCAAAAUCGACAAAGCCCUGUCCUCAUCAUGCAUCAAAACUUGACCCACAAGUGAGCAAACAAUCCUAGCAAAGACCUGACAGAACCUCAGGCAUGAGGACACAUAGGACAAAAUUCACAAUAUACCUCAGCCAAGAAACGGUGAAGGAGAUAAAGUCAAAAUUACAAACUUGGCCACAAACACUAAAGCUAAAACCUUCAUCACCUAGACGACAAAGGAAUCAAGUAUCAUGGACAAUCCUAACGCCUGAAGGUCCAAUCAUUGAUAUUUCCUCGAGUAGUCAUGAGCAACAUACUCAACCAGGUCGUCCACCCUGUGCGAAGCAAAUUGGCGAUGCCACCAAUCCAGAAUCCACCCCUUGAUGUAAACAUCUUACUGCUUGAAAGUAACCGGAGACACAUACGACCCCUCUUGAAAGUCUGGCGGAAGAACACUACAUGUAGGAAGAGGAAGAGCAACCUGAAAGCAACAAGCAAAUAAGCACAACAAGCAACACAACUUAAUUUACAUCAAAAACGCAUUUAACCAUGUGAGAACAACCAACCUCCACAUGACCGGGAAGAUAAAGCUUAGCCAAAAGGUUCGGAUCCUUCGGCACGCAAAACACCUCUUCGGCUUCACCAAAUAUAUGCAAAAUCAGGUAUAAAGACUGCGCCAGAAAAGUAAUAAAGGUUCAAGCACAUCAAACGCGACAACCAAUUAAAUAAAAAAAAUACUAAAACAACAACCUAGGAUGGAGGCUAGGUCCCGUGAUGCGCAAGCGAACGAACAAACCCAGAUCAUUCAUCAUCAAUAUCAAAACCAAUAAAAUCAAACAUAUCUACAACAUUCUGAUUGGGAAAUGCAACCCGCCAAUACUUCCAAAAAACCGACAGAACGUAAAUCCCAUUGUAAAAAACGACAACUGGGCAACAUCAUAGACCUCAUGUGCAGGUCCUUCGCUAGAGACCUGUGCAAGCCAAAGCGCAAAAUUGCAAUAAGUAAAACAAACAAGAUGAAACUUUAAUAAGGAUAUUAAACUUUAUACAGAUGCAAAACGCAUGUUAAACAUAGUCUUUUAAAAGCAUCUCAUAGACACAAGGCCCUAAUCUAUGUAACCCCUCCACCUAAGAAGAAGGUCUAUCUAAAGGGACCACGUCCUUCGCCAUGUCUGCCCCAGCCACCUUCUGCUAUGCCCCAGCACCACCAGCCGACAGAAGAUCAGAAGGAGUGAACGUAGACUCGGCAACAGCAGCCUUCGCUUUUUUCUUCUCAAAUUCCUAUAAGACCAACAAGCCAAAACUACAAAAUGGAAAGACAGAGCGGAGAAUGCAUGCAAGGUAAGGCAAAAAUUGAAGUACCUCUAGAUGUAGGAUCUCUAGCAGGGGAAACUUGCCUAGAGGGGGGAUGAAUAGGCCUAUCGAAAAUCAACUCGAACUAUAGUUAGAACAAUAGACGUCACUGUCAUCCCUAGGUAGGGUGGCACUGCCAUCUAAGAGAUAAUAAUCUGCUGAAUCUAGAACUUUGCUAGAAGACUAAGAGAUCAGAAGAAGAAACUAGACCGUGCAAUAUCAACACCAGCACCAGCUCAAAGACUGGGCUCCACAGAAAACACAAUAUUGCAAGCAUUAAAUAUAUGAACCCUAAAGGGGCUCUUCAACAAGAUAAGCUACAGCCAAUAGAUCAAUCACAGUGACACAAGAUUUAAUCUGUGGUUCAGCUUGCCACCCGGGUUUGCUUAGUCCACGUUGUUGAGGAAGCCACUAAGGCUUGGGCUCACCACCAAGGCUUGCCUUACCCUCGUUCUCAAGUUAACAGAGCGAACUCUUAAGGUGAGGGGUAACUUCUUAGCAACAAGAGUGAGGUUACAAACCUCCCUAGGCUGCCACACAAGAGGGCAAGCUCAAGGGCUACGCCUACCUAGCUAGGAGCAUGCUCCAUGAGUAACAAACCCUAGAACCACCAGCCAAAUGUGAACAAAAUGCUGUUAGACUUUGAGAACUAGUGGAUCUACUCUCCAAUUGAGUUUUGCUGCCUUUUCUCUCAAGGUUUGAUGGUUGGAAUCAAGAAUUUGCUUGAGGGGUGAAGGAGCAACAAUGGAGGGAGAUAGAAAGAGCUUUUGGUCUGUAGGGUUACGAAAUGGACACAGGGAGGAUGAUGGCUGUUGUGGGCCGAGUAUAUGGUAUAAAUACCUCAGUGCUCCAACGGUUAGAGGCCAGGCGACACUACCGUCCUUUAAAGGGUAGCACUACCGUCCAUAGCUAGAUAGCUCAAAAAGUCUUCAAUUUUUGCUGGUUGGUUUGUUUCUGAAAGGCGAUAUGUUUCUGAGAAUUUGAGCAUCUGGUUGCAUAGUUGACCAACAUGUCCUAGAAUCCCUCUUAAUAGUAUGGCUUUUCCUAAACUCAAGAUUCAAAAUAAAAUGAAUUAAACCACCAAGAGUCCAGCAAAGCCAUCCCUUGAAUUAUUGGUACCUACAACCAUGUUACACAUUCUCCAAUUUGAAUACCUACUUGUCAUCUCAACAAAACUCAUUAGUUCCCUAAUUAAGUGGUCAUCAAUACCAAAACCCACAAUUAGGCUUGUUUGCACUUUCACAAGACACCAUGCCUCAGCCAUACUUUUGGCCUCGGCCCGUCCGAUCUUAGCCCAGAAAGAGCCAAUGAAGUUGCAGACAGACCUCCACACGACGGAUGGAUUCUCACCAAAAUUAGAGCCGGAGGCGACAUUCUCCUUCUGCUCUGACUCGACGUGAUUACAACUGUCGCGCCUAAGAAGGCGGCCAAAGGAAGAGAUCCCUACCAAAGCACCAAAAUCAAUAGCCCCACCGAUAAAGUCGGGAAGCUUGAUGAUAUGGAACUUCAACCAGGCCAAGCUCAUGGCAAAAUCCCUACAUCUAGGAGGAGCGGAGGUGCUACCGCCAAAGUGGCCCAGGGCAUCACGGUAGAGCCCCAGUACAAGUGUAGCCUGGAGCUCUGCCUCCUUCAACUGGUCCCACAGGGAGGCCGCCGACUCGUGUUUAGCCUCCAACUCCUCAAGAAUAUGGCUUGAAAUCUCAUGGGCCUUAGUAGCCCUUUGCACGACCAAGUCCAUGGCCGCCCCCACAUAAUGCACAUCAUUCUACAGCUUUGCCGCAGCCAACUACAGCUCUUCCUUCUCCUUUUUCAAGGAAGCAAUCUCCUCGAGAGGUGCCGGAAGAAGCUUCGCGUCCUCUGAAAGACGAGCCUUUGCGGCCUCCAAAGAAUCAUUCUCCUUUUUAGGAGAUUGAUGGCCUCACCACGGUUGAUGACCUCAUGAGAGCAACGCUCCUCCAAGGCCGCAGCCGAUGCCCCUAACGACACAAAAGCAUAACCACUGAAGCCUCCUCAAGAAGAGCAAAACAAACAAAGAACGAAUGGACCAAAGAAAAAAUACUCACGAGCCUAUGAUGCUCGAACUAUACAUGGAGCAGGGUUAAGUAGUCCAUAUGGUGAAGCUCCUGCCAGAAACGCUCUACAAGAACAAAGACGUAAGAAAACAUAAGAAAAACCGAUAGAAGAUCACAAGGCCAAAAAAAAACCUCCAAUAACGCUAUGAACUUCGUGGACAACGCUGGCCUAACCAGAAAGCACGGAGUUAGAGGCUGCUGCAUAACACAUCAAAACACAUGUCAAGAGAUAACAUAAAAAACCCACAAACCUAAGAGGAAACUAGAUGCUUACAAGCACCAACUCCGACCGGAGGCACAAAGCCAGAAACAUUGGGCAUGGGACAGCAUGGCGGAGGCACUUUGAGGCCAUCCUGAGCAAUGCUUGCACCUCUGGCCAGUUCCUCCAUGCCAGCCAUGGUGGAGAAAGCCUCACCUAACAAAAAAUUCACGUGUUUGAGACGAAACAAGCAUGAAAAGGCCAAACAAAAAUGGAAAACAAAAGCAACAACAAGGACCUAUACAAAGGCCCAACGGACUAGCAGACACCUCAGUAGAGGGAGCAGCCUCCACCAUAGGUGGGUGACGAGGCGCUGACUCCACUUCCCCCGAGUCCUCCAAGUCAAAGGUGGCUGCCUCAAUAGCCGCAGGCUUACCAACAGGUGCCUCCGCAUUAGAAGAAUCCUCGCCAAGUAGCGAGGGAAGCAGGUUGACCGCCGAGGGCUGAGGUCCAAUAGGGGCACAAACUUUCAUCGUAGGAGCUUCUAUCACAUGAGCCGAAGCAAUCAAACCUUCGGCAGGCUCUGCCAACCUAGAACUAGCGCUGGAAGAACCGCCACUAGAAGAAGAACUGGCAGAGACCUCUGCUAGUACACCAACACGUGGCUUUUUGGCCAGGGCUUUAGCCGCCCCGCCACCCUUCCGUUUCUUGGGCUCCGCCAUCACUGUUACGUUUCUAGUGGCAGCGUCUCUCUUCUUUUCAAUGCAUGCCAAGACCUCUAUAGGCACUUCAUAUUCUUCAUGGUGAAUACCAUACUCCUCAAGAACGUAGUUAAAAUGGGGCAUCGUGCCCCGUUAAGUCUGUUAGGCAAGAUACUCUCACUCAGACAUCUUUCCCAGUAUCCUACGCGUGCAGGAUUCCACCUCAGCCAAGAAGGACUCCUUCGUCUGAUCUUCCCAAGCUCUCUCUCAAACCAAGGAAAGGAAAGACCCUCUAUAGGCCCAAAAACCGGAACUUAAACCAUCUCAAUCUUAAAGUCCUCAUUUUGAUGGCCAUGCGGCCAAAUGUCCAAUGCAACCAUCUCCUCCACAAUAUCCCAUCCACCAGAGUAGUGGUAGGCAAGGGCGAAGGCCUUAUCACAAGACUUGCGCUCCUCCGACUGGUCUACUGAAGGAUCCACCUUUGACAAGGGCUUCAUCUCCCUCAUCUUUGACGCAUACAAGUACAAGGUCAAUGUGCUUCAAUCGUCAAGAGUGCACACAUCACCAGGAGUCUUCACAUAGAACUACAAUUUCAUCCAGUCCCUCUCCCACUUGUUUUUCUGGCAGUACGACAUCUCCAGUCGCUCUCCACGCUAUGUCCUUCAAGGCAUAAAGGUGCAGCUUCCAAACUGCACUAUGCAAUGUCCUUCAGCAGUCUUGAUCUUCUUUAGCUGUUUCUGAAGCUCAAAGUAGGUGCAAAAGGUAUCAAUAUGGGGCACUGACCCAUACGAUUCGUAGGCCUAGCAAAACUUACUAAGUGUAAGAUUCCCAUUUGGGCUGAAGUGAUGCAGCUCCAAGUUGAAAGCCUCCAAAACCUGACGGAGGAAGGAAUAGGGGGGCAGCAGCAGCCCGUAGGUAAAGUAGUCCCUAAAACCCAUGGCGUACCCUGGCUUGGGGUCAGGAACUGUCUGCCCGGCUGGAGGUGCCUUCACCCAACCCGCCUUGAACCAUCACAAAAAAUAUCGUCCGCCAUCACAAGGGACUCUCUAAACUCAAAAGUAGGCCCAACCAUUGAAAAAAAUUCCUCCGCACUGACCAGAUCGCCGAUAGAAGCUUCGACGUCGGACAAGCUCUCUUCCAGCUCUCGAGCGGUGAAGACCUCAAGCAUACACUCCACAUAGCGACCUAACCAACCACUAGACCUCACACUCAGCAAAUCUUGAAAGGACCAACAAAGUUAGCCCAGACAAGACGAAGUGAAGGUGGGGAAGCCACCGCAGAAGCAAAGUUCAGACACCGAGAAUGAGAGAGUAGAGAGAGAGUAGAGGCUGUAAGAAAGCGAAGGCUUUGAGGGGAGUACACGAAAGAGAUAGCAUGAUGAACAAAGUACCCCCUUAUAUAGGGAGAGCCUACGACGGUUACGAUUCGGAACACCCAACGGCUACCUGCAACCGCUGCAGGGCGCAAUCCCUGGGGAAAAACCGUCACGUCGCUAGCGGCACGAUUACAACAAUCAGUUAAGGAAACAAAGAAACCGAUAAGCGGUCGAAUCUCAGCUGCCACAUCCUGCACACCGCGGGAGGCGGGACCUCCACCGCACCAAACGCAGUUGGGGAAGGUCUGAGCUUUUGAGCACAUAGCCCACAUAUGUGGACCCCAUGCUCAAAAUGGGUGAAACUAUUGGGAGUUCAACCACACCUUCGCCACCAGCUACGUCCAAGAGAAAGGAAGUAAUUCGACCGCGAUGAUAGAACCUUCAUACCCCCAAACUUCAGACACUAGGGGAUGAAGGUCACAGAAAAACUUAACAGUGAUAUAGAUCGCUUUAGUGAUAUAUGUGUGCAGGAACCAAUCUCGAGCGGAGGAUCACAAGGGGAUGGAGCCUAUCCUUCGGCUCCCACACAACGAGGGAUGUGCUGACCUUGAACAAGGAUGAGCCAGAGAAACCCUGCAUUUUGAGGUCCUUUAGCGGCCGCGCACGGACGAUCCACGGGUCUCGGUGGAGGAUGCGCGAAGAUCCAAGCCACGACAGGAAUAAGGCCCUGACGAGCUAGCCUGCAAUGAGCCUGCUGUUUGAAUUUACCUAAGUAGCCCUAUAAGGUGUAAACUGCGGUGGCGGAAUACACUGGGAUAUUUCCCCACUGUCACGGGGUAUUUUUGUAACCGAUUCCGGUCAGGAUCCGCGCUCUAUAAAAGGGGACUGUAAAUGCUCUUUAAAGAGUUAGUUGAAACUAAUUGAUUGAUACACUGUCCGUUCUAGGGUUUCGAGUAUGUCUGCUGUUAAACUUAAGCCACUCGCUACAAUGAGCGAGCGGGGCCGACUAUCAUUGCGUUCGGAGGUGCCCUAGCUACUUCCAACACUGUUCUUGAACUUUUAAAGGGGAUACAUCAAACUCAUAACCGAGCAGUGGGUAACUUUAUACGAGAUUAUUGUCUGAGCAGUGGGAGGAGAUGAAGAUGUUAUGGCCAACUACCUACAGGUCAUUAUUAACCAAUCUACAAACCAGUGGCUUCUCAGCCUGAAGGAUACUUCAAUCCAUACCUGGGCUCAGCUCAGAAGGCCUUUUGUUGAGAACUACACGGCCACUUGUCAGCAGCCCGGCAAUAAAUAUGAUUUGAAAAAGUUAGAGACUAUCCAACGAAGCCGCUACGUGACUACAUCCAACGUUUCACCUUUUAUAAGAGGCCUCCGCCACCAUGAUGCUCUCAGGAAUAAGCUGCUCCACAAAACACCGGAGACCAUUCAGGAUUUGCUUAGUGUGGCGACUAUGUUUCGUCGACGGACAUCAUCAAGGAUUUUGGCUAGUCUGGUCUUCAGAACACCCAGCCGUAACCUUAGGACCUGUAGACGGGCUUCUAAGUUUUUUGAGUUUUCUGUGGCUACGCUAGUUGUUGUUUGGAAAUCAAUCUGAUUCUGGGACUUUUGGUGGUUCCUAGAGAUUCUAUCGGCAACAGGAUUGAUUGCGUGGUUUCGGGUUUCAAGGAUUGGUUUGCAUCGAUCUCUGGGUUGAUUUCUGCGUUCGUCAAGAAGAGCGUGCAGGAGCAAAACAGUCGCAGGCAUUCUAUGCGGCAGAGCCCAAAUGGGAAUCCUGAACAUUGUGGUUUAAUUACAAAGCGUCACAGAAGAUAGACCCUGUUACUUAUAAAAAUAUAAUUCUGAUUUUAUUUUCAAGGCCCCAAGGCCAAUGAAACAUUAUUAAGAGGAUAGAAAACAAUACAAGGCACGCAAUGACGCUUGAAAGGAGCUCCUAACAUAUAUACUGUGCUACACGCGCAGGUACACGUCGAUCUUCACAACGGCGUUCUUGGUGGUGUCGUUGAAACCGUGCGUCGUGAACAGAGAGUAACCGGUGGCUCCACGGAACCUGCCGCUUCCGCCAAUGACCGGCAGCUCCCUGACCUCGUCAAAGAAGGCGUCCUUUCCCAGGACGACGAGGUAGCUGCCAUUGUACUUCCCGGCCGUGAACACUAUGUUGGCGGAGAGCAUCACCGAUAUCUCCUGCUGCACCGCGAAGACUUCGAACCCCUGCACCUGCCCCACUGCCGGCGAUGACGGAUCGGGCCCUUCCGUCAGUGGGUCAUCGAUCACGUGUAUGUCGCCGAAGUGGACGUUGGGGUCUCCCGGCAGCCCCGCCGUGCCCUUCGCCACAGUCACCCCCGUUGCCGGGCUGUCUGCUGUUGCCGUAAAAAUGUCGUGCAUGUAGAACUGGAGGUGCGUGGUGGUGGUGGUGGCGGCGGCGGUGGCGAGCGCCAUGGAGACAAGUAUGAGUUGGAGCUGCAUCGUACUGAGCUUGAUAUUGGCCAUGUUGCGAUUGGGAUAGGGGAGACAAAGAGAAAGGAGCUCCGUACAUGAACCGUGGAACGGACCAUGUGUUUAUAUAUUUCGUCCGUCAACAACACACGAAGCAUGUGCUUCUAUAAGUCGUCGAUCAACAACACGAGUGAGAAUUAGGCGCAUAGACAGACGUAUUCCAAGACAUAAAGUAUGUUAUCUUUCACCAAGUAGUAUUAGUAUAUGUCCAAGACAAGAUUUCGUGUGCUGUUGCUGAUUGUACGCUUUUCUUUGAUCGUGGAUCAGUUUCAGGCAUUGGGAUCUGCUAUUGACUUGGCUUGCUCGGUGGUGAGGGAUGCCAGUGCAACUGCAACAGUGCAAGUCAAUGUGAAUGUUUUAAAGAUUGUUUAGCACCCAAUCGAAGUUAUCUUCUACAUGAAUCAUACAUGAUGCCUCACUUCUCUGACUGAAACAACUAGCUAAUCAAGUUAAUUACAAAAUAUGUCAAGGCGCCCAGUACACCUCUGAUGCGUUUCGUUGCUUUAUUUUGCCCUUGAUUGCAAGCUUUACAUACUAGGCAUGCCACAUAAUAGAGUUUUCAUUUGAUAUUUCAUGAUAAGACAUAAAUACCUUUUAUUUUGAUGUAUCUUAGGUUCCUGAAGGUAUGUUCUGGUGAAUGUUGUUGUGUUCAGGAAGACAUUUUCAUAUGCUGGAUUUGAGCAACAGCCAAAUAAUAAGUUCCUGCAUCCGGCGAUUCUUUUAUUAACAUUGAACUAUAAUUGAAAUCUGAGAAGGAAAAUGCAGAGAUCAGGUAUAUCUGUACCGAUUCAAUCAAGCCCUACCUGCUACAGAACAGAAAUGUGUGCUCUCCAUUCUUUACUUAUGUUGCUUUAUAUGCUUUUCAAUGUUUGCUUAUACUGCAGGCUCCAUAUGUUUGAAACAUACCUCUGAGGCUCUGACCCCCUGCAAUGCCAAUCAAUUGUUGAUUCUAAACGGAACAUUAUUUAUUAUAAACUUGAUAAAUUUGUGAAAAGUGGAGCAAAGAUAGUUCUUUCUCAGGUAACUAUUGGUGAUCUUGUAACAUAGGUAGCCUGGUGUUUUUAUUUAACAGAAUAGCCUUCUGCUAUUCUGUGAUGUACUUCCGCAGCCUAUCUCAGAUAAUUUGGGUCUAUAUGGUAGUUUGGUGAUCGAGACAUUUUCUGCACUGGUCUUGUCUGAAUAAGAUUUGCUAAGUGUUGCUUCAGAAACUGGUGGGGCUGUUCAAACUAUAUGUAAAUAAUGCCAUCGAUGAGGUAAGCAAGCUAUAUUUUUAUUUGCUUGUCAUCCGUUGUUUUUGUUGGAUUGUUGACUGGAAAUUUAGGAUUAAUGUCACCCCUGCUGCUAAUUGCAAGCUGGAAAUUUAGGAUUGACGCUACAGUGCAUCGACUUUGUGGAAACAUCUAUGUUAUGUUUUUAGAGCGUGCAUCGCUUCUAUUUUCUGGAGCUACAUAAAUAUGUUUUUGAUUGAAUUUCAAUAUUGAAGCACUUCAAAUUUGAUAGGAUUGUGACUAUAGACUUAAUACAGCCCGUACCGUUAGCACGAACAAAUAUAUUUAUAUAAUAACCAAAAGAAUUCCCCAUACAUAGUAAGUGUAAACGCAACUCCGUUGAUUAAUUUAUCUUUGUUAUAUAAUAAGGCGCGCACACAAACGUUGUCCAAGACCCAAAACUUUCCAACUUACAAAUCAUUAACCAUGUGUUAGUAUAUGUAGUAGUAGUAUAUCAGAAAAAUGAAAGUCUAAAGUCUAGGCGUGGAAACCGGACCAAGUCAAAUGCCGUCAUAUAUUUUGAAAGUGGAGAACCGAGCCGGUUUGUAUCUGUGACCACGUAAAAUAUCCUUAAAAUAUAUAAAGUCAUCCAAGAUAUUUCGAUGGAUCAAGAAAGUACUUGUACCGCGUUGAGGGAAAGCAUCGUUUCUAUCAGCCUGUGCGGAUCCUGUGCUCCCUCCAUGCUGCUCACCAAAAUGUCGUUGCACGUUUUCCUGCUGACGGAACCCCAUGCCCUCCACGCUGCUCGCCAAAAUGUCGUUGCAAGGUUGAGAGAAGCUGCUGAAUUUGCUGAUUUUUGCGUUUGAAUCUUUCGCCAUCCCUGAACUUGAAAGGGACAUUUUGAAGCAGCCCGACACUGCCCUGAUGGAGGCUUAGCAUGUGUUCGACUUUUGGACCCUGCUUUUCGCAUUUCUCUGCUUUGUCGUCUUUUAAAGAAUUAUAGUUACAUACUUUUGCUCUCUCAUCUUGACCCGGUGUCUCCAUCAGCAAGGUCAAGCCUACCGCGAUGAAAUGGAGAGACCACGUGUGGCUGCAGCUCUAUAAAUAUAGUUUCUAAUUGUGUGAAAUGAAGAAGUUGUAGCCGCAGCCGGCCAGGAAAAGGUGCACUGAACACGCCCGCGAAGAUUGAACAAAUCCGAGCUCUUGAGAAAGUGCUUGAGAUGGCUAAAAAGGAAAUCGAAGAGGAUGAAACGAGCAGAAAAGCAGCCGAGGCAGCGGCUGCGAAGGUUUAACGUGACUCAAAAUAUUGUUCGCUGAUUUAUUAUGAGAGAAAGACAUUACUGGAUGGCUGAUAGAUUUGACAGCUGAUAAGUACUUAUAUGGAUUGGCAAGAGGUUGGCCUGAUUUUACGACACUAAGUUCACGAACAAAGGAUAACUUGCUGCAGGCAGUGGGGAUAACUAGCUUUAUGCUUCACAAAUGUUAGAUGCGACCAAGUGAUGAGGAGAGAGACACCAAAAUUGUGAAGAUUUUGACUUGAUCAUUGAACAAUCGUAGAACCAUAAUAAUAGAACUAAUCCACACAAACAAUGCAGUUAUACUGGAAACCGUAGAGUACGAACUAGGGCAUCUUACAGAGAUCUCUCACAAGCCCAAGAGAUCUCGCAAGAUCAAUGUUGCGUAAAACACUCAACAGUUCGACUACAGUACCAUAUCAGGUUCUCAAAAUGAUCAAAAUUACUUUGUUGUAGCAUAGAGGUGAUAUUUGUACUAGGAGUAAGUCUCUAAGGUAGAUGUGAACUGAAGGUGUCACGUUGCGAGGUGGAAGGUCAACUGGCUAAAGCAUUCACAAGGUGGUCUUCUAUUCUCACGCGUCUUUUGGGCUUAUGUGCAACCUUUAGUAAAUUGGUCAUUACUCUCUGCUCAGGAAUCCAAAUGAGGAGCUGUUUGUUAGGUUAGAAACUCAGCCAUAUAUAUGGUGACCCACAUCUCCCCCUGAGAUAGUACUGUUUUUCAUGGAAAGUGGAGGUUUUUGCAGUGUACUCCUGGGCCUUGGGAAGUGAAGGUUUUUGCAGUGUACUCCUGCGCCUUGCGCAUCACGCUUCUCAUCUUGGGCACCAAUCUUUAUGUCCUUGGUUGAAUGGUCGAGAUGGCAGACUAGAGAGGGGGUGAAUAGUCUUUUCUAAAAAAUAUCGCACUGGAUAACCGAAACAAAUGCGGAAAUAAAUCUAUGGGCCUAGUCAAGACUACACCCCUCUAUCUAAGUUCUCUAGCACCUUGUAAAAGAUCCUAAACAAGAAAACAAGGUGCUACCUUAGCAAGAGCUCACCUAACCAAUUCUAGAAGCAAGGUCACACAAACCUAUGGAACUAGUACUUUGCAAACCGGGGGAGCUCCUACACAAACUAGUGAGGCAAAGCGCACAAAGACUAAGCUCACUAGCAAGCUCAAUAACAAGGCAAUUAAUGCCGAAUUAGAGAGCGCAACUUACUUAGCUACACAAACUAAGCAAUGUGACUAACAAGGUUACACAACCAAAUUAGCCACGCAAGGGAACUACUUCUACCUACACAAGCAAGAAGGUAACUAGCAAGCUACAUAAGCUAAACUAAUUACAAAAGCAACUACACAAGCACAAGUAUAUAAAGAAUGUAAAUACAAGCUCGUGUAUUGCGAAUGCAAACCACCUAGAAGAGUAGACAAUGUUGACACGAUGAUUUUUACCGAGGUUGACUUGGUUGCCACCAAGCUACGUCCUCGUUGUGGCGAUACACCCACUUCAUGGAUCACGAGCUAAUUGGCAUUCCAAAGCCAAACCCUAAGCGGGUGCCGCACAUCCACUCUCAAGAUGGGGAUCCUCUAAGCCACAAGCGAUCCACUAGAGUUGCUCUUCGCGAUCCCCGCGGGGUGAGCACCGUACCCCUCACAAUCUCUUCUCCGGAGCACCGCACAAUCUCCUUGCGUGCUUCGACGGAGUCAGAAGCCACCAAGUCAUCUAGGAGGUGGAAACCUCCAAGAGUAACAAGCACUACCGGCUUGCAACACGAACACCUAGUGCCACUCGAUGCAAUCUCUCAAUGCAACGUACUAGAACCACUCACUCGCUAUUGAUUCGCACUCUUGCAAGCACAAGUGAGUUAGAGGCUUUCCUAGCACUCCCUAAGCAUGGACACUAAGUCCUAAGGGUGCUCAUCACCAGCCAAAGUCGGCCACCACUUCUAUUUAUAGCCCCAAGGGCUAAACUAGUCGUUACCCUUCAUUGGGCAAAAGUCGUGCACACCGGACGCGUCUGGUAUUGGCCAGGUCAGCGUCCGGUGCUCUUGACUCUUUGAAAAAUGACCGUUGUCGCCAACAAGUGUUCCCCUGAAAACACAGCACCGGACUCACAACUUGGUCACACCAGACGCAUGCGCAGAGAGCUCCGUAAAGUGACACCACACCAGACGCAAACAUCGGACGCGUCCGGUCCAUACCAUACGCGCUGCACCGGACGCUCAGGGUGUACUGUUCCCACGUCCAGUGCUUCACAGAAAGUUGAUUUUCACCAAAACGAUCUUCAACUUCUUCCCUUGCUUCCAUGUGCCAACACCAAAGUGUCACAACACUUGUGCAAGUGUGUUAGCAUUUUCACAAACAUUUUCCCAAGGGAGUUAGCCUCUCAAGUUGCCACGCCACUCGAUCCUAACACGUAUGCAAAGUUAGAUCGCUCAAAUGGCACUAAAUGACCGAUAUGCAAAUAAGUUCGCCCCACUUGAUAGUACGGCCAUCUAUCCUAAAUCCGGUCAUCAUCUUCUCUACACACCUAUGACCUAUGAAAUGGAAAAGCUCCAGGUUAUACCUUUGCAUUGCGCUUUCCAUUCCAACUCCUCCAAUGUUGAAGCAACACAUGCACCAACCAAUCACCAAAUGAUAUGAUCCACUUCAUAUCAUCAUGUGAUCGUAUUGGUUCAUCGAUCUUGACCUCACUUGCUCUUCGCCGUUGCCUCGGUCCAUCGACGCCAAGUCUUGCUCAAGAUUCACCAUCACACGCGGUCCCUCGCUUCAAAGCCUCUGACUUGCCAUUCACUCUUGCAACCGGUCCAUCGAGCCAAGCCUCAUCUUGAUCUUCUCCACCUUGGUCACAUGACUCCAUGUCAUGUCUCAUAUGCAAUGAGCUCCUUCAUCAUCUCAUAAUCACCUAUGGACUAAUCUCUUGUGUAUCUUACAUAAACACUAUUAGUUCCACCUAAGUUGUCACUCAAUUACCAAAACCAAACAAGGACCUUUCAUUGGUGUGACCCUGUGUGUCCUUCAUGUACCCCGGUAGUGUAACCUCUUUGUAAACCUAAGUAACUAUAGUGUACAUGACUUAGGUAGUAUAUUGUUCUCAUCAAUGUUAGGAUGUAACUCAGAGAGGAAAGCAUGCACCUCUUGUUGGAGUAGCUUUUAGACGGUUGCAGCCUUUAUACACUUGUGUAGGUGUAACUCAAGCUAAUGGUGACAUGUCCACAUCAUCCUCCCUCUUGAAAAGGAGUCCUCCCCAACUAUUUCAGUCCAAAUAAAGGAGAUAGAUUGAGGACGUUGAAGCUUGUACUCACACCACAAGUACUUGGAAGAUCAAUUUCAUAUGCAUUGUUGUUGACCUUGCGACGCACUUUGAAUGGGCUAUCAGCAUGAGGCUGCAACUUGCUCUUGCAUUGUUCAAGGAAGCGAUCCUUGCAUAGAUGAACCCAAACCAAAUCUCCUGGUCCAAAAAACAUAUUCUUGCGCUCUUUAUUGGCACUUUUCUCAUCUUGGUCAUCUUCUCAAUGUUUGCUGUCGCUCGAUCAUGAAGGUUCUUGGCAAAUUCAGCUCGCUUGCUUACAUCAAACUUCACACAUUCCUAUAUAGGCAAAGGAAGAAAAUUGUUGGGAGCAAUAGGUUUGAAACCACAGAAAAUCUCAAAAGGAUAAAAUUUUAUGGUCGAAUGUACCAUCCUAUAUAUUGUAUGAAAAUUCCAUAUGGGGUAAGUUUUCUUCCCACAAUUUCAGAUUAUUCUUUAGAACAGCUUGCAACGAAGUCGACAGUGUGUGAUUUAUAACUUCUAUUUGCCCAUCAGUUUGAGGAUGACACGUUGUGGGAAAUAGUAGCCUCAUUCCAAGUUUACCCCACAAGGUAUACCAAAAGUAGCUAAAAACCUUGGUGUUACGAUCAGGCACGAUAGUACGUGGAACUCCAUGUAAACGUACAAUUUCUCUCAAAAUCAAUUUAGCAAUGUAUGAUGCAUUGUCGCUCUUAUGACAUGAAAUAAAGUGUGCCAUUUUGCCAAAACAAUCAACAACAACAAAGAUUGAAUCUAUCCCCCUCUUGGUUCGAGGUAAACCAAGAACAAAGUCUAUAGAGAUAUCUUCCCAUAGUAGACUAGGAUUGGGUAGAGGUGUGUAUAGUCCAUGAGAGUUCAAACGUGACUUAGCUUCAUGGAAAGUUUUGUAGUGAAGAACAUGCCUCUCCAUGUGUCUCCUCAUCUUAGGCCAAAUGAAGUUAUAAGCGAGAACUUGCUUUAUUUUCUUGAUUCCAAAAUGGCCGAUAAGUCCACCUGCAUGAACUUCCUACACAAGCAAAAUGCGAAUAGAACAAUCUGGAAUGCAGCAAAACAAAAAUCCAUCAUGCAAAUAAAAUUUCGCAUCCCUUGCCACCACAACACUUGUAAUAUUGUUCAGCAAAAAAUGAAUUAGUCCUACAUAAAUCCUUUAUACUUUCUAAUCCAAGAGUUUUAGCAUCAAGUUGUGUAAGCAAAGUAUGGAGGCGAGACAAAGCAUGAGCUACAACAUUAUCUUUCCGUUUCUUAUACUUGACAAUGUAGGAAAAAAGACUCAAUGAAUUCACACCAUUUUGCAUGUAUUCAAUUUAGUUUUAGUUGGCUUUCAAGAUAUUUCAAUGAAUCUUAAUAUGAGUGUAUCACAAAUUCUUUAGGCAAGGUAAUGUUGCCAAGGUUCCAAACUUCUUAUAAGAGCAUAAACUGAAUAAUUCAAGGUUGGACCACUUACCAUUUCACCAAAGUAUGCGAUAGGCCUUCCUACUUACAUGAGCACACCACCAAUCCCUACAACACUUGUAUAACAUUCAAUUUCAAAGUUCUUACCAAAGUCAAGAAGUGCUAGGAGCGAAGCUAUUGUCAACUUUUUUUUCAACUCUUCAAAAGGCCUAAUCUUGUGCUUUGCCCUAGUGGAAUGGUAUUUCCUUCUUUGUCAACUCAUUGAUUGAGGCAGCAAUGGAACUAAAAUCUUUCAUGAACCGGUGGUAGAAACCGGCAAGUCCAGCUUCGUACUUGGCUCACAUUUUGUGGGAGCUUCCAUUCUCGAACAACUUUAAUCUUUUCCUCAUCCACCUCCACGCCAUAAGCUAAACUAACAAAACCAAGAGAGAAACCUUGUCGGUUCAAAAAAUACACUUGGCAAGGAUGCAAUUUUUAAUAUAUGACUUGGAUAUUUAUCGUUUAUCAUAUAUUGUUUAUGACUUGUGACACCCCUGUUAUUGAGUAUAUGGUUAGCUCUCCAUCGCUUGUGCAAUUGAUAGGCAUUAGGUAUAAAUAUAAAUCGACAACUUGGUAAUACUCUAGGUAAAAUGCUACAAUGGUGUACUUAAUAUGUGCUCUUGCGGAUAGAUUUCUUUUUAUCUUUAUAUUUUUUUAGUCACAUGAAAUAAUAGUUUAGAAAUCCCUAUAACAUCUUUAGCUCUAUUACUAGGGAUGACAACCUAGUUGCUUGCAGGAGGUGUAGGUAGUCAAUAGGUGAGUAAUUUGAAUCUAAGUGUUGCAUUAAUAAAUAUCAAUAGGCAGUAGGACUUAUGAUUUGGUGGCACAAGAAAGGAAAAUGUGUAGGCAGAAAGGUGGCAAUGGUAUAUAUAAACAUAUACCUUCCUAGUGGCACAACGUACAUCAGAUACAAACCAAGAAUACCAAAGUGCAUUCACUAUCCCUUGGCUUGCCCAAAUAAGCGAACCCCCUUAAUCGUGAAACUUCCUCUAGCACCUAGAUAUAGAGCAGCCCCUGCUACACCUAGAUGUCGGUAAUAUACAAUCUUGAAGGCCUUCUCCCAACAACACUGUCACUGCUAAAGGAAUUGGCGAAGGAGCACCAUGGUAAUUGUUGACACUUGCUAACACCACUUGAAUACUAGGUUGUCAUCCCCAUCAUGGCACUAGAGUGUACUAUGGUAUUUAUACGCACACAGAUAAAUCCGCAAGCGCACGGAUACCGUUAUAGCUUUUACCCGGUUAAAGGUUUUAUCGUAUCCACAGGGAAACGGGAGAACUGAUAUACGCUCUAACUUAACCUAGAUUGAUAGAUAGGUGUAAAUAGGAAAGAUGGUAGAAUUGAAUAAGAACAAUAUUAAAGGUAUGAUAACAAUGGGUGAUAAUAUGGGAAUAGAGAGUAGAGCAAUCUAGUAUAUGGGCGAUGGUAGGAGAAUAGAGAGGGUAACUAGGGUUUCUCUACUUCAAAGGGGUAUGUCUAUGUCUAGGACGAACCACGUGAUAAGAAUACACCAUAAACGAUGCUUAUCCAUAGGCCGAUAAACACUACCAGUCCUGCUAACGGGAGGUGGACUACAGAGGACCAACGUAGCUGUCACAUACGCGGCCUACCACACGAUGUGGCUAGACAGGGGAUAUCCACAAGUAAUCUAGGUCUAAGCACCACGCUUACACCUAUACUACAACUCUAACCUAUAUGGUCCUAUAGAUUAAAAGUACUCAAAAGAGUUGUGAACCAGAACAUACAUGGAUAGUAACUGCAUAAUAAAAUAGAAGUAGAUUACCAGAGUCAUCCCAUGAGCAAGCAUGAUUAGAGCUUGAUCAUGGCGAAGUACAACCGGAGGAAGAACCGACAGGCCGGCCUCUCCUCCAAUCCUCCCUCGCUCUCCAUCUUGCUACUACUAGAUCUACUAUAGUUUAGAGAAUAGAGGAGAGCUCUCAUCUCCAAACCAUAGCUUUUGCUCUGUCUAUGAAUAAUGAAUAGGGAUCGAAGAGGUGCCUCCUCCAAGGGCCAGGGGGGCUGCUUAUAUAGCCCUUCCAAAUCAAUGUGGGCCGUCGGAUCAAACCGACCUUAAUCGCACGGUUUUCCUUGAUCCUUUAGGUCGGUGGAGCAUAAUCCGCGAGGCGGAGCCAGAUUGGUCUAGAUGACAGGGCGGGCGCCCUGCCCCCGGGCCCGCUCGGCUUCCCAUUCGUUCCCGUGGCUUCUGGAGUCUUCUAGAUGAUAGAAAAUUGGCGCACACGUUAAUAUCUCUAUGUAAACCCAACAUGUGGGCCUUUCCUCCUUAUUUCCUGAUAACCCCCUGCAGAAAUAGACAAACACCAAAACUCAUAGAAUUCUGUCAGAUAAAACCCUAAGUCUAGGUGUUGGUUGCAUUUGAAUUCUUUUCUUUAUUUAUUUGAUGAUUAUAUUUGGUACUUAAGGACCGUCAACAACUCCCCCAAGCUUACCUCUUGCUCGUCCCUGAGCAAGGGUGGACUCAAGAGUUUCUGCAGUGGUUUCAUGUCUUAAAGGUACACAUGUGUUCAAACAAGAUUUCAUCUCUGGGUUAGGGUAAACUGUUAAGAUUUUAACUUACUCAUAUUACCUUCCACCAUGGCGCUUGUAACCAUCACUUGUGUCUUGAGCAGUUAAAAGAUAGAACGGUCAAGUCAAGCGCCAUGUCUCUUGUUCUUGAUCAACUAUAGCUCUGGAGUUUUUGCAAAUUUUCAAAUAAAACUCAGAGAUUCCUGUAUGACUCAUUCUAGUCUUUCUUUUGUGGUAUUUUUGGAUCCUCACCAAGGCAGUGAUGAUAUAUGCCUUCUCUCAAAGUAUGUCUUAUUUGUGGUAUGAGGCAUAGUGAUAUUGCCUUCUCUCUCAUCCUACUCUAAUGAGGCUUUAAUAUCUGGAGCUCAUAGGUGGGAGACAGCUAAUACAUACUUACAAGACAUUUAUGCAUAGUCAAACCAUGGAUCCAGAGAAACAAGUUAAUAAGUCAAAUCUAUAUGUGCAUGUGUGGCGAAUGAAUGGUGUAUGGUGAUGAUGGUGAAAACAACGGUGAAAGUCUAAUUCUAUUUUUGCUCUUUUGAGGGGAUACAUACCUUUCUUGCACUUUGAAGCUUUUUGAGGGGAAUGAGAUGCUCUAUAUUUUCUUUUUCUUUUCUCUCAGGUGGGUAUCUUGUACCCCUAAUUCUACUGUCGGACACUUGUCCAUUUUUACCUCUCGUCUCACUUUUUCUUUUCUUCGAGGUUCUGGGCACUUGCCCCUUUGUAUUUCCUCGUAUUUUUCAUUUUUUUAAAGCACUCACCCUUCUGGAAUAAUGUAGCAAGUGCUAGUAACCAAAAUAUCUCGAGCAUUUAUUUAACUAGGAAAAGCAGGAAUGGGAUAAUGUUUUUGGCUAUUCUCUCCCGGAUAGGAGUAGAAUAAUUUUGGGUGAAUCUGGAGAUGGAAAUGAGUGGAUGUAUGUGGAUGCGUACUUUCGGAGAAGAAGCAGCAUGUAUGAGUGAACGUGCAAGUGAAUCUAGAUUUUAACCGCAUGACAAGCUCCUAAGGGUCUACACAGCUUGACCACACUCAAUGUUCAUAAGUAGUAAAAAGUAAAUGUGUGGUUCAUUGUCUAAUAAGCAUGUGUAUAUGGCUGUGGUAGGAUUUUAAACUCUCAUCAUACAGGAACUCAUCAUUCAACAUUUUAAAGAUUUUCAAAGAUAAAAUUCUCCAGAAUUCUAGCAUCUCUAGGAACAGAUAAACAGCAGCUCAACCUUCCCAUAUCAUAUCCGUUAACGACUUAGACUUUAGAUCAAGUACUCUUCCCACAUGUUCAGGUUUAGAGCAAAUCUUAAUUCAUAACAGUCAUGCCUAAACUUGAGAGAGAAUUCAAUUUUGAGAACUAGUCAUGGCAGAGCAACUAUUCAUCAUUUCCAUAUGAGAGCCUAUCAUGAGGGUUCAUAGAAAACUUUAUUUAUUUAUUUAGCAAACUAAGAAAAGAUAUAUAUAUAUAUAUAAGCAUAAAAUCUUUAUUUGGGUUUUUAUGAUUAUGCAUCUUUUUAUUAUUUGAGUAAAGUAUAAACGCGAAUAUAAACACUUAGCUGGAUAAAUGGGGGUGCUCUCACCCAAGCUGGAUUUUGACGUAAUUUCUUCUGAUGUAGCUAGCAGGUGGCGGAGGUGUAUUUGAAUGUCGGCAGCACCCUGACAGCGAUUUAGGAUGUCCUCCGUCUGCUAGUCUUCUUUGAUCCUUGAAUUCUGUGGAGCUCAAAUAGACAACAAAGCUUUGUAGAACUGGUUAAGUGUUCACAUAAAAUCUCUUAGCCAUUAUCAUGUUGAGCUUCCUCUAAUAAAUAUUACUCUCUUUGGUAGGAUCAUAAAUUUAUUUUUAUAUUUUCAUUUUUAUAGGACAAGAAUAUUUUUAUUUUUACGCCACCACAAUGAAUGUACUUAUGGGUUUUAUGCCACGAGCAUACUCACAUGGGGCUUACUAUUUUUAACAUUUUUAAUUUCUUUUCAAGAUAGCAUGAUUAACUAACAAGCUAUUUAAGGAAAGUAAAUAAUUUACGGAAAAAGGGAAUGCAGAAAGGAUAAAUAUGGAUAACUACCGAUUUUACCUUUCGGCGAGGGUUCAAUGUUUUAAGUCUUCUGAACAAGACUUCUCACUGUGUUUAUUCUUUAGGUGCAUUAUUUGAUUUAGGUGUGGACCUUGACGUCUGCACCUCUUGAUACGGUGUCACCCAUGUUCUUCGUUUGCCCAGCAGUUCGAAGUGCGACGUUGGCAGUAUCUUGCACAGUGUGUUUGUGCUCGUAGAUCCAGGUCCACUUGGUAGAGUCUGGGAGUUGAAAAAUCCUCCAUGUUUCUAAAAAUGUGUCGUGCUCAUAGAGACAAGGCAGAGAUCAAGUGCAUGGGUCCUGUUGGUGGAAAACAACAACAAAACCAAACGUAUAUUUAUUCUUCUCUAUCCUUAAGCAUAGGGAGCAAGACAAGUUGAUGGGUGAUAAGAUCAUGAGUGUAGCAUUUAAAACAUUUGUCAGAUCAGAUCGCUCAACCUAAUGGAAAGAUAAUCUAUCUGUGUAUAUAUCUUAUUCUUUAUAUCUUCCCAAAGAUUGAAUGUGCAACAUUUUAGCUCAUAUGAUUAGGAGUGUGGGAUCAUGGAGGUAGUACUAGGAACAAAGAUUAAAGGACUAAACAUGCUGAAUCAGUUGGGUUGGUUAAUUUGGAGUUAUAAAUCAUACAUGUUUGUCUCUUUAUUUUUGUGAACGCCGGAACCAAGGAGAAGCUUAUAAAAGUGAUAGUCACAUAUCUUAAUAUGUUACCUUAAUUGAAGAGUGAUGGUACCAUCUCACCUUGUGGAAGCUUCCCAUUCGUAGUGGCUGUGUAUCUUGUUUAUGUACUUUGUCUCCUUCCAUGGAUCAUCUCUCUAUGAUGAAUGAGCUAUGUCCUUCUUGUGUAAAUUGUUGAACUUCAUGUGUCUCUCUCUUCAUCUCUGAUGUGAGUUUAUCUCAGGACUUCCCAAAUCGAUAUUGAAAGUUUUUCUGCAGGGGUUAGUCCAACAAAAUAUACCAAUGUCUACACAAGCAGUUUUUUAGUUCAGUAACCGAACUAAACUCCAUGUCUAAUCAGAUUAAGGAAGGCUGUUUAACCUAAGCACCAUGCUUAAUUUAAAAGCCAAUAGAAGUAUGUGCAGUACUUUCAAACUAACACUUACUAGGAUAAACAAAGGUAGCGUGAUAGCUUUUAUAGAGAUCUACUCAAGUGGAGAUGAAGUAGUGUGAUUAGUAUUUAACAAAUUGAGCAUGUCUCAAAGAUAGGGACAACUAACAUAGCAACAUAGCAAAUGAUGUUUUUAUGUAAGGUACUCCCCCAAGCUUGAAUUUUGCAAAAUUCAAGUUUGGAUGAAUUUAAUUCAGUGUUGCAUGAUGAUUGGUUGGACAUACCUUGUGCUUCUCAUUCAUCCGAUCUUCUUGCUCGAAUCCUAGAAAGGUUAGUGACAAGAAUACCCGAAGGAAUAUUUUUACAAUUAUCCUCAUAUGCUCAAUGCACAAGGCAAUGUUGCAAAAAAUUAAAAGCUCAUGUUACGAUCUGAUUAGUGCUUAUUUGAGGACACUAAGCUUGUCCUUGGGAAACCAUCAGUUUAUGUUGGCGAAGUGGUUUCCCCUCCGACGUCAACCUUUGUAUAUCGAGAUCUGCAAUAUUUAUUAUAGACAUAUGCAUCGACAACCGCCCUUUUAAAGUUUUUGUAAAUAGAAAGGAAAAGGGGGUUGGAGAUCUCAAAUGUGGUGAUGUUGGAGAGACCAAUAGAUUGAGAAGAUGCUUCAUAUGAGCAUGGAGUAAACGAAGUGGCUAUGAAAUAAAUUCUAUGCUUAUUAAUGUUAUCUUUGUCUCUAAUCUGAAUGUUCAUAGUUUCUCUUGGAUUGGUCCCGUCUAUGUCCUCUUCUAUAGAAGGGUGAAUCUCAUAUUCAAGGGGAGUUAAAGACUCAACAUCUGAAAUUGAGUCAAGGUCAGAAUCCAUUAAGGCUUGUUCCUUGUCCUUCCAUUCUACACAUUCCAGCCAUUUAUAAUUUGUGAUCAAGACAAGGGAGCUGAUAGAAUCUUCUAUAUGGCUUAGCUAUCCUUCUGUGGCAUUACUUAACAUGUCAACCUCAUGGUCUUUAUGACUGCUAUGGUAUGAUUGUUUUGAUGGAUUACUAGGAUCAUCGUGAGACUGAAAAGUAGAGGGAUAAGAGGGGUCUCUAAGGUCAAGGAUUGAUUUAGAAUUUGUGAACAUGGAAGGGGUGCAGAUAGAAUCUUCUAUAUGGUUUAGCUCUCCUUCACUUGAUAUGUCAUCCUCGACUUCUUCAUAACAGGAACCAAGACAUUCUCUAAGAGAACCAUUAUUGCAAGGAUUUGAAUUAUCCCUGCUUGAAGGUCUCUUAUGGAACCAAAAGUCUAAACCAUCAACAUCUGAAAGAUUUAAGGUCUGAAUUCCUUCCUCCCUUGGACAAUUUUGGGGUAUUGAUGGUUUAGGAUCGAUAUCUAAAGUUUGGGAUUGAAGUGGUUGUGAUCUGGCUAUAGAAACUUCUUCUUCUUGUCUAGGAACUGGUUCUUUCUCUUUCUCAGGGAUAUAAAUGCUAGGAGACUUUUUGCUCAUUAAAUCAAUCAAAUUCCAAGCUUCACUAGCGGAUAGGUGGUGGAAAGAUCCUCCAGAGGCCGCAUGAAGGGUUUGCUUAUUUUCCCUACUAAGGCAAUUAAAAAAGUGAAUUAGAAGAACUUCUUCUGGAAUAGAAAGCUUUGGGCUAGUGAGAGUAAGGUCAAUAAAGCGGUCCCAUGAUUCGCCAAGAGAUUCUUCUUCUAAUUGUCUAAAAGAAAGAAUCUCGAGCCAAAGAUCCACCACUUUGGAGAUUGGAAAAUAUUUAGAGAGAAAACUAUUGUAUAGCUACUUCCAAUCUCCAUGAGCACUUCCUAUGUUGAGUUUAUACCAAUGUCUAGCUUUUCACGUUAAAGAGAACGGAAAGAGCUUCCAUUUAAGGGUCUCAUCAGACAUGCCUUCAAUGCGAAGGAGGUCACAGACUCGAUAAAACUCUCUUAGGUGUGUGUAUGGGUUUUCUUCACCUAAGAGAGGUUGUUUUUGAAGAAAUUCUAUGUAUGCUGGGCUUAUCUCAAAACUAGAUGUCAUGAUAGGCUUUGAAGAUUUUGGUGGUUCCAGAUGUGUGCCCGUAGGUCUAUUAAACUGAUAGAUAGACAUGUUUGCAUUCAUGAUAGGCCAGAGAUCAAGGAUUAGAUAAGAAGAAAGAAUGGCAUAGAUGAGGCAAAGGAUAAAAGGAAAUAAAUAUAUAUAUAUUUUUUAUUAUUUUUUUAGAACAAUGAUUAAGCUAGUUUGUAGUCAACUCAGCAACCAUCUCCCCGACAACGGCGCCAAAAAGCUUGUUGACACUUGCUAACACCACUUGAAUACUAGGUUGUCAUCCCCAGCAUGGCACUAGAGUGUACUAUGGUAUUUAUACGCACACAGAUAAAUCCGCAAGCGCACGGAUACCCCAUUGUAGCUUUUACCCGGUUAAAGGUUUUAUCGUAUCCACAGGGAAACGGGAGAACUGGUCUACGCUCUAACUUAACCUAGAUAGAUAGAUAGGUGUAAAUAGGAAAGACGGUAGAAUUGAAUAAGAACAAUAUUAAAGGUAUGAUAACAAUGGGUGAUAAUAUGGGAAUAGAGAGUAGAGCAAUCUAGUAUAUGGGCGAUGGUAGGAGAAUAGAGAGGAUAACUAGGGUUUCUCUACUUCAAAGGGGUAUGUCUAUGUCUGGGACGAACCACGUGAUAAGAAUACACUAUAAAGGAUGCUUAUCCAUAGGCCGAUAAACACUACCAGUCCUGCUAACGGAAGGUGGACUACAGAGGACCAACGUAGCUGUCACAUACGCGGCCUACCAUACGAUCUGGCUAGACAGGGGAUAUCCACAAGUAAUCUAGGUCUAAGCACCACGCUUACACCUAUACUACAACUCUAACCUAUAGGGUCCUAUAGAUUAAAAGUACUCGAAAGAGUUGUGAACCAGAACAUACAUGGAUAGUAAUUGCAUAAUAAAAUAGAAGUAGAUUACCAGAGUCAUCCCAUGAGCAAGCUUAAUUAGAGCUUGAUCAUGGCAAAGUACAACCGGAGGAAGAACCGACAGGCCGGCCUCUACUCCAAUCCUCCCUCGCUCUCCAUCUCGCUACUAUCUAGAUCUACUCUAGUUUAGAGAAGAGAGGAGAGCUCUCAUCUGCAAACCCUAGCUUUUGCUCUAUCUAUGAAUAAUGAAUAGGGAUCGAAGAUGUGCCUCCUCUAGGGGCCAGGGGGCCUCCUUAUAUAGCCCUUCCAAAUGAAUGUGGGCCGUCGGAUCAAACCGACCUUAAUCGCACGGUUUUCCUUGAUCCUUUAGGUCGGUGGAGCAUAAUCCGCGAGGCGGAGCCUGAUUGGUCUAGAUGACAGGGCGGGCGCCCAAGGGGGGAGGGCGAGCGCCCUGCCCCCAGGCCCGCUCGGCUUCCCGUUCGUUCUCGUGGCUUCUGCAGUCUUCUAGAUGAUAGAAAAUUGGCGCACACGUUAAUAUCUCUAUGUAAACCCGACAUGUGGGCCUUUCCUCCUUAUUUCCUGAUAACCCCCUGCAGAAAUAGACAAAUACCAAAACUUGUAGAAUUCUGUCAGAUAAAACCCUAAGUCUGGGUGUUGGUUGCAUUUGAAUCCUUUUCUUUAUUUAUUUGAUGAUUAUAUUUGGUACUUAAGGACCGUCAACACUAAUGUAGAAACUAUAUAAGGUUGCCUUAGAGCUUUGUAUAUCUAUCUGUAUCUAUGUAAGAAGAGUGUGUGGAUUGCCAAGAAGCUCAUCGAGCCCCAACUUAAAUAAGCCACCCUUAAAGAUGGAGAAGUGGAGACGAGUAUUUAAGAUCCACAUGAUUUAUGGAAGAUGAAGAUUCCUACGGAAAGUAGUGUGGAAAGAUGGUGUUCCUAGAAGUUGGGACACUAUAGUCACUCAUUGAGUUAAUGUUCCAUAUGAUGCUAUUUAGAUUCCCUAACAUCAUAGUAACUUAAUGACAUGUAAUAUCUAAUGCUUGGGGAGGAAGGUUGGAAUUUACCAGAUAGCUAGGCUCCAAUUACAUUGGCUUAAAUAGACUAACCUCAAGAUACGCGUGGGGAAUGCAAUAAUUGAGGUCCAUGACAUCUGCGGCCACCCACAUGAGUCAAAGGCGAUGGAGAAGUGGUGAAAAAUGGGCGCAUAUGGAAUGAUCAAUGUAUGAAAAAUAGGAGCAUUUGGAGCUCAUAUUUUUGUUACGCAAGCAUUGAAGAAGAGGUUAUGAUUGAGUCACAUUAAGCUCAUUUAUAGCAUCAGUGACUCAAUCAUCUCCUCUUCUCCAAUGUCACAUAAGUUGAUCUUGAAGUCCUUCUCCAAUGGCGCUAGAGUAGAUGUAGGACAAGGGAGACCAUGAUGAUAGGAUACUAUGUGCAAACUCAAGGUUUUCUCUAGUUUUUGUGAUGCUUAGGGAGGAAUAAGGUUGGUGUGUGCCAAAUAGGCUCCCCUUAGGCCUAAACAGCCCCACUUUAAGUUUAGAUUCAUCGUACUUGUGCUCCUCGACCCAUUCUUCAUCCUCGACAAUAAUGUAGGUGUCGUAGAUCAUGCUGAAGAAGGAGGUGUCGCUGAUGUUGAUAUGGUUGACUAUGAUGAACUCGUACCACCCAUCCAUGAACGAUGUGCACAUUUUGUUGUUUGUGGGGGUCCUCUUCAAGGCCACAAACUACAACUCCCCAGCCUUCUGCAACUCGACAUCAUGCUGGUCCUAGUAGCCACGUGCUAUCUCAAAGUCCACUGGCAUGUUCUUUGCCUCACACAAAAUAGAUUGAUGAGAAAUAUAACACUGAUAACUUGGAACAUUAGUAUGUUCUUCAUCUCAUGUGAUUGCUCACCAGAUACUUAACUUUGAAGUGGUGGUUCUUUAGGAUCACUGCAAAACUCUUUGGUUCUGCGAUGGGCAGGGAGAGUUGGCUACCACCAGCAAUGAAGUAGUGCAUGUAAUGCUUUAUGGCAGAUGGUAAGGUCAAAUACCUUGACUUUAAUCUAUGACUAGCCGUCAUACCGCAAUACAAGAGAGAACCCGUCUUGGAGGUCGAGCACACAGACGAAGUGCUUCCAUCCCCAGUGGAGGUACAAGCGACCACCAUUCGGAACACCUCCACCUAUCAUCAGACCAGGCAUUGCUUAUCGUCUAGCCAAAGCUCAAAUUUUUGGUGAGCUCCGAUGGCCUAGGCCAUUGCCCUUGGUAGUUUCUGUGUGCACAAUGAUCAACAUAUAGCUAGAUAAAGGGACAAGUUUAUCCCCAAAGGUAAACCAGAGUAGAUCGGAUUUAACACACAAAAAAUAGGCACUUACCAAUAUUUCUACAUACAAUCCAAGGAGAAGGAUCUUGAGGCACUCCAGUUCACUCUGGCUCGAUCCUGCCAUGUCUUCCUAUAGCCUACCAUGCCAACAUGGUACUUGACAGUGGGGGAGGUGGGGUGGGGGGCUUCUUCUUUUUCUAUGCUUUUGGUGUAGUCACAAAUGGAAGGUGUAUAUACAUUGUUGGGACUAACAUGUAAAAACCAGCGUCGAGGAUACGCGGUCUCAUAAAUGAAAGGGUGAUUGCAACUAUGGUGUGGGUAGCUGGAAAACAACUCACCUACUAUAUUUACGGCUUGUUCAUUGGACGGUCAUGUAGGGCCAACGGCAAUAACUCUGUAUUUAUGGCCGCUUCACUAGAUGGUCAUUUAGGGCCGGUGGCAAUAAUGCCUAUCCUAGCUAGCUCACCAUUCAAAAUGACGGUACAAUUCAGCCCCAUUACCAUCACUAUAUAGUUGGUUUUCCACAUACGGUUUCAUUCGGAUGUCACUUCGUUCCAACCAACGGUGGAAGUAACACACCGAUGCUUUAAUAACUUCGGUAAAAUAUUACACAUGCACCCCAUGAUGACGACGGAAUAUUCCUACAUAUUCUCCUUUCAGGAUACUCUACAUGACCUCGUAUGAAAAAACUGCCAAAAUAAAAGUUGUAGAUCUCGAAAAGUUAUGAAACUUUGUAGCUGAUAAUUUUUUCAUUUGAAAUCAUCUUUUCAUCGAAAACUACGUUCCAAUUUGUCAAAUUUGAAAUUCAAUUUUUGUAAAUUAACUCAGAUGUAGAAACUACCAAUAUAAAAGUUGUAGAUCUUAAAAAGUUAUAUAAUUUUAUAGUUGACAGCUUUUUCAUUUGAAUUUGUUUAGAGCCUCAAACAAUCAAUAUUUGCUCAGUUUAGGAUAAUAUGUGGGGAACCAAACUCUAUUAUAGACACAACUAAGUAAUGAGUGGAGUGGUAGAGGAGGCUACGUGUGAGGGAGAUGUUGCGGGUUCGAAUCCUACCGGCCGCGUGCGAUUUUACACGAAAAAGUGCGCGACUUGCGAUUUUUCUACUGAGAAACAUAGAAAUAGGUUUAGAACUAUUUGUGCGAUUUUACGCGAAAAAGUGAGCGACUUGUGAUUUUUCUACUGAGAAACACAGAAAUAGGUUUAGAACUGCUUGUAUAGAGCUUUAUUCUACUAGUGAUAUUUUUACUAUACUUUAAGGUAUUUUCAAAGAUCAUAGUCUCUGCUCGGGUUGAUGUACUAGCUUAUCUCUAAUAUAACGUGUAAAGCAAAAUGUUUAAUUAUCCAUAGCUUCUUUCCCUUCGGGUGGCCUCCACUCUCGGCCGUAUAAUAGGGAUCCGAAGGACUCGAUCUGUCCAAUGUUUGUAUAAGUUAGAGUAGUGUAUGUCCAAUCACGAUGCAGUCUGACUCGAAAAUGAGUUGUAAUACAAAGUGUUUUCUUGAUCCACCACACUCUCUCUCUCUCUCUCUCAUGUUCAUACGAGCUAAAUGAUGAGGCAUGUGCAGAGUGUGAUCCUAAAACAAAUUAAAACACAUUACAUGAUUAUUGAUAAUUACAUCUCCAAACUUUCCAUGUCCAUACUAGUUAGAGCAGCACAUGUCCCUGGAACAAGGUUCGAUUCACAGGUGAAUUCGCAUGAUCCCUGGAACAUUUGCAGGUGUAUUUCGAUCUUGACCACGGCGUUGUUGGUGCCGGAGUCGAAGGAGUGCGUCCUGAGCAGACCGUAACCGCUGGCUCCACGGAACCUGCCGGCUCCGCCACUGACCGCCAGCUCCGUGACCUCGUCAAAGAAGGCGCCCUUUCCCUGGACGACGAGGUAGCUGCCGUUGUGCAUCCCCGCCGUGAACACUAUGUUCAGGGAGAGUAUCACAGCCAGCUGGUGCUGAUCCACAAAGGUGUAGAACCCCUGCACGCGCCCCACUGCCGGUGACGCCGCGUCGGGCCCUUCUGUCAGUGGGUCGUCGAUCACGAUCGUGUCGCCGAAGCGGACAUUGGGGACUCCUGGCAGCGGCCUCAUGGCCCUCGCCACAUGCACCGCCGUUGCCGGGCUGCCUGCUGUUGCCGUCACGACGUCGUGCACGUAGAACUGGAGGUGCGUGGUGGCGGUGGCGGUGGCGGUGGCAAGCGCCAUGGAGAUAAGUAUCAGUUGGAGCUGCACGGUACUAAGCUUUCUUUUGGCCAUGGUGUGAUCAGGGAGAGAAUGAAGGACAAAGGGGCUUUCUACUUGAACCGUGGAACGCAGCAUGUGCUUAUAUAAUUCGUCCAUCGACAACACGAGAGGCUGCAGUUCCGAGUAAGUGUAAACGAUUCCAGUCCUUUUUCAUUGGAAGAACAGCUCUGCUGGGAGCCAAAGAACUCUGGUGCUCCUUUUUCGUCGGCACACCGGCGUACUUUGACCGCCGGCCGCUUGAACAUGGCGUCCUUGACCGUCUACUCCGUUGAUUAAUUUAUGUUUGUCAUAUAUAUAAUGGUAAGGCACGCACGCAGACGUCCAAGACCCAGAGCUUACAAGUCUUUAACCAAGUUUUAGUAUGUGUAUAUCAAAUAAGAGAAAAAUGAAAGGCUAAAGUCUUAGGCGUGCGUGGAAACCGGAGCAAGUCAAAUGGCAUCAUAUAUUUUUGCCGUCGUUGGUCGACAUCAACUGCAGUGUGCAACCCAGCCGAUUGUAUUUGCAUUGGGACCACGUAAAUUAUUCUUAUAAGGUUGUGUUUGGAUGAAUCAGGACUAGUGACAAGAUAAUUACUCCCUCUAUUACAAAUUAUAAGAAAUUCCAAAAAUCUUAAAUAGUCAAAGCAUGUUUGAUCAAAAUUGAAAAAAAUUACAAAGAUUUAUAACAUCUAAUAGAUAUACUAUAAAAAUAUGAUUAAUUAAAAAUUUAAUGAUACUUAAUUGAUAUUAUAAAUAGUAUUAUCUUAUCAAAUAAAUUUGGUCAAACUUGAGAUCAUUUGAUUUGGGAUAGAGGGAGUAGUAGUUAGUUAAUUAAUAAUUAGUUCAGUGCUGUUUGGAUCCCUGAGACUAAUAAAACACAAAGUUGUUUAGAGCAAGUAUAAUAGCCGGCUUACAGUCGGCUAAAUACUGAGGUGGAAGAGAGAGAAGAGAAGAGAGAGUAGAAACGGCUGUAAGCUUAGAGCCGACUUAGACACAAAAACCAAUAAAGUUUACGAGAGAGACAAGUAAGUUAUAUAUUAAUGACCAUGAGCUAACUACUAUAUAAGUGGACUGAAAAAAAACUUACAGCCAGGAGCUAGCUAGCCUUGCUCUUGUAUCGCUGGUGGUUUACACCGCAUGUCCAUCUGUCCAACUGCAGUUCCUGCUUGCAAAGAUCCCGCUAUCUGCUUGUCGUGUGUGUUACGAGUGGAAUGUAAAGUAUGAGAGAACAGAGAGGAAGUGAUUGAACUUGUUCUUAUUCUUUAUUCACUGAUCGGUAUUUAUACAAGUCGAGGGGGGAGGGGAAACUCUCCCCCCAAGUAAUCACGAAGCCCAUGAUGAGUCGUGGGGGAUAUCACGGAGGUGGAACCGGUCUUAACAGGCACAUACAGGGUCGUGGGGGAAGUCUCGGUCUUGGAGCUAUUAGGAUAGAUCUCCUGAGAGAGAAUCCGAGGAGAUGAGAUCACCCUGAUAAAAUAUUCGUAACACUCCCCAUUGAUCGAAUCGCUUGUUGAGAUCAAUGAAUCGUAUUGCUCCUCCAAAAAUUCCUGUAGGAUAAAAACGAAGAAAAAUACGUGUGUAUAUGUGCUAUAGUAAAACUCCUUAAAACCGCUUGAGAAAAGGAGAAAGUUAUAGCACUUAAUGAUUGCCUCAUUGUAAACUAAUAUGAGAAAACCUUUACAGGAGAAAACUCAUGUUGUAGUUUAGAGGUUGUGUCUUUGAUAAUCUUUUAAAAACCCCUGUGGGGAAAACAAGGAAUAUGACACUCUUGUGUUAAUAUUAUCUCAUUAAAAACUCCUUAUGAGAAACCUUGUGAGGAAAAACUCAUAGAGAGAAUAGAGUAUAAUAUGAUGGUGUAGACAUGCCAAUGUCUAGGAGAUUUCUCCCCCCGAACCUUGCAAAUCCCUAAGUCGUCGCUUACCAAUUCCUUUGACACAUUUUUCAAAUGGGGAAGUUGGUAGGGACUUAGUGAAUAGAUCAUCGAGAUUGUCACAUGAUUCAGUUUUCAAGAUAUCAAUCUCUCCAUUUUGUUGUAAUUCAUGAGGAUAGAACAACUUUGGAGAGAUGUGUUUGUUGAUAUUGCUCUUGAUAUAGCCUGUCUCCAUCUGUGUAACACAAGCCACAUUAUCUUCAUAGAAAAUGGUUGGAGCUGUGAUAGCUUUAAGACCACAUGUCUGUUGUAUGUGGUUGAUCAUUCUUCGAAGCCAAAUGCAUUCAGUGAGGCCUCAUAUAGUGCUACUAUUUCAAAAUGAUUCAUGGAUAUUGUUGCCAUGGUUUGCUUGGAUGAUGUGCAUGAUAUGGUGGUUCCAUUUUGUAAGAAUACGAAACCAGUUUGUGAUCUACCAUUAUGGGGGUUUGAUAUCCAGCAUCGGUGUAUCCUAUCAUCUCAGAACUUGUUCCUCUUUGGAAGAAUAAUUUGAGAUCCCUUGUGCCAUUACCAUAUCUGAGGAUCUGUUUUACUCCUGUCCAAUGUCUCUUGGUAGGAGCAGCACCGUGCCUUGCUAGCAAAUUCACUGUGAAAGCGAUGUCAGGCCUAGUGCUAUUGGCAAGGUACAUCAGUGCUCCAACGGCACUAAGGUAUGGGACAUUAAGACCUAGGAUUUCCUCCCCCUCAUCUUGUGGUCUAAAUGGAUCAGUGUUUAGUCCUAAAGACCAAACGACCAAAGGGGUUUUGGAAGGAUAUGCUUUAUCCAUAUUGAAUCUCUCCAAUACUUUCUUGACAUAGGAAGAUUGAUGCACAAAGAUUCUAGUUGAAAGAUGCUCAAGUUGUAGGCCUAAGCAGAUUUUAGUUUUACCCAAAACCUUCAACUCGAACUCCGUCUUAAGAUGUUCGCAUGCCUCAUCAAUAUCUUGUUUGUGGUUGAUGAUAUUAUAUUUAAACCAUCAACAUACACCGAUAUGAUGCAGAAUCCCAUUUGGGAUUUCUUGAUGAAGAGACAUGAGCAAUCAUCACUGAUAGAGUAGCCCUUCUGCAGAAGGUAUUCACUGAGUCGGUUAUACCACAUUCUUCCUGACUGCUUUAAGCCAUAUUGUGAUUUCUGUAGCUUUACACAAUACAUGUUGCGGUUUGCAUUUUGAUUCGGUAUUGGGAUUCCCUCAGGAACCCUCAUGUAUAUGUCUAAAUUGAGUGACCCACAGAGAUAUGCAGUUGCUACAUCCAUCAACUGCAUAGAUAGAUGAUUUUGUACAACUAGAGAGAUUAAGUAUUGGAAUGUUAUUCUACCCAUGACUGGAGAGUAUGUUUUAUUGAAGUCAAUGCCAGGUCUCUGCGUGAACCCUUGUGCUACAAGCCUCGCUUUGUAUCUCACCACCUCAUUGUUCUCGUUCCGCUCUCGGAUGAAAACCCACUUGAAUCCCAUAGGGAAUACUUGUGGAGGUGUAGGUAUUACUUGUGAGAAUACCUGCCUUUUUGUGAGCAAGGAUAUUUCUGCUUGGAUUGCAUCCUUCCAUUGGUUCCAGUCCGAGCACGUUUUGCACUCUGCCAUGGUCUGUGGAUAUGGAUCAUUUUCAAGGAUUUCGGCAAUCAUUGCAGAGAAAUAUGAGUCGACAAUUGUAGUCUUUCUAUCAAAUGAUUCUCUGGUUUCUGCAUAAUUGAUGGAAAUUUCAUGGACCCGUUCCCAUGCAUCAUCAUUUCCCAAGAUGGUCGCAUCACAGUAUUCUGAUGUCACAGCAUUAGUAAUUGAGUGAACUGUUGAUGUGGGAUGUGAAGAUUGAACCUCCACUAGGUGUUUCUCAACAUGAGGUUGAGCUACAUUUACUGGAUUGAAAGAUUUGGUCUUCCGUUUCCUUUGCUUGCUAGAAGCUAUAUCCGUGGAGAUAGCCAUACUUCUCCACAUCUUACUAGGGAGUUGAGUAGUUUUGUUUGGUCUCACUACUCUUUCUGGUACAUUUCUUGUUGGAUUAUAGGAUUUUGUAACACUCUUAUAAUCAGUAAAUGCGUCUGGCACAUUGUUUGCAAUGUGUUGCAAAUUGAUGAUUUUCUGAACUUGGAGUUGAGACUCUGCAGUAUGUGGAUCUGAGUUGGGUAUGUCUGGGGCAUCCCAAUUGAUUUCCUAGCAUUGUUUGUGAUGUGGUAAGUCUCCUCCUAAUGCCGAAAAUGAUCUUCAUUGAAGAUACAAUGAGCAUACUAGGCUGUAAAGAGGUCCCCUGUGGUGGGCUCUAGAUACUUUAUGAUCGAUGGAUAUUUGUAUCACACAUAGAUCCCCAAUUUUCUAUAGGGGCACAUUGUUGUAUGCUUUGGUGGUGAGAUCGGUACGUAUGUAGCGCAACCGAACUUUCACAAAUGGGAAAUGCUUGGGGGAUUUCCAUGUACUAGUUGCAACAGGGACGUUGCAUGGUAUGCAAUUGGUCGUAACUGAAUCAGUUCAGCAGCGUGUAAGACUGCAUGACCCCAACAUGAGGUUGGUAGAUUGUAAUUCUGCAAUAGCGGUCUAGUAAUGAGCUUAAUUCUCUUCAUGAGAGACUCGGCUAACCUAUUUUGUGUGUGGACAUAUUGGACAGAAUGUUGUACUUGUAUUCCUAAGGCCAUACAAUAGUCAUUGAAGGCACAAGAGGAAAAUUUGGCAGCGUUAUCCAUCCUAAUGGAUUUUAUUUGGUGUUCAAGAUGUUGCGCUUUGAGUUUGAUAACUUGCGCAAUAAUUUUGGUAAAGGUAUGGUUCCGUGUCGAUAGGAGGGACACAUGAGACCAUCGUGUGGAUACGUCUAUUAGAACCAUGAAGUACCUGAACAGUCCCGAUAAAGGAUUUAUCGGACCACAUAUGUCGCCUUAAAUUUGUUCAAGUACUUGAGUGGUUCAACUUUUAUUUUGAGGGAAGAGGGCCUCAAAAUUAAUUUCCCUAUUGCACAUACGGUGCAAGUAUAAUAUGAGGAUUGGGGAAAUCUUGCAUUGGUUAGUGAGUGACCAACAAAAUUACUAGUAAUUUUUCUCAUCCCUAUGCCAGGGUGACGAAGGCGUUCAUGCCAAGUUUGGAAUGCAUUGACAUUCUGAAAAAUUACUUUGUACGCAAUAUGUUGUACGGGUUUUAUGUAUGAACAGUACAAUCUAGACAAAAUUGAAGGAAUUCUUUCGAGAGUAUCUCUGUCAUAUCCGUGAUCCUUUGUAAUGAGGAGGAAUUCCUCAUUAUUUUGGUGAUGUGUUUCGAUAUGAUACACAUUUUAGCGGAUAUCUCUAUAACUCAAUAAGGUAUGAGUCGAAUUGGGAUACAAAAGUGCAUCCUCAAUUGUAAUCGUUGUACCCAUAGGGAGCGUAAUAAUGGCUCGUCUAGAGCCUGCUAUUAAGGCAUCGUUCCAACGAUUGUUAAAACAUUUCCUUUGCUCUUUGUGAGACUUUAGAAAUAUUUUCUUUCCCUGAGUAUAGAGUUAGUGGUGCCACUGUCCACUAGGCACAUUUCCUCAUCCAUUGGACUGACUCUUGUAAAAUAUAUGAAAAUAGAGAAUAUAAUAGAGAACGAAAUUCUCAACAUGAAUAUAUAUGGAAUAUAAACAUUUAUUGAUAUUAAAUUGUGCAUAAGUCAUUGAACAUCAAAAAGUGUGCAGAAAAAACAAAAUGUCAAUUAUUACAAUCCCAAAGACGAAUGAUAAAAUUAAAAUCUCAAAUGACUAUGAAUCUAGUUGUAGUCACCAAAAAGAUCAUCAGAAGUGUAUUCGAUGAUCAUGUUGUAGCUGGAUUCAUUUGUCUUGCUAUCAAUUGGAGGAGGCGCCAUUGUGUUGCUCGGUCUCGCUAUGGCAGGGUUGGAACAUCUUGGGGUUGCCAGAUCAUUGAAGUGUGCUUCAGAUGAUUGUCCACCUUGGUUGGAGUAUCCUCGUCCCACGGAAUGCAAGUACACUUCCACAAGGUGCUUAGGGGUGUGGCAUUUCUUAGUCGGGUGGUUGUAGCAACCACACUUUGUACAAGUUGAGGACUUGUCUUUUGACUUAGAGUUGCUGCCUUUGCCCUUAGCACCUCGAGGCUUACGGGGUCCCUUGCGCUUGUUUUUGCCUUUGGCGGAUCUAGGAUUGCCAUUCUUGUUAGCAUCCUUUGGUGUCUGUUUGUGAGCAUUGGCAUGUACUUUAGGCAAGGGCUUGGCACCGAUAGGGCCUUGAUUGGAGUUCCAAAUGAGGAGCUCAUUGUGCCUCUUAGCCUGAAGUAAUGGUUUAAUGAGAUUAGAAUAGACUGUGAAUCCCCUCUCACGGUAUUGCUAUUGGAGGAUCAUUUGAGCGGGAAGCAUGGUAGACACAGUCUUUUUAAUUUUCUCCACGUCUCUUGGCUCCUUUUCACAAAAUUCAGUUCGGAACUGAGUUUGUGCAUGGCAUGGUUAUACUUAUUCAUAGAUUUGAAAUCUUGAAUGCGGAGGUGGUUCCACUCAUGAGUGGCCUCCGGGAGAAUAAUAGCCUUUUGUUGCUCAUACCGCUAUUGCAAAGCAAGCCAGAGAGCCUGUGGAUCGUCUUCAAACAAAUAUCUAGCUUUGAGAUCUAUAUAGAUGUGGUUCCUUAUUAUGUAUAAGGCAUGGUGCUUGGAUGGUUGAGACAAUGGAGCAUCUCCCUGUUUGGGAGUGUCAAUUGCCUUGUAUAUUCCACGUAACGAAAGACUCACUUUGAGAUCCAUCACCCAUGUAGAGAAGUUGUGUCCAUCAAGAGUUAGCUCGGAAAAUUCCUUCUUAGAAGAAACUUGGGCGUCAGACUCUUUGGUGGUCAUUGGCUACAUAUGUUUUUGUAUAAAUUUAAUUAAUUGCGGGGUUGUAAAAUUAACAAGAAUGCAAUUUCAUAUUUAUAUAACAAUGUAAAUUGUAUAUGUAAAGCAAUGUAAAAUUGCGUAUGUAAGACAAUAUAAAAUUGCGUAUGUAAAUAACAAGGUAAACUUGCUUAUGUGAAGUAAGGUAAACUUGCAUAUGUUUUAUGGUAUAUUAAUUUCUCAUUUUGUGGAACAUAGGUAAUCACCAUGAGGUGUAGACCGUUAUAUAUUUUUCGCUUUGGGAUGUAGUUCUUGUAUGUUUAUUAUUAAAUUUGGGAGAGCACUUUGAGGAAUAAAUCCCGCAGUAGUAUGAGUGCUACCUUGUGGUCGCCAAAAUAAUAAUAAAGUAAUUUAGUGAAAAAGAGCGUUCCAAAUAGUUAGAAAAAUUGACCACAAAAAUAUUUACAUAUGUACAUGUGAUAGGGAAUUGUAAAAACAAAACACGUUCGACAUGCAACAAAUUUUCCAUUCAGAAUAUAAUUGCGAAAUAUAAAAAUAUUUAUAAUGCAAUAUACAUUAGUGUCUAAAAUUUACAGAAAAAUUAGACUAUAUAACUGAUGUAAUAUUUACAUCAGUGCAAUAUAAAUAAGAAAAAGCCAAUGAUAACUUACCCAGACUGAAAGCUCGCAGACCCCAACCUGGGCCUGGGCCACCAAUUUGGCCCAACUAGGGUGAGGGAGGAUGGGCCAUAUAUAAAGCCAGGGGCUAGGGUUUCCAAACCCUAGCCCUAAGCCACCAGGUGCCGCCAACAGUAGUUGCUGCAGCCACCGCCGCUGUUAGAGGACCUGGGGAAGCGUGCCCCUACGCGUGGCCCAUGGGGCCUGCCUCGAUCCGCGUGUGUGGGGCCGCGGUAGAGGAGUGAGGAUGUCACACCGGUCGUGAGGUCGUGUAGGUGGCCGUGCCGUGUAGACGCGUGGAGGAGCCGAGCGAAGCCGUCAGGCGGGAGCCACCGUGCCGUGGUGCCGCGCUCAAGCUGUGCAGGAAGCUGGCGAGGACGGGAGCCACCCCGGAGCCACGCGAGGUGGGCCGUCGCGGUGGGUCGCCAUUGCGCGUUGAGGUCGAGCGCCUUGGCCGAGCGUCAUGUCCUGUGCGGCCGAGGGCGUUGGCCGCGAUGAGAGCGGCUGAAGCCGCGUAGACAAGCGGCCGUGGUUGAGCCACGCGCGCGGUCAGGUGGAGCCGUACCGCCGAGUCGCCCGUUCGCGGCGUUGUGGCCAUGCGGGGUCGCCGGCGUGCUACCGAGCCGCGGCUGCCGUGGCCACCGAGUAGUCGGUUCAUGCCAUGGUGGCUGCGCGGGGUCGCCCGCGUGCUGCCAGGCCACAGCUACCAUGGACGUCGUUCGGCGAGGCGCGAGGAGCCGUUCGUUGCCGAGCAGCAGCGCCCUCUACUCCUCCCCCUCCCUGUGACGUUCUCAAACCGGGGGGAGCGCGUCCCCGAGCCGAAGGCCCAUGGGGCACGCUGAUCCACAUGCGGCAGAGACGUGGAGGAGUUGGCAGUGGUGGUGGUGAUGCAUCGAGCUCUGGGUCGACGAAGUACACCGGCAGCCGAGUCGGUGCCGACAUCCGUGCCGUGAUGGUCAGUGCAGAUGGACGGCUUGGAGGCGGACUUUGCGCAACCCGCUCGGGAGACGGCAUCGGUGUCGGGUAGUGAUAGCCAACGGCUCUAUGGCUAGUGAUAGCCAUUGGCUAGCCACAAUGGAUGGUGGCGGUGGUGGGCACGGGCCAUCGCCGUGGAGCGGGCACCUUGGCCGGGGUGGAGGCGGCAAGGAGUGGACCGGCGCUAGAGGUGUCGGUGGAGUCGGUGCCCUCGACGGUGGUACCACAGGUGGAGCCAUGGAUGGCGCCGCGGGCAGAGCCUCGAACGACACCACCGAACGUCAUGAUGGAGGAGCGAGGUUUGCACGUCGAUGUCCCAUGAAACGACGUCAUACAAAGCAACGCCAGCGAUUCCUAUCGAGGUUAUAGCGUUCGCCCUGAAGGCGAUAGCCGCGAGACUCUCCAAGGAGUUCCCGGAUGUCCUCCAGUAGUUCCGUCUGAAGGCGGUUGUUGCCGAAGUGUACGUAUGCCCAAAGUACGGGCACGAUUCAUCGUCAUCCAGAUGACUUGUAGGAUGAGGGAAGCCAUUCAGGUAGAAUUACGGCGACGGAACGACAUGUUUUACCUCGGGGGUGAAGGUCGAUCCCUCGACGAUGUUCUUACCACACGAGCAAUUCCCUCUGGGGCAAAGAAAGAUUGAUGUGCUGAUAACGUGUUACGAGUUAAAUGCAAAGUACGAGAGAACAUAGUGGAAGUGAUUAAACUCGGUGCCAUUCUUUAUUCAUUGAUCGGUAUUUAUACAAGUCGAGGGGGAGGGGAAACUCUCCCCCAAGUAAUCACGAAGCCUACGAUGAGUCGUGAGGGAUAUCACGGAGGUAGAACCGGUCUUCAUGGGCACGUAUGCGGUCAUGGGAGAACUCUCGGUCUUUGAGCUGUUAGGAUAGAUGUCCCGGAAAAAAAAUCCGAGGAGAUGAGAUCACCUCGGAUAAAAUAUUGGUAACACUGUGCUCACCCAAACUUUUUGCUUUCUUGGCGAUUUGUGUCCCUUGGUCGCCGGAAUUGUAAACAAUAUGUUGUAUUAAAAUAAUGUUCUGGAUAAAUAAGCAUAAAUUAAAAUAAUACUACAGUGCACUUGUUCGAUCUAUGAGUACAAAUAAUUCAUACAAAUAAAAUUGUUCAUACAAAUUUAUUUUUUGAAACACACAUAGGUAGCUACUGUUCUCUACUUGCUAUCAAAGCAUUAGCCGCGCCUAGGCGGGUGUCAGUUGGGAUUGAAACGCACGGCCCCCUCGAUAGAGAUCCGGUGGGCCACGGUCUAGCGACCAUAGAUCCACACACCUUUGCCGAGAGGCCAUAGAUCCACACAAUGUGUCAAGCAUGGAGGAGGCUACUUCCUCUGUUCCUCCUAGUCCUAGAACCGCGUGACGCCAACAACGUGCCGGAGGGCUGCUUCAUCUGCACCGCCAAGGAGCCUCCACCCGAGCCAUGUGUCGCCCUAUGCAGGGUGCAGGUAGGAGCUGUGCGAUCCAUUGUCGGAUCCAGCCGUCCCCUUCAGCUGGUGGAGAGAGGGAGAGAGAGGUGGAUUUCGUCAGAGAGCGGGGCUAGGUCUGUGUGAGUGAGAGCGAGUGUUUGGGGCUUGCGGCGUAGUGGAGCGGUGUAGUGAAAAGCAGGCAAUGGUUGCAGUGGUUUUAAAUGAAGCCUAAUGAAUAUCAGUCGUCCGUGUAUUGAUCCAAUAGAAAGGCACGAGAUGGAGUUGAGUUGGGCUAAAUAUGAGCAUCAUUUUUAGGCCCAACUAGAGUAUGGUGAUUUUAAAAUCAUACGCUGUGACGAUUCAAAUAAAUCUGUCACAAGUUAGCGGGCUAGAAAUAUCCACUGGUGCAUAUCUAUGACGGAAAAACCAAUCAUCACAGAUUGCAUUUAACAGUGAGAAUUUGUAAAUUUGUCACCGAGAAUCCGUCACGCAUUAACAAGUUUCUUGUAGUGUAGGUUCCCAUAGAUGUCUUUGCAUGUUCAUCAGUCAUAGUCUUGAAGCAUUGGAAAACCCUGUGGCAAAAAACCAAAAUAUACCGAUAUAUCAUGCAAAAAUAAGGAGAAAUACCAUGAUAUAUAUAGCUCCAAUGUGAAUAGGCCCUUUAGGUAUUCCCAAAGACAUAGUGUAAAAACAGUUUGAUUAGGGAUCAAUAUGUCAUAAAUAUUAUCUUCAAAACAACUCUGAGGAAAAUAGAUAAUAUGACAUUUACUAUGUGUUACCAUUAGCUCAUUAAAAAUUUUAUGUGAAAAAACUCCAGAAGAGUAAAACUCAUAUGAAGGAAAAAGAGUGUAACAUGAUGUUGAAAUUGGUUAUAUUUUAAAGAGUUUCUCCCCUGAUUCUUACAAGUCUCUAAGUCUUCUCAGACCAAAGCCCUCAACACUUUUAUGGAAUAUGGAGUACGGUAGAAAUUUUAUGAAUAAAUCUGCUAGAUUAUCACAUAAUUUAGUUUGCAGGCUUUUGAUUUCUCCAUUCUUUUGGAGCUCAUGGGGUAGAACAACUUGUGUGUUGGGUACCAUAAAAAGGGAUACCCAAAUCAGAGGAAUAAAAUCGCAAAAAGGGGAUAAGGCAAACACCUGAGAUUACAUAGGGUCGAGCGCAAGCUCCAACCAGCCUGACCCCUGAGCCUCGGACGCAAGUUCCGCCUCGCCCGACCCCCUGGGCCUCGGACGCAAGUUCCGCCUCGCCCGACCCCUCUUGGGCUUGAACGCAAACACCGCCUCGCUCGAGCCCCCAUCUCACAGCCAGGCUUCCAACGUACGAUGGACGUACCCCCGAUGUGACGCUCGCCAUAUCCCCCAUGCUGUGGCACGGAAUGGUGGCAACUAUUACAACCACUCCGGUCACUGUGUAGCCUUACCUCUUUCACUGUAAAGUACCGCCUCACAGUAAAAGAGGUAAAAGAGAUUAACCUGCGUCACUGUGGCUGCCUUUUCUACUAUUACAGGACAUGCUGCAGUAUUGCCGACCCGACCCCCACGAUCUCAAACAGGGCUCGGCAACCCUCCACAGGAGCAACCAUGCUGUCAGCCACACCCCAAGAACGAGAUGGGCAAACCUCAAUAGGGUCGGAACUGUAACUUCACCAUUUACAAAAAGUGGAUCACCAGUCGACACAUGUAAAAAUCCUGUGACCCCUUGAGGCUAUAAAAGGGGAGCCAGGGCACACAUCCAACGCAUCACAACACCAGAACUCAAGGCAAGAUCACACACACUCUCCAGAGUAGCGACUACCACUUUGUCCACCUCACAAAUGUUGACGGUCCUUAAUGCUCACAUUUAACCGUCAACUAAUCAUGGAAAAGGAUCCAAAUGCAACUGACACCCACACUUAGGGUUUUAUCUGACAUAAUUCCAUGAUUUUUAGUGUUUGUCUAUUUCUGCAGGGGGUUAUCAGGAAAUAUGGAGGAAAGGCCCACACGUCGGGUUUACAUAGAGAUAUUAACGUGCCGCGUAAUUUUCUAUCAUCUAGAAGACUCCAGAAGCUACGGGAACGAAGCGGAGGCUGAACGGGGCUUGGCCCCGGGCGCCCGCCCUAGAGACCAGGGCGCCCGCCCACCUUCUGUGCCCAAACAGAGUCCUUUUCGGGGAUCAUGCUCCACCGACCUAAAGGAUCAAGGAUAACCGUUCAAUCAAUGUCGGUUUGAUCCGACGGCCCAGAUUCACUUGAAGGGACUAUAUAAGCAGACCCCCUGGCCCCUGGAGAACAUACUUCUUCUAUAGAAUCAAAGCUAGGGUUUCAAUUCUUCAUCCAAGUAGAGAGGAUCCCUCUAGUUCAUCUAGUUCUACCUCUAGUUCAUCUAGUUCUAGUUCUAGUUCUAGUUAGAUCUAGUUGUAAUCUAUAAAAUAGGGAGAGAGAAGAGGAGAGCGGAGGAGGAGCCGGAUCUGUCGGAUCUUCCUCAACAUUAUACUUUUGCAGCAACUGGUUCGUUCUUCAUCGUUCUCCAAGUUCUUCAAUUCAUAAUUCCUGAGUUCUUUAAUUACUUUUAUUUACAUUCAAGUUAUUUAUUGGAUUCCCGCUUGCAUCAAGUGCUCUAGUCUUUAUAACGCUAGAGUAGUAAUUAAUAGAUUAGACAUGGUGUUUAGUCUUGCAAUUACCUGGAAUUGCACCCAAUCAUGCGGAUUGUUGUGGUAGCCCUAGGGUAGUGACAGCCCUAACGUUCGACGUAUUCCACCUCGUUCGGAUCGGUGUUUGUAGGACCGUAGUCAGAGCUUCCUAGCCCCCUUCUCAUCUCUUUCUGUGGUUAGUGUUCUGAUGUCCCGAAAUAAAUAAUCUUUGAAGUAAUUCUUGAUUCUUAGAUCAACUAGAGAACUCUCAGGAAACUUCCUCUCUUCCCACCAAAAAUAAUUAUAUAGUUAUCCUUGGGCGAUCUUGAAUCUUAAUUAGUACACUCACGUUCCCUGUGGAAAAUCGAUACUCUGGAAUACUCCCGGGUGAAGGCCACAUCGGUAUCCGUGCGCUUGCGGAUUUUUUUGUUUGCGUUUAAAAUACCCAACAAGCUUUCUGGCGCUGUUGCCGGGGAACGGUAGCUGUGCUAGUUUCGAACCAAGUUGUCCGUGUAUCCUUUUUCUUUUCCUUUUUUACCACACUCACCUUACCAUUUUCAGCACACCACAUGGAUUUCACUCCAAGCAUUAAUGAGCAUGGAAUUUAUUUCAUAGUCACUUCAUUUACUCCAUGCUCAUAUGUAACAUUUUCCCAAUCCAUUGGUCUCUCCAACAUCACCACAUUCGAUAUCUCCAACCCCCUCUUCCUUUCUAUUUAUGAAAACUUUAAAAGGGCAGUUGUCGAUGCAUAUGUCUAUAAUAAAUGUUGCAGAUCUCGUUGAGUUGAUCUUGAUAUAGGUCAGCGUUGGAGGGGAAACCACUUUGCCGACAUAAAUUGAUGGUUUCCCAGGGGACAAGCUUAGUGUCCUAAAAUAAGCACUGAUCAGAUCGUGACAUGAGCUUUUAAUUAUGUGCAACAUUACCUUGUGUGUUGAGCAUAUAAGGAUAAUUGUGAAAAAAAUUUCCUUUGGGUAUUCUUGUCACUAAUCUUUCCAGGAUUGGAUCAAGAAGAUCGGAUGAAUGACAAGCACAAGGUAUGUCCAACCAAUCAUCAUGCAACACGGAAUUAAAUUCAUCCAAACUUGAAUUCUGCAAAAUUUAAGCUUGGGGGAGUACUUUACAUAAAAACAUCAUUUGCCAUGUUGCUAUGUUGGUUGUCCCUACCUUUGAGACAUGCUCAAUUUGUUACACACUAAUCACACUAGUUCAUCUCCACUUGAGUAGAACUCUAUAAAUGCUCUCAUGCUACCUUUAUUUGCUUUGGUAUAUGUCUAGGUUUGGAGUAGUUUCAUUUAUCUCUUAAUUAAGCAAGGUGCUUAGUUUAGGAAUGAUGAUCUUAUUUCCAAGGGAAUUUAAAUUAAGCAUGAUGCUUAGGUUAAAGUGCCCUCCUAAAUCAAAUUAUACAUGGUGUCUAGGUUGAUUUUUGAGCCGAUAGUAUGCUAUAGUAGAUAUGGGAUAUUUUGUUGGACUAACCCCUGCAGGAAAACUUUCAAUAUCGACCUGCGAAGUCCUGAGAUAAACUCACAUUGGAGACAAAGAGAGAGACACAUGAAGUUUAACAAUUUACACAAGGAAGGCAUAGCUCACAAGAGAUGAUCCGUGGAGGGUGCCACAAACACGAUGCAUAACCACUAAGAAAGGAAAGCUUCCACAAGGUUAUAUUGUACCAUCAUUCUUCAAGUAAGGUAACAUCUUAAGGUACUUGACUAUCACUUCUAUAAGCUUCUCCUUGGUUCUAACGUUCACAUGAAUAAAAGAGACAAACAUGUAUGAUUUACAACUCUAGAUUAACCAACCUAUUCGAUUCAACAUGUUUAGUCCUUCCACCUUUGUAAUCCCACACUCCUAAUCAUAUGAGCUAAAAUGUUGCACACUCAAUCUUUGGAAGAUAUAUAAAAAAACAACAUAAAUAUAGAUAGAUUAUCUUUCCAUUAGGUUGAGCGAUUUGAUCUGACAAACGUUUUAAAUGCUACACUCAUGAUCUUAUUAUCCUUCAACUUUGUCUUGCUCACUAUGCUUGAGGUUAGAGAAGAGCAAAUACCCUUUUGGUUUUGUUGGUGUUUUCCACCAACAGGGCCCAUGCACUUGAUCUCUGCCUUGUCUCUAUGAGCAGGUACACUUCGAGCAAAAUAUGGAGGAGUGUUACAACUCCUAGACUCCAUCAAGUGAAGAAUCUGGAUCUACGAGCACAAACACACUGAAGAUACUGGACACUCAGGCAAUCACUUCCCUGAGAUGCUUGAGGACGUAAACUACAUCAUCAACAACAACAACUACUACAACCGUCCUCAACAAAAUUAAGGUUGGAAUCAUUAGAGGCCUAACUACUCAGAGAGGCGAUCCAGGACGCCCCGUCAUCCCGAUCUCCAUCGGCUUGAUGGACUUCCUAGAAGCACUCUGUGACUUUGACUCCAGCGUCAACAUUAUGCUCAGGGGAGGCCAUUCCUGAACACCUCGGGAGCUGUCAUCUACGCUAGUGCUGCUAAGAUCAGUUUCUACAACAAGGGGAGGAAGGAGACGUUUUCCUUCAAGAACAAGACUACACAAAUCCUAGAGCAAUCUCGACAUGAACCAAGGAAGAGGACCAACAGGAGGAACAGGAACAAGCAAAUGUGGACCGAGUCAGCUAAGAUGGUCACUAUAGUUCAAGGAGGUCAAGAUCGUCGACUUAAGUCACCGUUCCUGACCAAAAAGGACGACCCAGCUCCAGAUGGCAGAUCAGACAUUCUGAAAGGUUGAAGGUUAUUGACAUAGGAGAAGACGAGUACGAUCCACCCAUCAUCCUUGAGAGACCGUUCCUCAGCACCGUUAAAGCAAUCAUCUACAUUGGAACCAGAGAAGUCCACAUGCACUUCCCCUCUGAGAAGGUACGCCGCUAUUUUACUGACCCUAACUAUAUAGUUGAAGACUCUAAGCAGGUCAAGACAAGAAGAAGAUGACGCAACCGCUACCAGAGGAGGCAAAUCAUCAAGGAUGGAUGGGCAGACUAUGAAGGAGAAGUUGUAAGGUCUGAAGACAUACAACUUGAACAGAACUAUCCUGAGGAGACCGUAGCACCGAGUCAGGUGUGGAGAGAGAAGAUAGUUAUACACGAAGAGCAGGCGCUGCCAGAACCACCGACUACGCCAUCCAGCGAAUCCUAGGACGAUUGAGAAAACGGAGAGUCUUGUUCGGAGGACUUAAAAACACCGAACGCCUUGUCAUGAGGUAAACUUGGUAGUUAUCCUUUUCCCUUCAAUUAUUUAUUUUCCUUAAAUAGCUUGUUUAGUUAAUCAGGUUCAUACUAUCUUGAAAAUUAAAUAGAAAUAUUAAAUAUUUAGUAAGCCCCAUGUGAGUAUGCUCAUGGCAUAAAACCCAUAAAUACAUUCACUGUGGUGGCGUAAAACUAAAAUAAAUAUAUUUCUGUCCUAUAAAAAUGAAAAUAUAAAAAUAAAUUUAUGAUCCUACUAAAGAGAGUAACAUUUAUUGAGGAGGCUCAACAUGAUAAAGGCUAGAUAUUUAUGCUAACACUUAACCAGUCCACAAAGCUUUGUUGUCUAUUUGAGCUCCACAGAAUUCAAGGAUAAAAAAAGACUAGCAGACGGAGGACAUCCUAAUCGCUGUCGGGGUGCUGCCAACAUUCAAAUACACCUUUACCACCUGCUAGCUACAUCAGAAGAAAUUACAUCAAAAUCCAGCUUGUGGGAGAGCACCCCCAUUUAUCCAACUAAGUGUUCUACUCAUGUUUAUACUUUACUCAAAUAAUAAAAAGAUGCAUAAUCAUAAAAACCUAAAUAAAGAUUUUGUGCUUAUAUAUAUAUCUUUGCUCAGUUUGCUAAAUAAAUAAAUAAAUAAAUUUUGCUAUGAACCCUCACGAUAAGCUCUCACAUGGAAAUGGUGAAUAGUUGAUCUGCCAUGACUAGUUCUCAAAAUUGAAAUCUCUCUCAAGUUUAGGCAUGACUGUUAUUAAUUAAGAUUUGCUCUAAACCUAAACUUGUGGGAAGAGUACUUGAUCUGAAGUCUAAGUCGUUAACGGAUAUGAUAUGGGAAGGUUGAGCUGCUGUUUAUCUGUUCCUAGAGAUGCUAGAACGAACUACAAGAAUAUUUCCUAAGUUAUUCUCAACUAUAUAGUUUAGCAUUAUCAUAGUUAGUGCAAGCAUAUUUAGCAAUCAUUGCGAGACAAGACUACGCCCAUGCAUAGUGAUAUUAGCAAGGUAAAUGAGAAAUAUAGCAAUCACUCCCCUGUAAUAAUAUUGCUCUGCCAGCCCAAUACACGAGAGGGGGACUAUAUAAGAAUCAAUAAAGCUGUCACUAUCACGAACUACCCCACGAUCUGGCAUAUUGGAUACAAUCGCAGAUAAAUACGGUAUAAGCACCACACCUACACAAUAUCUAUCAUUUACCCAUGGAUCCGAUGGAUAAACGCUAUACGAUCCUAAGCAUGUAUAUAGAUCCAAUCUAACUAAGCCAAGUACAUAACUAUGAUAAACUAAGAACAAUAUAAUCUUGAAUAUAAACAAGUAGAGCAAAGUCAUAAGCAAUAUAUUGAAGUAGAACAAAGUCAUAUUCAUAAUAUUGAAGAACAAAGAUGAUUAGAAGAACAAUUAGAAGCACAAUUAGAGAAUUACCAAGAAUCCUCUUGACAGAUCCAGAAACCAAUCGAAGAUUGACUCCUUCUAGUUCUAAUCCUAUGUAGCUAUGCUAAUCUAGAUAUCUAAUUGAUGUGGUGGCUCUAAUCUUGAUCAGAGGCUUCUUCUCCCUUGAGGAACAAUGAAUUAGGGUUGAGAGGCUCUCUCCUCCAGGAGCCAAGGGGUCUGGUUUUAUAGUCCUUUCAAGUGAAUAUGGGCCGUUGGAUCAAACCGACAUUGAUUGAACGGUUAUCCUUGAUCCUUUAGGUCGGUGGAGAUCUUUCCUGAGAGAGAGUCCUGAUUGGACUCAGAAGGGGGGCGGGCGCCCCGGUCAAGUGGGCGGGCGCCCAGUGCCUGGCCCCGUUCGGCCUCCGCUUCCUUCCCGUGGCUUCUGGAGUCUUCUAGAUGUAAGAUAAUUGUGCGGCACGUUAAUAUCUCUAUGUAAUCCUGGCGUGUGGGCCUUUCUUCCGUAUUUCCUGAUAACCCCCUGCAGAAAUAGAGAAACACCAAAACUCGUGGAAUUCUGUCAGAUAAAACCCUAAGUCUAGAUGUUGAUUUCAUUUGGAUCCUUUUCUUUGUUUAUUUGAUAAUUAAAUUUGAUACUUAAGGACCGUCAACAGGCAUCAAUUCUCGGCCAAGUACACUCCACAAUCAAAUGGUCUUGUUGAGAGAAAGAAUAGAACCUUAAUUGACAUGGCAAGAUCAAUGUUGAGUGAAUACAAUAUGAGUCAUUGCUUUUGGGCUGAAGCAAUCAACACGGCUUGCUACUGUAGCAAUCGACUCUAUUGUCACCCAAUGAUGGAGAAGACUCCAUAUGAGAAUGCUAUAUAUUGAAGAAAGGCUUCUUGCUUGGUUACUCCACUACUAGCAAAGCUUAUAGAGUUUGGAAUUUGGCUAGUGGUACUCUUGAAGAGGUGCAUGAUGUUGAAUUUGAUGAAACCAAUGGCUCUCAAGAGGAAGAUGAGAAUCUAGAUGAUGUGAGAGGCACUCAAUUGGCCGAUGCAAUGAAGAAUAUGGACAUUGGUGAUUUAAGGCCUAGAGAGGUGAUUGAUGUUGAAGAUGACAAAGAUCAAGUGCUUCCUACCUCUAAUGUGCAAGCUAGUGGUUCUCAUGAUCAAAAUCAAGCUAGUACAAGUGGUACUCAAGUGCAAGAUCAACAAGCUAGUACAUCAUCUCAUGAUCAACCAAGUUCAAGCAAUCAAGUGCAAAUACUCCAACCAACAAAUAUUGCAAGAGAUCAUCCAUUGGAUCAUAUCAUAGGUGACAUUCAAAGAGGAGUGCAAACUAGAUCAAGAUAAGCAUCAUUUUGUGAGAAUUUCUCCUUUGUGUCUCACAUUGAGCCAAAGAAGAUUGAUGAAGCAUUGAGAGAUGUUGAUUAGGUAAAUGCUAUGCAUGAAGAGCUUAACAACUUCAAGAGAAAUCAAGUAUGGGAAUUAGUUGAGAGGCCUAGUGAUCAUAAUGUCAUUGGUACUAGAUGCGUCUUUUGUAACAAACAAGAUCAAGAUGGGAUGUUGUAAGAAACAAAGCAAGAUUGGUAGCACAAGGCUAUACUCAAGUUGAAGGUCUUGACUUUGGUGAAACAUAUGCCCCAGUUGCAAGAUUGGAAGCAAUUAGGAUCUUGUUGGCCUAUGCUUGUGCUCAUAACAUCAAGCUAUACCAAAUGCACGUGAAGAGUGCAUUUCUCAAUGGCUAUAUCAAUGAAGAAGUUUAUGUUGAGCAACCUCCCGGUUUUGAAGAUGACAAGAAACCCAACCAUGUUUACAAGCUAAGAAAGGCAUUGUAUGGUUUGAAGCAAGCACCAAGAGCAUGGUAUGAGAGAUUGAGAGAUUUCUUACUCUCUAAAGGUUUCAAGAUGGGCAAGGUUGACACCACUCUCUUCACCAAGAAGAUUGGCAAGGACUUGUUUGUGUUACAAAUAUAUGUUGAUGAUAUCUUAUUUGGAUCAACCAAUCAAGAAUUUUGUGAGGAGUUUGGAAACAUGAUGGCUAAUGAAUUUGAGAUGUCAAUGAUUGGAGAGCUUAGUUACUUCCUUGGUCUUCAAAUCAAGCAAUUGAAGAAUGACACAUUUGUGAGUCAAGGCAAGUACAUAAAAGACAUGCUCAAGAAGUUUGGUAUGGAUGAUGCAAAAUCAAUUAGCACUCCAAUGGGAACAAAUGGAAGCCUAGAUAGUGAUACAAGUGGAAAUAUGGUGGAUCAAAAAUUGUAUCGGCUAUGAUUUGAAGCCUACUCUAAGUGACCGCAUCAAGACUGGAUGUCAUGUUUAGUGUAUGCAUGUGUGCAAGAUUCCAAGCCUCACCAAGAGAAAGUCAUUUAAAAGCAACAAAGAGAAUAUUGAGGUACUUGAAGCAUACACAAAAUGUUGGUUUGUGGUAUCCCAAAGGUGUAAAGUUUGAACUUGUUGGGUAUUCCGACUCGGACUAUGGAGGAUGCAAAGUUGAAAGAACAAGCACAUCAGGCACAUGUCAACUAUUGGGAAGAUCACUUGUCUCAUGGUCAUCCAAGAACCAAAAUAGUGUUGCACUAUCAACCGCCGAAGCGGAGUACAUUGCAGUCAAUAGUUGUUGUGCACAAAUUCUAUGGAUGAAGGCAACAUUGAAGGAUUUUGGAAUCAAUUUCAAGCAAGUGCCAUUGCUAUGUGACAAUGAAAGUGCCGUGAAGCUCACCAACAAUCCGGUUCAACACUCAAGAACAAAGCACAUAGAUGUCCGCCAUCACUUCAUAAGAGAUCACCAACAAAAAGGGGACAUUUGCAUUGAGAGUAUAGGCACCGAUGAUCAACUUGCCGAUAUAUUCACCAAGCCACUUGAUGAGAAGAGGUUUUGCAAACUAAGGAAUGAAUUGAACAUACUUGACUUCUCAAAUAUGUGUUGAUGCACCCCUACUAUAUGACAUGCCUCUCCUUCGAGCAAAGCAAGGUAACAUUGAUUGACAUGUCAUUCAUUCUAUGCUAAGGACUCAUGUAGUGCAUCUAGUCAUUCCUUACAUGUCUUAGGAUCAUUCAUGAAAAUCAAAUGAAAUUGAUGCUUAUAUGGUACCACUAUUGUUUCUAUGCUUGACUUGAUCUAAUGGUAGCAUAUGACAUGUUUGUGGGCUUGCAAUCCUAAUGUUUGAUCUAGAAUAUGAGCUAUAAGUUUUUAACUCAACAUGGUAUAAGAUAACCCUUAUUUGGAGGUGUGAAGAAGCUUGUCCUUGGAUCAAACCGAGUUAAAUAUCUUAGGCAAGUAAUCUAGAUUGGACUAAUUUGGUAAAAUGAUCUCACUUCACAUGGUUUCACACUAACCUAUCUAAAAUUUUAGCUCACCUUUUGUGGUCAUUGAUGACAAAGGGGGAGAAAAUUUCCCAAAGAUUUAAGAUAGGGGAGUAACAUGAUAAAAGAAGGGGAUCAAUUAAAAUAUUGAAGCACACAAGUAGGGGGAGCAAGCUCACAAACUUGUAUGUUGCAUUUGAAUGUGCAUCACAUAUGUAUGCUUGCAUCUGUAUUAGCUUUAGAAGCUUUCUCUCCAAUGCCUUGCUUGUGUGGUGAAUGCUAGUUGUAAGUUUGAUUGAUGAAAUGAAGGACUAGCAUGCAUAGGUAGUGUCACUAGACCUUUAUUUGCUUCACAAGUGGUACUAGAACCUUGUUUAUAAUGUUGAUCUCACGAGGUGUUCUAGUUUUGUGAAUGUCUAGUUACUAAUGGUGCUAAGGAUGGUAUACAUUGGCAACUCCGAUUGGUAUCACGCUUCAAAGGUCCAUUCUUUACACCUUAGCAUCAUUUGGUAGAAAUUGACUCCUAUAUUUCCUAUUCAAGCAUAUGUGCAAAGCUUUCAAAUCCAAACUCUUAGCACAUAUGUAGGGGGAGCAAUUGCUACCAAUUUGGGUUUAUGAAACUUGUCCAUAAUCUUUGCACAUGGUAAAAUGCUUGGACAAGCAACAUGAAUCGAAGAAAAUUUUUAUUGAAAAUCAUUGUAAAAAGGGUUGUCAUCAAUUACCAAAAAGGGGGAGAUUAAAAGCCCUAGUUUGGUUUUGGAUAAUUGAUGAAACCCUAGUACUAACCUCUCUACUAAGUGUGUGUAGACUUAAUGAGGUUGGUACAUGCUAAGUGAUGGGGCAAGUGAUGAUCAUGGUGAUGAUGAUGACGACCACAAGAUGAUCAAGUGCUCAACUUGGAAAAGAAGAAAGAGAAAAACAAAACCCUAUGGAGAUCAAGGCAAAGGUAUUGCUUAGGGUUUUGGUUUUGGUGAUCAAGACACCAUAGAGGGUGUGAUCACAUUUAGGAUAGAUAGCCGUACUAUAAAGAGGGGAAUUCUUUGGCUAAGCGGUUAUCAAGUGUCACUAGGUGUCUUUGUUCAUGUGCAUGCAUUUAGAACCUAGUGAGCUAACUUAACUCCUUCGAAGAAAAUGAUUGUGAAAAUGCUAACACACGUUGUGGUGUUCGGCGCUUUUUGAGAAAAUGAAGUGCAUAUCUUCUAUUGCGCCGGUGGGAAAGUUGGACAAGUCGUGGGAGUGUUUCUCGCUAAGGAACACUCACCGGACGCUGGCUUCUGGAGCACCGGACGCUGAGUCUGAGUGUCCGGUGCAGUCAGUGCCUGGCUCAGCUAGGGUAAGGCACUGGACGCCAGGCACCAGACGCAGGCUGGAGCGUCCGGUGUUCUGAGUCCAGUGUCCGCGCAUUCUGCAGUGCUCCCUGGGUUUAAGUCCAGUGAGCACCGGACAUAGGCUGGAGCUUCCGGUGCUCAGCGUCCGGUGACCUCGCAUGUUUGCAGACCUCUCUGUGUUUGUUGAUGCAAGAAGUGGAUCUACAAACACAAAGGGCUAAUACUCGAUUCAAACUUUAAGGCGUGCCAGCCGAUUUGACCUUACUAUCGGCAAAGGUGAUAACUCGAAUACUUUGGUCCCGACAACAGCGAUGCGCCCGGAUGCCACGGCCAAGAGGUAUUCACGCGGAACUCGAGAAUACGCCGAGCUUAACUCGACGAACUCCUAAGAACUCGUAAUGAAAAGGAAAAUAUGACGAAGUCGUCAAAAAAGUAGAUGCUGGAAUAUGAGUAAAAACUUGUGUUUGAUUGAUUCAUAGAUUCUCCAUUACAAGGCCCUAGGGUCUACAUUUAUACCCUGCUCAAAGUGCUACAAUCAGACACGACUAGGACUCGAAUUCCAAAUUAAGCAGAAUCCGUAUACAAAACAAUUUAAAUAACUAAGGAAAACACAAAACUAUCCUCCCGUGACAAACUGGGACACCACCAUGGACCAAUCGGCAACCUUCAUAUUCUCCUUCCGAGUCAUCGGCAGACUCCUCAUCAUAGCCAUCGACAAGGGCUAACGCUGACCAUCGGCAUGAACACGUCACCACUCAUGGACUUAGUUACAUUCAGCUGCCCCUUCAUCAGCAACCACCCUCAUCGACAACUCCCCUGCAGACCAGUUACUGUUGCCCUAUCUUGCCGAUCUACACUCUACCGAUCCUGGGUACGUGUCCAAAAACGGUGUCAACACAUGCCCCCCAAUUUCAGAGUAUAAAAUCAUUAAUGCUCCAAAAUUCUCUGUAGUAAUGAUGCCUUUCCGCAAUUAAUCCUCUCAAUUUGGUAACCGACCGUUGAAAUCAAACAACUCUGGCCCGAUUCUUCCGUAGAUUCCUCGAAUUCCUCAACCUCCCAAACUGGACAUCUCCACUAUAUUCGCCCAUCAGCAAUAUUACCGUUAGAAAGUGCUGCCGAUGGACCGACCAGGAAAUCCCGCACAGUGAAAUAUCUCCAGAUUAUGACCGCUUCCUGUCAAAUCACCUGCGCAAUCCCUUGAUUACCGUGGGAACAUUUACCAUAUCUACCUGAGCACCCUCGGGUUUCACGGAUGCGGCAAAGAGAUAAGUUUGAUCUGCCCCUGCCCGUUUUGUCCUAUAAAUACUUCCUUCUUGGGUACUCCUUCUUCAUCUGUCAUUCUACAACCCCAAAAUCCACUUCCUUGGUGGCGGCACUGUUUGAGGACUCCAAGAAUUCUAGCAAGAACAUCCUCCAACAACCCUCGAGUUUUUGAUCUUCUUCCCUGAGAGAAAAUGGCCAUCAACUUCAUCGUGCCUGAGGUUAGUUCUACUUCUGUCCUGUAUUUUCACUACACUCCUGUUCAUCCGCACCUCAUCUUACUGAAUACUUUUUCUUUCUUUUGCUCUUCUUUUUACCCCCAAAAACUUCUAGGAUCUGUCCAAUAGAAUCGUCAUCCCUACCGAUCAACCACACCUCCAAUGUCUCGGUCCGCUAGGGAACCCAAAUCCUUCCGAUCUGAUCAAUGCAGAGACAAACAGAAUCCCCUUUAGAACCGAGAAUUUUUCUCUAGAUCUGUGGAAAGAUGACUUCCGCUCUUGGCCCAGUCCUACCAAGGGAUGGAAGGAUUGGUUCUUGAGAGUCAGCCAUUCAAAUGAAGUUCAAUGGGGCAAGCGAAAACUGGACCAGUGCAUUAGACUGUCUCUUACCGAUAUGCAUAUGAAUGAACCACUGCUGAUUGUUGCAUCAUAUUUCUGGUCAGACACACUUAAUGCUUUUGUUUUCGGCCAUGGCCUUGCUUCUCCCACUCUUGCCGAUGUGCUCAUGCUCACCGGCUUAGAUGUAUCCACUGCCGAUAGUAGUCACAUAUUUGACACCACACUUAGUGCUAAAGUGGAGACCCGCUCUAUCGGCGGUUGGUCUGGGUACAUUCAGAAGUACCGUAGAACAGGGCCUGUCAACAUAAAGGAACAAACCACCUUCCUGAACAUGUGGAUGGACAAAUUUGUAUUCUGUGGUCGAUCGGCAGGACCAACCUCUCUCUACCUAUCGGCAGCAGAGAGAUUAGCUAAUGGUGGCCGAUUUCCCCUCGGUCGAUACCUGCUUGGCUCUGCCUAUCAUCUUCUCCACCAAGUAGCCAAGAAACUUCUGCUUGGCGAACCUAUCGGCAACUUAGGGGGCCCUUGGUGGUUCAUCAACAUGUGGCUUAGCCUCCAUAUGCAUAAGCGACUGGAAUUCGACCUCUUUGCACAGUGUUUCCCUAGGGACAUAGCAGAGGAUCAUGAGUUACAUGAAGAAGAAUCGGCAACCCAUCCUCCCUUAAACUAUGGUGAAGCCAUCAUAGUCUUGCCUGGUACUGGAGGCAAUAGAGACCAAGUCAGCCGAUUCUUUCAGACUCUUUAUGAUUGUCUGACCAAAGAACAGCGAGCACGAGUGCCUUAUGAAGAUCCACACACAAGAUUUCCUCUGACCUUUCAUCCCUUCGACGAUGCUCUCAAUAAAGAUCAUGAUGUGAUGAUGGCACUCCUCACUCCAAGAGCCAUACCAGUAAACUUCUUCGGCAGUGGGAAAGCCUCUAACCAGACCUAUGAAUUUUACAACCCAUCGGCACUGGCCCGUCAACUAGCUUUCGGUCAGCUGCCGAUUGCACUUUGUUAUGCCGAUGUGAUAAAACCCAGGGAAACCAUCACUAGUCUUCUCGAGUGGACCAGAAUAGCUCAACUGCCACCAAAUGCCGAUACAGACACCGAUCUAUCAGAUUGGAUCCCGGCCCUCUUCAUUACUCAGGCAUACAAACAAUGGUGGGAAGAAUGGAAAGAGCAUUUGUUCUGCAAAUCGGCUCUCACGUACCGCGGCAUGAUCGACUCCCAAUACAAAGUCCCCGAUAAUACUGUAAGUAUUUCCAAAUCGAUGUUUCAAUCCUUUCACUUUUACUUCCAUCGGUAACUCACCUUCUGUGUUAUAUUACAGGUUGAUAACACACCCCCAUCGGUCAGCAGGAGUGGUAAGCCGAUUGAGCUCCUUCCAUCGGGUCCGAUUUCUUUGAUCGACAACAACUCUCCAUCCCUGGCUGCUAUAAUGCAUCGGGGUGUACGUCUCAAGAAAGUCACCACCAAGCGGACGAAGGCAUCUCCAUCGGUACCUGCCUCUACUUUAGCACAAGCCUUCAAGGUAAUUUUUCAAAUUCUUUUACCCAUACCGAUUCCAUUAUUACAUCUGUUACACUUGCACUCACAAAUUUUCAUUGUUGUAUCAGCAAACCGACACAUUGGUAAAAUCCAGAGGUGUGAUUGCCGAUGCCCCCCAGUCCAGCCAACCAAAGAGGAAAAGCUCCAAGAGUACCAGAACCCAGGCGAAGCGCCAGAAAACAGCAAUACCUUCCCCUCCCCCAGUGUCUCCAAUCCCAUUGGAAUCUUCUCCUCCUUCCCCAGAAGUACAGAUACAACAAGCACCAUCUCCUCCUUAGCCACAAGAAGAACCUCACGUAGAAGAACCCCAGCCAGAGGAACUGUUGACGGUCCUUAAGUAUCAAAUUUAAUUAUCAAAUAAAUAAAGAAAUGGAUCCAAAUGAAAUCAACAUCUAGACUUAGGGUUUUAUCUGACAGAAUUCCACGAGUUUUGGUGUUUGUCUAUUUCUACAGGGGGGUAUCAGGAAAUACGGAAGAAAGGCCCACACGUCGGGAUUACAUAGAGAUAUUAACGUGACGCGCAAUUAUCUUACAUCUAGAAGACUCCAGAAGCCAUGAGACCGAAGCGGAGGCGAAACGGGGCCAGAGGUAGGGUGCCCGCCCUCCUGCCCUAGGCGCCUGCCCCCUCUGAGAGUCCAAUCAGGACUUUGCUUCGUGGGAGAUCUCCACCGACCUAAAGGAUCAAGGAUAACCAUCCAAUCUAAGUCGGUUUGAUCCAACGGCCCAUAUUCACUUGAAGGGACUAUAAAACCAGACCCACUGGCCCCUGGAGGAGAGAGCCUCUCAACCCUAAUUCAUUAUUCUUCAAGGGAGAAGAAGCCCCUGAUCAAGAUUAGAGCCACCACAUCCAUUAGAUAUCUAGAUUAGCAUAGCUACAUAGGAUUAGAACUAGAAGGAGUCAAUCUUCGAUUGGUUUCCGGAUCUAUCAAGAGGAUUCUUGGUAAUUCUCUAAUUGUGCUUCUAAUUGUUCUUCUAAUCAUCUUUGUUCUUCAAUAUUAUGAAUAUGACUUUGUUCUACUUCAAUAUAUUGCUUAUGACUUUGCUCUACUUGUUUCUAUUCAAGAUUAUAUUAUUCUUAGUUUAUCAUAGUUAUGUACUUGGCUUAGUUAGAUUGGUUCUAUAUACAUGCUUAGGAUUGUAUAGCGUUUAUCCAUCGGAUCCAUAGAUAAAUGAUAGAUAUUGUGUAGGCGUGGUGCUUAUACCAUAUUUAUCUGCGAUUGUACCCAAUAUGCCAGAUCGUGGGGUAGUUCGUGAUAGUGACAGCUUCAUUGAUUCUUGUAUAGUCCCCCUCUCGUGUAUUGGGCUGGCAGAGCAACAUUAUUACAGGGGAGUGAUUGCUAUGUUUCUCAUUUACCUUGCUAAUAUCACUAUGUAUGGGCAUAGUCUCCUCUCGCAAUGAUUGCUAAGUAUGCUUGCACUAACUAUGAUAAUGCUAGACUAUAUAGUUGCGAAUAACUUAGGAAAUAUUCUUGUAGUUCGUUCUAAUUCCAUGCUAAUGACUUUCUAGAGUAUCUAAUUGAGGUGCUUAUCAUAUUUAUUGUGUGGCUAAGUUAUGAUGAGAUUAAUUAUCUUUGUCACUAUUCAUUACUUCAUAUAUCUUUUAUGUGACACUUAUCCCUGUAUGAAAGCGUUAGAUAACUGUUCUCAAUUAUACAUGCAAUGAUAGAUACUCAAUCUCAUAUUCUAUUCUGUAAUCAAUAGUGAUGAUUGUUAAUCCCUUCCCAGUGGUAAAAAUAUAAAUAACGAUACCUGGAAUACUUCCCGGUUAAAAUGCUACAUCGGUAUUAAUCUGUGCGCUUGCAGAUCCCAUUCAUUAUUUAUUUAGAAGAGCAAUUGCAUAUUUCAAUACCGCGUCUCUCAUGUCAUGCUGGGGAUGACAACUUGGCUUAAGUGGUGUGAGGGAUAGGUUUGGCAUUUUUGACACCGUUACUAGAUUUAGAGAACUUAGUCUACUUUUGGUAAUGAUGUUAAGAAUACCCAACAAGCAUUUUUGGCGCCGUUGUCGGGGAAGGUUGAUUACUAAUCAGGAAUGGAAUAAAGGAUUUUGAGUUAUCAUUCGCAUCACUAAUAUGCUUGAGCUUAUCUAUUCUCUCAUACAGUUUUACCCCAAUAUUUUUCUAUUUUAUCUUAUGCAGGGGAAUGUAUGAAUAGAAGACAUCUUCCAGGAAAUUUUGUUGACAAUCCCGAAGCAUUAUUCAAGAAGACGAGAGCCAAGCUCAAGAAGAGAUCAUCAACACUUCAGCAAGAAGCUUCAUCCAAUCAAGAAGAUCACCGGAACUUGUCUUCAGAGUUUGAAGCCAUGGCAAACAAAUCAAUCCGCGAGUUCUGAGCUCCCACUACGGACAACAUCCGCACUGGACCUGCUGCAGAGAUCGAUGGCAACUUUGAGCUCAAGCCUGGACUUAUCAACAUGGUGCAAUCCAACCAGUUUUGUGGGAAGGCACACGAAGAUGCUAGUGCUCAUCUCCAACACUUCCUGGAGGUUUGCAACACAUUCACCAUAUCAGGAGUUUCCAAAGAUGCUAUACUACUUUGCCUCUUCCCAUUCUCACUAUUAGGGAGAGCGAAGCAGUGGUUCUACGCUACAAAGGAGAAGAAUACUACGUGGGCACUCUGCUCAACAAACUUCCUGGCUAAGUUCUUUCCCAUGGGCAAGACCAAUGCUCUCCGUGGGAAGAUUACAAGUUUUCAACAACAAAAUGAUGAAUCCGUUCCAGAAGCAUGGGAGCGCUUUCAAGACUACAUCCUAGAAUGUCCCCAUCAUGGAAUGGAGAGUUGGCUACUAAUGCAGACGUUUUAUCAUGGGCUCGGCAACAGUGCCCGAGAGACCAUGGAUGCUACAGCUGGAGGAGCAUUCUUAUCACUUACUAUACCACAAGCCACAGCUCUUGUGGAGAAGAUGGCGUCCAAUCAAGGCUGGAAUGAAGAGAGGACCCAGACGCACAAGAGAGGUGGAGGUAUGCAUCAGCUCAAGGAGGUAGAAAUGUUGUCUGCAAAGCUAGACCUGCUCAUGAAGAAGCCCGACGAUAGAGCUGGAGAUAAGAAAGAAGUUAUGCACAUCUACGACUCUCACAUGACUUGUGAGGAGUGUGGAGACACUAGACACUCAGGCAAUCACUAUCCUGAGAUGCUUGAGGAUGUGAACUACAUCAUCAACAACUACUACUACUACAACCGUCCUCAACAAAAUCAAGGUUGGAAUCAAUAGAGGCCUAACUACUCAGGAUUAGAAUCUGCAAAUCUUAUAGACAUGUUUGAUGCAGGUAAUUGGAGUAACCCCGUCACUGAAUUUACUACUGACCUUCUGCCGGUCAAGAAAGGCGAUCCAGGACGCCCGUCAUCCCGAUCUCCAUCGGCAUGGUGGGCGUCCCAGAAGCACUCUGCGACUUUGGCUCCAGCGUCAACAUUAUACCCAGGGUACUCUAUGAAAAAUUCUUUACAUAUCAUUUAUUAGAAACAACCAUGUGUUUGCAGUUUGCAGAUCAGACGAUAACUUUUCCAAAGGGAAUAUUGAAGAACCUUUGUGUCUGAGUUGGUACCUUGUACGCCCCAGCAGACUUCGUAGUGGUAGAGACCGGAAAUGAUGAGAGGGCACCCAUCAUCUUAGGGAGGCCAUUCUUGAACACCGCAGGAGCUAUCAUCUACGCUAGUGCUGCCAAGAUCAGUUUCUACAUCUAAGGGAGGAAGGAGAUAUUUUUCUUCAAGAACAAGACUACACAAAUCCCAUAUCAAUCCAGACGUGAAUCAAGGAAGAGGACCAACCGGAGGAAUAGGAACAAGCAAGUGUGGACCGAAUCAGCUAAGAUGGUCACUGCAGUUCAUGGAGGCCAAGAUCAUCAGCUUAAGUCACCGUUUUUGACCAAGAAGGACGACCCAGGAAUGCCAAGCAUCUACUGCUCCAUAAAUGGAUACAGCUUCUACAAGACGUUUUGCGACACCGGAUCGGGCGUCAACAUAAUGGCCGCAGUCACCUAUCGGCUCUUGUUCGGAACCAUAGCCCUAAAACCAACAUACAUUCAGCUCCAGAUGGUAGAUCAAACAUUUCGAGAAGUUAAAGGAACAGUAACUGAUGUCCCAGUCAAAAUAGACGAUCAUUUUGUCUACACAGACUUUCAGGUUAUUGACAUGGGACAAGACGAAUACGAUCCACCCAUCAUCCUUGGAAGACCGUUCCUCAGCACCGUUAAAGCAAUCAUCUACAUUGGAACCGGAGAAGUCCAUAUGCACUUCCCCUCAGAGAAGGCACGCCGUUAUUUUAUUGACCCUAACUAUAACGUUGAAGAAUCUAAGCAGGUAAGAAAGCGACGCAACCGCAACCAGAGGAGGCAGAACAUCAAGGACGGAUGGGCAGACUACGAAGGAGAAGUGGUAAGGUCAGAAGACAUAGAGUUUAAACAGAAUUAUCCAGAGGAGACCGAAGCACUGAGUCAGGUAUGGAAAGAGAAGAUAACUAUACAUGAAGAAGAGGCGCCGCCGGAAGUACUGACUACGCCACCUCACAAAUCCCAGGACAAUUGAGAAAAUGGAAAGUCCCGUUCGGAGGACUUAAAAACACCGAACGCCUUGCCAAGAGGUAAACUUGGUAGUUAUCCUUUUUCCUUUUAAUUAUUUCAAAUAGUUUAUUUAGUUAAUCAGGUUCAUACUAUCCUAAAAAGAUAAUAAAAAUGUGAAAAACAGUAAGCCCCAUGUGAGUAUACGAGUGGCAUAAAACCCAUAAGUACAUUCGCUGUGGUGGCAUAAAAAUAAAAUAAAUAUUUCAUUUCUGCUUUAUAAAAUAAAAAUAUAAAAAUAGGGAGUAACAAUUAUUAAGGAGUCUCAACAUGAUAAAGGCUAGAUAUUUAUGCUAACACUUAAUCAGUUCCACAAGCUUUGUUGUCUAUUUGAGCUCCACAGGAUUUAAGAAUCAAGAAGACUAGCAGACGGAGGACAUUCUAAUCGCUGUCAGAAUGCUGCUGACUUUCAAAUACACCUCUGCCACCUGCUAGCUACAUCAAGAGAAAUUAUGUCAAAAUUCACCUUGAGGGAGAGCACCCCCAUUUAUCCCGAUAAGUAUUUCUAUCUAUCUAUCUUUAUACUUAUAUUAUUUUAGGAUAUAAAUAUACAUAAACUAUGAAAAACUAAAUAAAGAUUUUAUGCUUGUAUAUAUAUAUCUUUUGCUUAGUGUGUUUAAUAAAUAAAUAAAGUGGCUAUGCUAAUCGGUAUCUAAAUAAAACUGAAGCUUGAAUAUGAUGAAUAGUUGCUCUGCCUAAUUUGCACAUUUUAAGUUCUCUCUCAAGUUUAGACAUAACUAUUAUAAUUUAAAUCUUGCUCUAAACAUAAACUUGUGGAUGAAGACUUGAUCUAAAGUCUAAGUUGUUAACGGAUACGAUAUGGGAAGGUUGAGCUGCUAUUUAUCUGUUCCUAGAGAUACUGGAAUUCUGGAAAAUUUUAUCAUUGAAAAUCUUUAAAACAUUGUAUGAUGAGUUCUUGUAUGAUGAGUGUUUAAAUUCCUACCACAGCCAUAUAUACAUGCUUUCUAGACUUUGAGCCACACAUUUACUAUUUACUGCAUAUGAGCAUUGAGUGUGGUCAAGCUGUGUAGACCCCUAGGAGCUUGUCAUGUGGUUAAAUCAAGAUUCACUUGCACGUUCACUCAUACAUGCUACUUCUACUCCGAAAGUACCAUCCACAUAUAUCCACUCAUUUCCAUCUCCAGAAUCACCCAAAAAUAUUCUACUCCUAACCCGGGAGAGAAUAGCCAAAAAUAUUUCUAUUUUUCUCUUGUGAAAUAAAUGCUCAAGUUACCUUGUUACUACCACUUGCUAUAUUAUCUCAAGAGAUGAGUGCUAAAAAUAUAUAUAUAAAUAAAUACGAGGAAAUAAAAAGGGGCAAGUGCCCCGAACCUCGAAAGAAAAAAAGAAAAAGUGAGACGAAAGGUAAAAAUGGACAAGUGUCCGACAGUAGAAUUAGGGGUACAAGAUACCCACCUGAGAGAAAAGAAAAAAUAUAGAGCAUCUCAUUCUCCUCAUAAAAUUUCAAAAAAAGCAAGGAAGGUAUGUAUCCCCUCAAAAGAGCAAAAGUAGAAUUAGACUUCCACCAUUGUUAUCACCAUCAUCACUAUACACCAUUCAUUCGCCACACAUGCACAUCUUGAUUUGACUUAUUGAUUUGUUUCUUUGGAUCCAUGGUUUGACUAUGCAAUAAAUGUCUUGUAAGUAUGUAUACUUUAUCUCCCACCUAUGAGCUCCAGAUAUUAAAGCCUUAUUAUAGUAGGGUGAGAGAGAAGGCAAUAUCAUUAUGCCUUAUACCACAAAUACCACAUAUUUUGAGAGAAGGCAUAUACCAUCACUGCCUUGGUAAGGAUCCAGAAAUAGCACAAAAGAGAGAUCUGAGAGAAUCAUACAAUAAAUCUCUGAAUUUUAUUUGAAAAUCUGCAAAAAACUCCAGAGCUAUAGCUAAUCAAGAAUAAGAGACAUGGCACUUGACUAGACUGUUCUAUCUUUUAACUACUCAAGAUGGAAGUGACGGUUACAAGUCCCAUGGUGAAGGUAAAGUAAGUAAGUUUUAAGUCUUGACAGUUUACUCUAACUCAGAGAUGAGAUCUUAUUUAAAAAGCAUGUGUACCGUCAAAUUUUAAAGAUAUUGCAACAACUUAUGAUCCAUAGCUGAGUCUAUCCUUGCUCAGGGACGAGCAAGAGGUAAGCUUGGGGGAGUUUGUUGACGGUCCUUAAGUAUCAAAUUUAAUUAUCAAAUAAAUAAAGAAAAGGAUCCAAAUGAAAUCAACAUCUAGACUUAGGGUUUUAUCUGAUAGAAUUCCACGAGUUUUGGUGUUUGUCUAUUUCUGCAGGGGGUUAUCACGAAAUACGGAAGAAAGGCCCACACGUCGGGAUUACAUAGAGAUAUUAACGUGCUGCGCAAUUAUCUUACAUCUAGAAGACACCAGAAGCCAUAAGACCGAAGCGGAGGCGAAACAGGGCCAGAGGCAGGGCGCCCGCCCUCCUACCCUAGGCGCCCGCCCCCUCUGAGAGUCCAAUCAGGACUCUGCUUCGUGGGAGAUCUCCACCGACCUAAAGGAUCAAAGAUAACCGUCCAAUCUAAGUCGGUUUGAUCCAAUGGCCCAUAUUCACUUGAAGGGACUAUAAAACCAGACCCCCUAGCCCCUGGAGGAGAGAGCCUCUCAACCCUAAUUCAUUAUUCCUCAAGGGAGAAGAAACCCCUGAUCAAGAUUAGAGCCACCACAUCAAUUAGAUAUCUAGAUUAGCAUAGCUACAUAGGAUUAGAACUAGGAGUCAAUCUUCGAUUGGUUUCCGGAUCUAUCAAGAGGAUUCUUGGUAAUUCUCUAAUUGUGCUUCUAAUUAUUCUUCUAAUCAUCUUUGUUCUUCAAUAUUAUGAAUAUGACUUUGUUCUACUUCAAUAUAUUGCUUAUGACUUUGCUCUACUUGUUUAUAUUCAAGAUUAUAUUGUUCUUAGUUUAUCAUAGUUAUCUACUUGGCUUAGUUAGAUUGGAUCUAUAUACAUGCUUAGGAUCGUAUAGCGUUUAUCCAUCGGAUCCAUGGGUAAAUGAUAGAUAUUGUGUAGGCGUCGUGCUUAUACCGUAUUUAUUAGUGAUUGUACCCAAUAUGCCAGAUCGUGGGGUAGUUCGUGAUAGUGACAGCUUCAUUGAUUCUUAUAUAGUCCCCCUCUCGUGUAUUGGGCUGGUAGAGCAACAUUAUUAUAGGGGAGUGAUUGCUAUGUUUCUCAUUUACCUUGCUAAUAUCACUAUGCAUGGGCGUAGUCUCGUCUCGCAAUGAUUGCUAAGUAUGCUUGCACUAACUAUGAUAAUGCUAGACUAUAUAGUUGUGAAUAACUUAGGAAAUAUUCUUGUAGUUCGUUCUAAUUCCAUGCUAAUGACUUUCUAGAGUAUCUAAUUGAGGUGCUUAUCAUAUUUAUUAUGUGGCUAAGUUAUGAUCAGAUUAAUUAUCUUUGUCACUAUUCAUUACUUCAUAUAUCUUUUAUGUGACACUUAUCCCUGUAUGAAAGAGUUAGAUAACUAUUCUCAAUUAUACAUGCAAUGAUAGAUACUCAAUCUCAUAUUCUAUUCUGUAAUCAAUAGUGAUGAUUGUUAAUCCCUUUCCAGUGGUAAAAAUAUAAAUAACGAUACCUAGAAUACUUCCUGGUUAAAAUGCUACAUCGGUAUUAAUCUGUGCGCUUGCAGAUCCCAUUCAUUAUUUAUUUAGAAGAGCAAUUGCAUAUUUCAAUACCGCGUCUCUCAUGUCAUGCUGGGGAUGAUAACUUGGCUUAAGUGGUGUGAGGGAUAGGUUUGGCAUUUUUAACACCGUUACUAGAUUUAGAGAACUUAGUCUACUUUUGGUAAUGAUGUUAAGAAUACCCAACAGGAACCUCAGCCAAAAGACACAUCGGCUGACGUGCACGAGCAAACUGCCGAUCCAGCAAGUUCAAUCAUAGCAUCGGUAGUUUCCUCAAUCCAAACAAGCAUUGCUCCCCCUCAAGGUAACAUACUCUCUAUGAAAUCAUUGCCGAUGAACCUACUUUUCCGUCUUAUAAUUAUCUCUGUCACUCUUUCAGCUGACAUAAUCUCAUCGGCAACUCCAACCGAUCAGCCCGUAAUUCCAUCGGCUUCAACCGGUUAGAGGCGAGAGAUAGCUCUGAAACAAGUAAGUUACCUGAUCUCAACCCGUAUUGUUUACCGGUGCUUGAUCAUAGAAUAACUUAUUUUAUUUUCUUUUUUAGGAACAUGACUCUCCUGACAGCUUGUUCUCCUUUGCCAUCGACAUCUCUGAGGAUGAAGGCGAGGAGGCAAGUUCUUCUAGAGCAGUUGGAAUCACAUCGGCAGAAAUCAGGGCAAAGUUAGAAGAAUUAUCAGCCCUCCUCCAUCAAGACACAGCCCAAUUGGUCGAUGACUCCGAUCCAGCCAAGGCCUUGUUCAAGACCCUCAGAGGCCAAAUUCCCGCCGAUGCCGAAGAAAUCCUUUUUCGAGCUGCACACCUAGAGAGUCGUCAACUGCAGUACCAAAAGGCUGCCCAGCGUCUUGCCGAUAGAGCUGCUCACGCCCAGCUCUCUAAGGAGAUGAUGAAAAUAAAGCUCCUUGCUGAUGAUAAGCACAAGAGCAUCAGCAUUUUGACAUCCUCAGGAGAUGUAUUGAAGCAAAAGAUUUCUGAUCUAUCGGUGAGAAGGGAAGCCCUGUUGACAGAACUCAAACAGGUAGAAGAAGCCUUAUCUCAAGCCCAACAAGAAGAAAGCCAGCUGCCUGAAACGAUCAAGCUUCUUGAACAAGAGCGAAAUAUCCAAGCCCGCAAAGCACUGCAGAUGAAGAAGAACCUGAAACCAAAGGAAGGUUCCACCGAUGAUGACGUGAAGGAAAUAGAAGAUGCCAACCAGAUCCGUCUGCGCGCUAUAUCGACGAUCCAGGCGCUGUUGAACAUGUGAACUCUUAAUCGGCGACAUACCCUGCUCUCUUCUUUCCAAUCCUCCUGAUAUUUUGGUCUAGCCGAUAGGACUGUUAUCGGCACCUUUUAAAACAUUGAGUUUAGCCCCAAACACACUUUGAUCUAGCCGAUAGGAAUGUUAUCGGCAUUUUAAACUCUUAUGCAUCAACCCAAAUGCUUGGGUGAUAUUUCUUUAAAUACUUGCCAUUCAAUGCUCUGGGGAAUUCAACUCCUUCGAGAGUUUCUAAGAUAUAGGCAUUGCCAGGAGCAGACCGAUUUACCCGAUAGGGACCUUCCCAAUUGGGAGACCACUUCCCAAAUUUUGAACUUUUAGUCCCGAUCGGUAAGAUUAGUUUCUAUACUAAGUCUCCAUCGGCAAACUCCUUAGCUUUUACCUUUUUAUCAUACCAUCUGGCAACUCUCUUCUUAUUCUCUUCAAUACUCAUCAGAGCCCUUAGCCGAUGCCCUGCUAGAUCAUCCAACUCGUCUAUCAUCAAAGUAGCAUAAUCAUCGGCAGCCAAUUGAUCUUGAAAAGAUAGUCGUCUAGACCCAGUCUUAAUUUCCCAAGGUAACACUGCAUCAUUCCCAUACACCAACUGAUAAGGUGAAACCUUGGUCAAUCCAUGACAAGCCAUCCGAUACAACCAUAAAGCUUCAUUUAACAACGUGUGCCACCUCCUAGGAUUCUCUUCAAUCUUCCGUUUAUUAAGCUUGAUAAUUCCUUUGUUAGAUGCCUCGGCCUGCCCAUUAGCUUGAGCAUAAUAGGGAGAAGAGUUUAUUACUUUAAUUCUCAUACCGAUUACAAAUUCAUCAAACUCCCCUGUUGUGAACGUAGUACCCUGAUCGGUAGUAAUUGUUUGAGGAAUUCCAAAUCGGUAAAUAAUAUGCUCUUUCACAAAAUCGAUCAUAUUGGCCAAUGUAACUUUCUUUAAAGAAAUAGCUUCAACCCAUUUGGUGAAAUAAUCAGUGGCAACCAAGAUAAACUUAUGUCCUUUGCUGGAUGGCGGAUAAAUCUGGCCGAUCAAGUCAAUAGCCCAUCCUCGGAACGGCCAAGGUUUAAUAAUGGGAUUCAUGGCCGAUGCGGGUGCCCUUUGAAGAUUGCCAAACUUCUGACAUCCUUGACACCCUUUGAAAUACUUAAAGCAAUCCUCAAGUAUAGUCAGCUAAUAAUACCCAUUUCUUCUGAUCAUCCACUUCAUCUUAAAUGCCGACUGAUGUGGUUCACACACUCCCUCAUGGAUCUCUCCCAUCAAACUUCUAGCCUCGUCAUCACCUAAGCACCUGAGAAGAAUCCCAUCAAUAGUUCGAUAAUAUAACUCAUCUUCAAGGAACACAUACUUGGUAGCUUGAAACCGAACACGUCUCUCAACUUUCUUGGAUGGAUCCUUUAAGUAAUCAAUGAUUUCUUUUCUCCAAUCAUCGGCACUGAUUGCCGAUACUACGUUUGUCAUGGGCUGAUAUCUCGAGGCAUGUUGAGCCAACCGAUUGGCCUCUUCAUUAUGCAACUGAGGAACAUGCUCUAAUCGGAAAUCCUUGAAUUCCUUUAACAGUUGCAUACUCCUUUCGUGAUAAGUUAUCUGGACCUCGCUUCGGCAUUCAUAGCUUCCAGCCAAUUGAUUUAUAACCAGCAUAGAAUCCCCGAAGAUUUCAACAGCAUCAGCAUGAACUUCCCUUAGUAAUUCCAACCCCUUUAUCAAAGCUUGAUACUCAGCCUGAUUAUUUGUUGAUGUGGCAACAAUCGGCCUAGAGAACUCAUACUU
rnacentral:lncRNA from 1 species